rnacentral:lncRNA from 1 species
UCCCAUCAAAUUCAUCAGGCAAAUCAUCCAGCAUACUGGUAAUGUCACUGUAGCCUUUCAUGACACUAGAAAAAUCAUGGUAACAGUCAUGCUUAUCUUCCAUUAGAUAAUUGGAAACAGAAGGUUCAACAUUGAUUUCCCUGAUACGGCCAACAUCUAGUUCCAUGCUAAUAUGGCCAUGCUCUCGAGCUAUUGCUUUGUGCUUGACAGUCCAAUCAGGGCGACUCCAUAAAUAUAAUGGUGGUGUCUCCGCGUUCCACUGCUCCAUUUGCUGAGCAAGCACAUCCACUGACCCAGGCAGAUAAAAGGACUGAUAAAAAAUUAUUUGAGUAAGUGAUUUACUUCAUCCUCAAAUUAGAUCACUAUCUGGGGGUUGGCAGGCAGUGAAGGGGAGAGUGAGAAGAUGCUAAUUGCUAAUUUUCUUACCUUCCCAGAAAGUAAUUCGUCAUCUUCCCAAAUCAAAUCAUAUGGCAACUUUCCCCUGUCAAGUCUGUAGUUGCCAGAAGGAAAAUAAUAACAAUAAUAAUGAGCAGGUAAAUCAUACUUUCUGGAAUUUCUGAAGUACGAAGUUUAUCUUAUAGCUUCUUUAAGUAAUUUUACCUUUUAGUUUCUUUAGGAACAAUGAGAAUCAUGAGCUUUGGACUGAAUGUCAGAGCUUUAGAAAUGAACAUAUUAGCCAGAGAUGUAUGAACGCCAAAAGGAGGAUUCAGCCCCAUGAUCUGUUCACGAUGAAUAGUGAGGAUCUUCAAAUAUAACACUACAACAUAGACAAAGUCACAGAAAGCCACCUAUUUCACAACUUACAAGAUUUGAUCCAGCAGGAAAUUCAUCUUGACAAAUACUCAUCCAAUCCCUUUUCUCAAAACUGAAAGCAUUCUGAAGAACAGUAGCAACGCAUUAAAAGGAGAAAACUAAACAUUAAAAAUCAUUGCUCAUGAGUGGCAAUAAACACAAUCUUUAUCAGAUCAAAAGAUGUGGGAUGAAAACCAAAACAUUAGCAAUGACCUUGAACAUGAUCAUGAACUGAUAUAGCCUAAACAGUUUUAGGUUUAUUACUUUCGGCUAUGGCCUUAUAUAUACUUAAAAAUGAUCCACGCAUGGAACGUAAAACAAUUGGGCCAGGACAUGCUUCUUCACUUUAAGUUGCUACUACCUUAGAAAGACUGUAGGAGAGAUGCGAAUAUCAUGAAUUUCCAGUAAUAUACUUUUUUUUAAUGUCUGCCUAAGAAGCAAAUUGACUAUGCAUGUCCCCAGUAGUUUCUUGUUAGGUUUGCAGUAAACUUAGGGAAAAAGGAAGCGUUGUUAUAUGAAGAUGCAUGCAUUACCUCUUUUCCCCAAAUAUUAAAGCUCUAGCUGCACUGAAGGAGAAAAUUAAUGAUACUCAGGUUAACCAAGUUAAGUCUUUGCGGUGAAACAAGCCUUGUGUCCCAUCCACAUUUUCUAAAGUUAUGGAAGAUGAUUUCUUUUCAAUGCCUAAACCUAAGCAAAAGAAACUUUCCCUUUCAGCACUUCCUUUUUCCUAUCUCAAUAUUACAAGAUACAAUAUAAAAAAAAAAAGAAAGAAAGAUAAGUAUCAUCCCAUAGGAGAACAAUAAAUUAUAACAGCACAUAAAAUAAGAAGAUCCCUCACUAGAAAAACAAAGCAAAAGCUAAUCCUGGCUACUGAUUCUUCUUCAAUUAAAGAUUUUAUCCUCAGCAUGGAUUCUAAUGCCCGUCUUUGAACAAAAAAAUGGAGAUGUAUAUGUCAGAUCUAACCUAAUGUACAAGACACAUGAAGCAACAAUCCAAACUGUCGAAGAUAUUAUCUCCCAUGAUUAUCUCCCAUGAUUAUGAGAGAUAUUAUCUCCCAUGAUUAUGGGAUUUUAUUGCUUAUGAUCAAUCAAGUUUGAAUAGAUUAACUAAAAUAAAAGAUAGGAUAUGAGUUGAUUACGUAAUCCCUAAAAUCAUGGUUCUAUUACCUUAAGUUGUGGCAGAACUGUGAUAGGGUUGUCCUAUAAAUGCCUACCUUGUAAGCAUAUUCGGUGUGUGGGAAAAUAAAGAAAAGCAGAAUUUUGUUUAUUUCCUUUUCUUUUUUAAAGUUUACACAAACUUACCAUGGAAUUAAAAGCAGCUCGCACAGUAAUAUUGGUAUUUUGCCCGACAACCUUGUUCUAUUCAAUACCUUCCAGAAAAUAUUUAUAUUGCUUUCCAAGCAGCACGAAGAAGAAAGAGCAAACCCAGCAAUGACAUUGGUUGAUAGGAGACAUGCCUCACUAGCACUGACCUUUAUAAAAUAAACAAAGCAUUCUUAUUCAAAACCCACCAUCUUAAGCAAUUGACACGUUUAUUGAAAGAAGUGUUAAUCUUCUGUGAUUGUUCAACCCAUGGAAAGGAUACCUUUUGAAUCCCUCUGAACCUACUCUACACCAAAGAGCAAUGAACUGCAUCUCUAAUGCAUUGAAUCUUGGACGAUUGUAACAGAUCUGACAGAUUGUCAGAUCAACAUUGUGACUCCUAUUUGUAUCACAUAUAACUACCCAUCACGCACAUAUUCAGAAGUGAUUACCUGAGUUUAGAGCAUAAACUGAUCACAAGCAUCCUUCACCAAGAAUCAUGAAUCAUAAUACAGGGGUUUGUCAGUCGAGAAAACUCUAAGUUUGACAAUGGCAAGAACAAGGACUAGAGUAAAAAGAACCAAGGGAUUUUAACUGCUAAGACAAAUAAACCUUAAAUUGUCCUGGAACAAAAAUUGAAAAAGAAACUUUCAAUAAGAUGCAUCUUUCUGUUUCUCCCAAAGACACAAGUCAUUCACCUUUUUCCCUAAACCUUCUUUCAGAAAUUCAAUGCUCAACUUUUAAUAUAUCAACUAGUUUCACCCGAUCUGUUGGAAGUCAUACCUGAAAGUAUUCUUCAAAUAUUUCAAGCCAAUCAACAACAGCUCGACCAUGGCUUUUUGCUAAGAACAUGUAUGCCUACCCUAACUUUCUUUGCAAAAUCUACUUGCUCAAAUAUAUCUCUAAGCAGCACUUACUGCAGUAAUAGAUUAUCCUGUAUGGAUAUGCAAAGAUCCCCCAUUACUGAACAUUGCUUGGUCUGAAAUAAUUUGAUCUUUUAAAAUCCUAAACAAAUGCUGGACCAAGCUAGUAGAAGCUAAAGCUAAAAAUCAUUAAUCUAACUUGGAAAGGCAAUUUUGAACCUGUAUGUACUUUGAACUUGGGCCACCAAGAUCACUACUACCUUUAGAUGGCCCAGUUCUCUUGGCCAAAGAGAAGUUGCAAGCUUUUGUGUUCAUUUCUGUUUCAUGUCAUAACUAGUUUUAUUUUCUUUUAAACGAGGUUCAGAAGAAUAUCUAUUACACCUUCUAUGAUUUCCUACUUUGUGAACCAUACUCAGUAGUUAUUAUACUUACCCAGAGGCUAUUUUCCUUUAGAUCUCUUAGAAAAUGUUCGGAAAAUGUUCGGCAGAAGAUUUUGAACUGUUUUAUUUUGCAAACCAUGAUAAACAGGGUUAGAAUACGUGGCAGGUUGACAUCAAUGAAGCAUUAAAUGCACAAUAAGCUAUUCUCAUAAUGAUUAAGCUAAAUAAAGAUACUUAUGGUAAAGAGUUUACUUAUUAACUCAAUUCAAAAGCAAAUGUUAAAAUCAAAUUAACAUAGAUAAAGAUUUGUUUGGUUUUUGACACAGAACAACACAAGGAAUAAAACUAGAUGCAGUCACGAACAUAAUUCAAAGGUCCUUAGUCUUCAACUAAGGCAAGCUGUCAUUAUGCGAAGCAAAAUCGAGAAUUUGCAUCUAGAUUGUGUGAGCAAAAAGUGCCUCAAGCUACAUUUCUCAGAAAGCAAUGCCAAGAACAUAUGAUGAAAACUGCACCUUGGGUUGUAUAAUAUCAUAGUUUUUGAAGGAGCACUUCCUGCCCAAUUUGUCCAGAGCUUCUUUCAUUAAACAACUGAAGUCAUUUGAGCCACAACAGAAGUCGACUAUCUGCUCAACGGCGUUAAUUUAAUCAGAUAUGAAAUCAAAAGAACAUUAACAACCAUAAUACUACAGAUGCCAGGGAUACAAAAGACUCCCCCAGCAGUUUAAUAAUUUAACAAGGCAAUCUCUCCAAUUGCAGAUUGUCAAGGCAAUCUCAAUGAAGAUUAAACCAAUCAUUUCAAAGAAAACCAUGACAGCCAAAAUAAGUUCUUCCUGUUGUACAUACCAUCUAACUCACUAUACUAUUUAACUCAAGAAAGUACACGUUUCAUAAAACCAGAAAGCACAUAGUUGAAAACUUCCAUUUUCAUCCUGAAUUCUUCCAUCAGUCAGACAAAUCUACACUACAGCUGCACUUUCUUGCUCCUAACCCAUAAUAUUCAGGAAGUAAACUUGGUCAUAUUACUUCAUGUAUUGUGCGGAUAUGUAGCGAAUUUCAGUAAAUGGUCAGAAAUUUAAAACUUGAAGAGUGCCAAGCACAUCGAAACAACACGAGGAUUAGGAAUGUGCAGCCUUGUAAAAUGGUGAUAUUUUAGAUGUGAAGGCAGAUGUAUUAUAAUGAAAAGCUUCUGCACAUUUAUAUUAUACAGAUGCAUAAAUCUUCUACAUAUCAACGGACAAAAAUAAUCAAAGACCUCAUUUUCAGUUGCCACAAUCGCAGCCCAUGAUGUCAAAGAGUAUGAUGCCAAGCUAAAAUGGUGAAAUGAUAUCCAGCGUGGCAAAAGUUCAAUAGUUUCUUAAACAUUUUAUGGUAGAUGACUUUGGCAUGUUUCCACAGAAAAUGGAUAUCUACAGAUUUAUGCUUCAUACAUCACCCAGAUAAACAACAUUUAAGAAGACCAUGCAAAUGCACAUUUUGCUUCUUGUUUCCAAUGCAAUCAUUCCAUAGUGCAAAUGGCUAAAAGCAAUAAAACUUAGCAUGUUCUAUAUAGUAAUGGUGCCUAGGAUAUAUGUUAUGUUUAAUAAAACCAGAGGAUUAAGUCUACACCAAAGACAAAAUUGCUGAAACAGAGAACUUUGGCCAUGCGGAACAACAUAAUCAUUUCUGAACUACCUAAUUCUUUCAUGUAAAGGAGUAAAAUCAUUUCUGCACUACCUACAGUCCGCCCACUAUAUACGCAAAAUCAAAGUAGAUGAUAAAUAUGAAAUCAGUUUGAUCUUACUGUAUCACCAUCUUCAACGUACCACCGGAGCCUGUCAACUACCUAGAAAAGAAAUUGAGCAUUUUAUCAGCAGGUAUUUAUGUUCAAACAAAAGCAAAGAGCACAUAUAGCUAACUAUUCCAUAAAAACAGAAAAUUGAUAAGUUGAUGGGAGCAAGAAUGGUUCAUUAUACUGCUAAUUGUAAGAAAAUAUUAAAAUGCAAAAACAAACGAAGAUGCAAAAAAUGUGGAGUACUUUCAUGUAUGCACAAACACAUAAACAAUCAUACUGCGGCUUUUGUUUUCCUUUUCCAGAAAGAUGAAUUAUACACGAAGGUCUCUAGUUAAGAUCUCAAAUAAUAGAAGGUCCAAAAAGCUUGGCUGCUGUAAAUGAAACAUCUGGAAAAAGUAUUAUUUAUUCUGAACCUUAAGAAUCAACAGUAUGAAAUCCAAUAAAGUCAGCAAUUAGAACGCAACAUCCAAGUCAAAACAUGAUAGGAUAGAAGCACAUCAUGCUGUGCUUGCUGUCCCAAAAUCUCGAUGAAGGAAACCCUUUCCACUACACAAAUACCCAAUAAGUAAGAGAAGAUUAAUAAAACAGCAACGUAAGAUGACCAUCCAAAAGUCCAAGUUAUUUGUUCUCUCUAUAGGAAAUGAUAUUUUUGGCAUUAUAACAUCCAGAGGUGCAAAACUUGGCCAACAUGAGUUCUUCCUCUCACCCUUCUUCAAAGUUGCUGUUUCCAACAAGUAUCCCAUAAAAGUACCCUUGCUGUAUCAUAUCAAACUGAGUUCUUAAAGUAAAAUGAUAAGUUGCUUUGAAAUAUGCAGUAAUUUUCGUUAUGAGAUUAGCAAAAAAUUCUUUAACUAUUUGCAGGUUGAUCUCAAGAACAGCGAUGUGAAUGAAGAAAGCUACCCAAUGACACCAUUGGAAAAUUGUGCCAAAAUGAAAACACUGAGCUUAGGCAUUGAAAGUCCAGAGUUCCAAGAGUGGUACUGGCAUAAUCCUUUCACAAAGAGUUAAAUUCAUUUUCACCUUAGAUUCAGACAAAAUGACAAGAUAAAUGGUCAAGUUUAGACAAACUACUAACAGGCCUUUUGGAAUGACAUAGCCAAAGCAGUUAAAGGCCUAAAAUUUUAAGUCCACAUUAGUCAUGUACGAAUGAUGACAAUAACAACAUGCUUAAAUAAAUCUCCCUGAAAUGCCCAUACAGUCCUUUAAAGGACAUUAUUGCUCUUCACAUAACAUUUAAGUAUCCCAAGUACCUUUUCCUUCCACCAAUAUUUCAAAUCCCACAUCUAAAUAGAUCCACCAUAAUUAUUAAAGCCAUCACUUUGACAACACGUACCAGUACCUACAAUCAUCACUCCAAGGCAAACUGCCUAACAGUACAAACGUACAACACAAAAGACAAGGACAAUAAAGUUCUCUGCCUGUAUAUAAUAUUAAUUAUUCAUACAUGGUCUGCGUCCAUUGCUGUUCAUCUCUUUUCUAUUUCUUUUGUUUCUUGUUUCCUUUUUUUCACAUUCUGGGGAUGUGGUGUAUGUAUAAUGUAUCUUUUGAAUGUGCAUCAUGUGUUCUGUGCACUAGCUUUCAUGGCUGUGUAUAUCAAGGAGAACAAGGAGUAGAAGGGAAGAAAAAUCGGAGGUGGGGAGUUGGAGAGAGAUAUAUGGCACAUCCUGGGGUAGGGAAAGGAAACAAGAUUGAGGAAGGGAAAGAUGAAUGAAGCUGCGCAAUGUGUGGCACAUGAGGAAGCUUGGUGGGGAAGGGGAUAGACUUUUUCUCCUACAAUUUUUUGGCUUUUCAUCUCAUAAUUACUUCCUUUUCUUAAUCAAUUGAGAAUAUGAUUACUUUCCAACAAGUUUUGACAAUUUCAUGUCAAAUGAGAUUAAACAGUACAGCCAUGAGAAUUCUAUUCUAACUAUUUUCUAAGAGAUAAAUUUGAUUUACCUAAACUUCAGGGUCUAACUUAUAAUAUGACCAAACCUCAUCAGUGUGUAAUUGGUCUUUCAAAAUAUUCUAAGUUAAGAAGAGAACUACAAUAAUAAAGCCCAAACAUUUUUCUCCAACAACAUUGAGGCCUUUUUAAUUUCUAAAUUCGGCUAGUAAACUUAUACUUUCUUCUCAUUUUUAUAGUUUUCGGCUAGUUUUCUCAUUUUAUAGUUUUCUUCUCAUUUUCAUAGUUUUCAUAAGUGUGAAGUUUCUGAUUACAAGUACAGAAUAUGAACGAGUACAUGCAAUAAUCAGAGCAAUAAUCAGACAAAUAAAACAAUCUUCUCUCACACAUCACAAUUCUAAGACAUGCAUCUGAUUAACUUUUCUAUGUCCUAUCCACUUGUCAUUCAGGAAAGAAGUUCAAAAGCUCAAGUCAGAGUUAGAAAGGCGUCCUAAUUGUCAUUGCAUUUCAAGAGUGAGCAACAAGGAUGUCCUAAUACAAAGGAACAAAAUUUAUCUUGCCUCCUUCAGCUUAUCCACUUUGGUGAAGUGACAACCAAAUGAAGUGUAGCGCUUAGAAUGGAGAAAAGGAGCUAGAGAAACCUUCAGCUUCUGCUGCAUAAUUUGAACAAAACAUGCAUUUAGCGUUUUUACCUCUUAGUCAAAUAACUGUGAAACUAUGCAAGAAAUUACAAAUCAUGAAGGAAUAUUGAAGAGUUUCUCAUAAUCUUAUAGGAGUAUAGCAUCACUCAAACAUGUCACUCAACCUGAAUGGUAUGUAGUUGAGUAUACCAAUAUUUGAAAAUUACAAUGUGACUUCUACAACUGGAAAAUUAUGACUGGCAUGUGAAAUUAUUUACCAUCUCAAUCUCAUAUAUUUACCCAUAAAACAUGAACAAAAGCAUAUAAGUUCCAACAUAAGCACUCAAACAUUCUCAACCCUUUGCUCUAUGAUUUUCACUUAAUUGUUUUCAGCAAUAAAAAAGUGCCGUCUUCAGCUCAACUUUCUGUUACUGUUUGUUUACUUUGCAGGCAACAAUCGACGGCUUGAUUAAUCCAGUAUUAUCCCUUUUCUGAUGGAAUCUCUCACAAGGGAUGACUAGUCCCACUAGAACGUGUUAUCCCACAUGUGUAGGAUAAAAUUACAACAUCCAGGGGCACAAGGAAAUUUUUUGAAGGACGGCAAUAUCUUAUCAAUUAUGUAGAGCAAACAAAAAAGCAGAAUCACAGCCUUAAAAUGGAUUAAGAGCCUAGGAGUCCUUCUGAGAUGACUCAUUUGUCAGUGUAGUCUGUAAACUCAAGCAACCUAAUUGUGCAGAAUUGAAGCUGCAGUCAUUGGCUAACGGACUCUUUGCAUAUUGUGUUCCAUCAAUGGCUUAUGAACUGCCUGAAUAAAAGCUUUGACACUGUUAAUGUUCCCAAUGGUUCACCUGAUAAUGUUCCAAAUCAACUUGUCAGCACGUGAACAAAUGUUUGAGAAUAGGUCAAGAGGGACAAACAUGAUGUAGUUUUCCUGACCAAAACUACUUGCAAUUAUGUUGGUAAAUCAUAAUGUUUCAAUAAAGCACUUACAAUUCCCAAAAACCAAUGGAUACUAAGUAUGAAUCUAAAUAUCAACAAAUUGCUCUGAUGUUAAUAAUGGCCAAAUGAAGCAGAAAGAAAUUUCCCCCUUCAAACUCUGCAUACAGCAAAUUGGAAGAUGCUAAAGUUGCAGAUGAUGAUCAUAAUGGUUUGUCAAGAACUAUAGCCUUGUUCCUAGAGUAAAAUGUUUAGUUCCUAUUUCCAUACAAAAAAGGCAUUAGCACAAAGGAAAGUCAAAUUUAUAAGUCUUUCAGUUGUGAACAGUGGCAUGGCCACAAGGUCUUUCCACUGGGUGCUAAACUAAUAUGUUGUUGUAGUACAAUAUUUUAAUGUACUAGUAGUUUUCUCUCUUCUCGCCUUCCUUCUCCCCACCCCUCUUCUUGGAAAGGACAAAUCUUAAGUUAAGAAAUAAAGGAUCCCAAGCUGUCAAGCCCAAAUAAGAAUACUAUAUUGUGUGGCAAACUUAAGAUACCUUCUGUACCAAAGUAAAUGUAGUGCAGGUAGGUAAAGUAUUGAGAAGGAGAGGAUCUUAAAUACAUUUAAGAUAACUUGAAAAGGACAUAUAUGCUUUGUUACUACAGAAAUUGAUUUAGCAAUUCCAGCAACUAUUUUGAAAGGUUAGAGGUCAAUUACUCAUUCGAUUUGAAGACAAGUCAAAUCAGCUAGCUGUCCUGCCCUGUUAUUCACCACAAGAAUCACUCAAAAGAGUGGUUAAAUCUCAUGUUGAAAAGCUCAAGAUCAAGUUUGACCAAGGGAGAAUGAUGCAGAGUGCUGAAACCUCACUAGAGUGUCUAUGGGGGCUAAAUUAUUUAACUAUAAAGCCUGAGAAUACAUCAGGCCAUUCAUCCAAUUUGACUACUAGAAACUUAGUUCAAGUAAGGGUCUACGUAUAUGUCUAGGAUCUUAGAGUUUAAUUAAUUCAUAGGUAAGUCAUUCCAAUUUGUGGCCAAUCUAAUGUCAACCUGCCUAUAACAGGAUAUGAUGAGCUUGUUAUACGGUGAUUUUACCAAAAGAAUAUUCAGCUCACAGAGCUUUGACGUCAAACAUGAUCCCAAGGAAUCAUUCCUUAUUUUUUUAGACACCCUCCAGUUUAUUUUGUCAUUUUCAAUCCAUUAUCUUCUGAAACACUUCUACAGUUUUUGCUUAGAAUGAAGCUAGUAAAAACAUCAAGGUAAGCCAUUAUAAUGAACUUGUUAUAUUCAGUGAUGUAUAAAGUUUCUUAAGGAAAUGGGUCCGCUGAUAAAAAAUUGCUUCCCUGGUACAUAUUUAGACUUUAAAUUUUCAAGUACAUACCCUCCAUUUGACUAACUGAUGAAGAAUUUCCGGUUCACAGACUGCUUUUGCUUCCUCUAUGGUGCCCACAUCUUCUAGUUUCUUCAAUGCAGUGCGAACAGCCUGAGAAGGAUUAUCAGUUGAGGAAACAAGGCCUUCAAUCCAGUUUCUUAUUAAACUAUUGUUGUCAGCAAUAGAUGUAAGCUAAGACAGUACCUUUACAGCGCGCUCUACCUUUCCCAUGGUCAUGCUCUUGUCAUCCAUGGAUUUUGAGUAUACAUCUAUGCUUUUGUUUUUUUUCUGCUUUAAAAAUUCUUCUUCAUUAAAUGAUGCAGUGGACCUUUUCAUUAAUGCAAGUACUCUGCAAAGUGGCAAGUUGUACUUAAACUAAUAAAUUUCAUAAAGAGGUAUAAUGCAAUAGAAUACUCUUUUGAUGCUGAAAGAAAGGAAAGGCAUUAAGAUUGCAGCUUCUAUAAUAGGCAAAAAGAAGACCAAGACAAUUACCUCUUUUCUGCUUCUGCAUUUCCUGACGGCUCAAUCCUUUGUGCCUUGUUUGUAGCAGAUGUCGCUGUUUGCGUGCUGUCAAUAUUGCCACUCGAUACAUUCUUAAACUUCAACUGAUCAUCUUUUACAUGUGACUUACCUUUAUCCGCUAUGGAUUGCCUGUAUUUGUCCCUGACGGGCAUCCAAUUAUCCCUGGAAGAGUUUGGAGAGGAUCCAACUUUUCCUACCAGGACUAGUUUGCGAACUCCUUGCUCAACAUUUUCAACAAAUUUACCAACUUUAAAGUUACUAUGAAUUCCCUUUAAUCGAUAAUUCAUUUUUGCUACAGGUUUUUCUUCAAGAAACCCAAGAACCUUACUUCUCCUUCCAGACACAACCUGCACUGGAGCAGGUAGCGACCCUAAAGUAUGCUGCGGCUUCUUUGUAUCAACAUCAGGAAAGACUAGAUGGUUUCUUUUUGGAGUUCCAAUUUCAGGAAUUAUAUUAUGGUCCCUAGACAAAGAAGUGCUUGGCAGUUUACAAGGGAAUCACUAAAUGAGCAAAAACUCGAGCAGUACGUUCAAAGAAACUUACAUGCAAUAAAUCAAGACACGAUUGUGCAAAAGAUUUUCCCAAGCCCGUUGAUAAAUCCUUCUUUCUUUGUCGCUUUCAAACAUUAUAGUCCUGACACGAAUAUUUCCAUAAAGAAAAAGUUACCAUUAUCUGAAACUUAAGUCUUCUGGGCAAAUUCACAAACAGCAUGAAUGGAAACCUCAAAUAGGAAAAUUAAAUUUGGAAACCUGGGCAAGCAUUUACGGUGGUAUGCCUUUGGGCAACGUCUGCAAAUUGCAAACUGCAAUUCAUAGACCUUUUUAUCUUCAACUUGCUUACAUUCAAAACAUUUAUGUACAGGGCAGGUAAAUGAAUCUCCUUCAGCAAUUUUACUGCAAAGUUCUUCUGCUUUUGUAACAUCAGAUGGGUGAAGGAGCUUUGAAACACACUUCGGAUGAUAAAAGUGCCCGCAAGUUGCAGAAACACAAGGGAAGACCUUGAAAAGAUGAGAUAAAUUCGUUAAAGGCUUCAAGCUAAAUGCUCCAGCAAGUCAAAGGAAGAUAAAAAAAUAGAAGAAUUUAUAAACAUAUUCACAAUCCAACAGAAUAAGGACCGAAACUAAAUGCAGGUCAACCACAGAAUUCAUUCUGGAAAGAGAAUAUUCAAGAGCUACAAAUCUGUUCACCUUUCAAUUUCCAUUACCAUAGAAAUUGUAAACUUCACACUAAAAUCUGAGCUGUGUAUUCUUCUGAAUCAUGAUGCUGGACUUUCCAGCCACACAAGAAUUGAGGGCUUCCCUCUAUCUAGUGCAAAUUACUAUUAUUACAUAACAAUGCUUCGUGUUUGGUGAUUGUUAUACAUCCCUUGCAAAUGUAAACGCCAAGCACUCAUCAUGUCGUGAGUAAACGCCAAACUGAAGAUGAGAACUUAAGGAGAUGAGAGGAUCAUCGAUGUGCAGCCUAGUCCCCUGAUGUUUCAAUUUCAUCAAUCUAUCUCCACAAUGUUUCAAAAAUUUUUCUUUUUAAUACAACCUAUCAAUCUAAUUUUUAGUCUUACAUGUAUUUGUCCUCAAGAGAAUACAACCUUACCAAAUUCCCUUCCCCUCCAAGCCCGUACCCUUGCAGCCUAUUACAAUCCCCUCAACACUCGCCUCCCAAAUCCAGUAGCCAUCUCCUUCAGGCCAACUACAAGCUCCAGUCAUGACAAACCAAUCCUCUUUUUACCCGCUGCCACCCCCCACCUCUUCUAAAUGCACAGUAACAACCCCCAAACACCCCGCAGAUCCAUCCACAUCCCCCUUAUCCAGGCAGACUCCUUCCUCCCAGCACCAUUCAACAGCCAGACUGCUGUCCCCACUCCCCCCAAGGCAGCCUCUUUCCUCCUAGAACCAUUCAACAGUCAGAUGUCUCCACUCCCCACUUUCUUUGCAGUAUCUUCUGUCCUUUCUAUUUAACUCUCCUAGCCUACUUCUAACCACUUCUUACAGCAGCAAUACCCUUGUUUCCAUUCCUCAUAAUCCCUGCGUUGUAUCUUCCAGUGAUACCCACUUUCAUGCCACCCCAUCUUUACCAUAGGGUGUGCGGAUUUUUGUUUGCCUGUAUUAGGUGAUCCAGAGAGACAUAGGAUAGAAAAUGCUGAAAAAUUAGAAAAUUUAGUGGGUAAAUAGAUGCAAUUGACUCAUUGACUCUAUAUCAGAGUCAAAUAUACCCUGGAGAAGGGCGCUACUAGUGUAAUAAGACAACUGUUGCUUUUACAAAACGAGCUAGUCUAAUUAAGGAAGUUGAAAUUAACUACCAUAAGAUACCACCAAAAGUUACUGAACAUGUAGCAGCAGGUUGUUUGCAUUUAUGCAGUUAGAAUAAUUCAUGACAGAUUGCUUAUUCAUCCAAGCAAAAGCAUCAUUUUAGGCCCCAAUUAGAAUAUCCAAACAAAUUUGAAUGCAUUAUCAAGUGCUCUCCAACAAUGUCGUAGUCAUAUUGGAGGCAUGUACUUAUUCUCCAAUAAUGCCAGAUUACUUACAGACAUGUACGCUAUCUUUACAACUCGAUGGACGUAGGCCACAACUAUAAUAUUCCAACAAAUUUGAAUGCAUUAUCAAGAAGCCCUCCAGUGAUGCUGUAAUCAUAUGUAAUCUAGUAAUCAUAUGUAAGAUUCUCACCUCUGCCCCAGAAGAUCUGUUGGAAGAACCCAAUGAGCCACAAGCAAAGCAUUGAUGCUGCUGAUACUGGCAAUUCUUGCAAAGGAAAAUCUGAAUUGCCUGUUGGAAAAAAGGAAUUCACAACACAAAAAUUCUGAGUUAGCUAGUUCCAAACAAGUGCCAGGGAACUACUUACAACAGCACAAAAAUGAGGCUAUGAGCUUAAAAGUGCUCCUACUUCUAAUUGUUUGUGACUAUAGCCAAGAGAUUCACAAAAUGAAUGAGCUCCAGAUUCUUUGGUAGGAUGAAAGGAUCUUAUGCAUCUUCCUUCACAACUGCAAUGUGUGUAACGCAAAAUGACAUGAUAAAAAGUCAGAAACAGCUCUGGUAAAAGCAUACAAGCUAAAAGGGAAGAAUAACAACAUUAAAUUAACCCUGGUAUGAUGUCAGGCAUGUGAAGAGAAAACAUGUGGAUUACAUAGUGAAUGAAAACAUAAAGGUUUUACCCAAUUAUUUAUAGUGUACACUGUCCGCCAACAGUGAGUACAAUAUUAGAAGGAAGAAAGAGACAUGCUUAAUCAUAAUAAAUCCAAUGGCAGGUUAGCAUGUUGAUCAAGGAAAAGGAAAAGGGUGAUUGGGUAGGAUCAUGGUGAAAUCCAUUUAACAAAGUUGCAGGACUAGUAAACUGCUAAAUUGUGUAUCCAACGCAUUUCUACAAGAAUCACCUUUGUUCUUUCCCCUUCCAUUACCGGCAGAAAAGAACCAGAAUAUGAAUCAUUUUGAUUAUCAAUCUCCUAAUAGGAUUAAAUGACAGAGACUAGGAAAAUCUUGCAUACCACAAAAUUUGACCACCAUCAUCACAGUAUGCACAGACAUAAUCAAAAAGUUGCUUCCUGUCUUCAUCACCAUCAUCAUCCUCAACAUCAAUAUCAUCAUCACAAUCAUCAAUAACAAACUUGAGAUUCUUUAAAGCUUGAGUGUCCUGCAACGUAAAACAAGUAAGUUCAAGGUGUAGAGAAAUCUAAUGAGCACCAAAUGAGGGAAAAGGAGGAUAUAGGUAGCACAGACCUCCUUGGCAGCUUCUCUCUUAUCAUGCAUCUUGGAAAUAAAAGUUGCCAUAUACUGUCAGAAAAAUUGUAAUUGUUAGCAGCAAAAAAGCAGACAAUUUUGGGAAACACUUAGAAUACCUUUGCACAUUUGUUGAGUAUCAAUAAUCUGACAGUACUUAAUCACAACCAUCACAAUACACAAUUGGAUAUAGAAUUUGAUGAGUCAGGAAUUACAGUUUAUAGCUCAAAAUGGAGGGGGGAAAAGAUGGCAAACAUCAAGAUGAGGGUUACAUGUUAACUUGUGCAAUUCAGGAACAAAGUAUCACUAUCCUAAAAUGGUUCUCUGUGGCAAUAUCUUCGGGUUUCUGGUGUAUCCUAGGAAAGAAUUUUACGUCAUUGAUAUCCAGAACAACCAUUGCAUGUUCUGAUGUCCCAUUACAGCAAUAGGAUGUCACUGCAUAGGAAUGCUGAUUAUGAGAGGCCAUCUGAAGCGUCACUCAGAGAACCAGGAAUAUGCCAGCAAAGUAGAUUGGGCAGAUGUAUUUUUGGUACAGCGAUGGUUUUCCAGCUAAUGUAGUUUACUACUACCUCCAUUUCAAAAUGGACAGUCUACUUCAUUAAUCUACUGUAAGUACAUAGAACGGUAGUAAGAUGUGUUACCAAGAAACGCUUUCUUGGUUAAGGAUCAAGAUAACAGAUAUCGCACUUUCUGAAUACAUAUAAUGCUGAAGGGAAGGAUUUGGUGUGAUGUUGACUUUAAUUUAAUCUUUGCAAAAGACAUUAUUGUCCAUAUGCCUAAUGCUAUUGUGACUCAAUCACUACUAAAAACUCCAAAAAAUUGACAUCAUUAUGGAAAACUCAAGUCUAAGAAACGAAAGUAAAACAUGCAUUGGAUACUGAGGGAAGGAACAACAUGGCAGAAAGCGAGUCAACAGGUGAUUACAAUACUUAUAACUGCUGAUAAUUUUCCAGCAAUUCACCUUGGCUACAAUGUAUUCCUUUCAAUAUUUUUUUUUUUUUGAAAUACUUUCCUUAAAGGUGCAACUUCUUACCAAUAGAAAGGGCUUAUAGAAAGGAAACAAAAAGUAUAGUGGCAAGGCUUAUUUGUCUACCAACUAGAUAGUCAAGUACAAUUUGACUAUUUAGGUGUUUUAGUAACUGGUGCUAUUUAGGAAGCACUGUGACUUUUGGUCCAAAGUUACAUAUAAAAGCAGUUGAUCAACAAAGUGAUAAUAGUGGUCAAUUCUAGAAGUGUAAUUUACCUAUUACUCAUGCAAGUAAACUGGUUAUGCAAAAAACACAGCAGCAAAUCUAUUACAAUCUGAUAAAUGACAAUGAGAGUCAGGUUCUGAAAUUGAAUAGAUAGCAUUGUUAAUCUUGGUUGAAGUCAGAAAAGAUGAGUAAAAACCAGUUGAUGCAUAAGACGGAUCAAUAAACUGGUGUAUUCAGAGUAAUGAUAAUAUAACUAACCUCAGAUCUUGCAAGAUCUUCAUCCCUCAAUGCAGCUUCAGUGAUCAAUGGCAUGUGACCCAAUAGAUCAUUCUCAGAUGGCAGAAUCUCAAAUGUACUACAAUACAUGAUUUAGUGAGCAAAAGAAACAAACAACACUAACCAACAAGAUUAGAAAGGAAAUGUAAAAUUACGCAUGCCUGAAGGUUUUCAGUAUCUGAUUCCACAGGGCAUCUUGAGAUCCACUUGGAUUUUUUUUAACAAAGUGGAGAAAGUGAAUUGUAAUCAGUAUUGUUUUGAUCGUCUCUUCAUAACUCUUUCUUGGUUGAUAAAGUUUUACCCACAGUUUAUCCUUAGAAAGCACAUAUACUUCAGGCAUGACAUAAGAAAUAUCAAAUUUCCAUGCAAUGACUUUCUUAUAUAUUUGCUGAAGACCAUCAUCAGAAGUCCCACAUACAUAAAUCUGCGUACAGAGCUCCUCUGUUAUCUCUCCAUCAUUCCACUGAAGCGGCAGCGUGGAAAAGGAAACCAGUUCCCCAAUGUGAUCAACAAAGUAGUAUUCCGUUACGGAAUCUGGUACAAUCUCACCGUCUUCAUCAGAUGAGGCCAUGACCUGUAUGCACCAAAAGAAUAUCUAAAUGUUCUUCCAUCAAUAUUUACCACAAAACUAUGGUCAGAUAAAAAUGUCAUAACAAUCUACAUGUUGGCAUAUCUGGGUAUAUAGGCUUGUAGACAUGCACAUAUGCACCAAAACAGAGCAAUCAGGCCAACAACCAGUCAAUUGUAUCCUAGUACGACAACUAACUAUAAAAUUCGUGCAACCAGUAAUGCAAGUAUCAUAAAAUUUCAACUUGGAAAACAACAUAAAACCAAGGAAAUCUGUGCAGUUAGACAAAGCAUCUUCACCAUAGUUGUCAAAAAGAGGCAUAUGAGUACCUGAAAUCAGUAAAAAGUGGAAAAAAUCAAAGAUCAUAAAUCCUGAAAAGCUAAGCAUUUUUCCUGGCUGCUACAAUAAAGAUGAAAAAUCUGUUCAACAAACAAACAAGACAAUUACGCAAGUGGCAGAUUAGCAUUUCACCAUCUAAUGGAAUUUGCACUAAUGUUUGAAGACUCCUGACUUUUGAACACAAAAACCAUCAAAUACAAAUUUUCUAUAGUAUGACUCGUGACAACAACUUGUUCAGUUUAAUGCCAAACUUGCAACCUCAAUCAUUUGAUUUCCAUUCAACUAUUAGCCUAAACCAAAAAAAUGUUUAAAAAAAAAGUACUACAUCUCAACACAAUUCUUCAACUCUUCUCUCAUAAUGUCCACACGCUGGCAGCUAAGUAACAUUGGCCCUAUACACCUCUAACUCAGCUGCUUUCUUUCAAUAACUAGCUCUUUAAAUUAAAAGAAUAUUUGCCAACACAAUAUCUGAUAAAUCUGCACAACUUUUCUUGUCGCGUCCUGGUUUCGGGGAAAUUUCAGCUAAGUAACACUAACCAUUUAGUCUUAAGUUUUAUGAAGUGACACUAACCAUUUAGUCUUAAGUUUUAUGAGGAGUCACCAUAUAAUAAACACAGUAAAAUUCAAACUAUGAUAGCAAAGAAGGCAAAAAUUUACAAACCCUAGCCCUGCAGUCUGCAGAAAAGCAAAAGACAGCCAAACCAAAAAGAAAAAGAAAAAGAAAAAGGAACAGAAUACUGGAAAGAAAAGAAUCCUAGAUCAUUUAAGUGAUAAACAAGAACCACAUUCUCAAAAAAUUCCAAAUUGCUUCUAACUUUGCUUGAUUUAGUGGGGAAAGUAGCUAAGAAGACUUAUACAAGAAAGCGUGAUUCAGCGGGAGAGAAGAAUUGAGCAAAGAAAAGAACAAAAUAAGCAGAGCCCAGACGACGAAACUAUGGGUAAGAGAGAAAAUGGGGGUUACCACUAGCUCGGAAUGAAGAUGGAAGGGACGAUCCCUCAAGCUUUUUGUCUGUUUCUGUCACGCUUUGUCAGAGGAAAGGACAAUGCGACUGUUGUGAGAGAGAGAGAGAGAAAUGAGUUGAGAAACGAAGCGGUGAAAUCAUUUUUGGGUGCAAUGGACGGUAGGAGAUUGGGCCAGCCGUCCAUUGCACUGGGCGGUUGGCCCUGCAGCUGCAGGUCCCCAAUCCUUACAUAAACCCAAGGAUAAUUUCGGAAAUCUCUCCUGAGAUUUUAAAUAAUUUCCUGGCCUUCUUUGGAACUUGGACCUGGAAUUUUGGACCCGGAAUUUUUUGGAAGUUCGUCUAAAACUUUAUUAUGGAUCACUGUAAAAAUUAUAGAAAAACUUACUGUAUAAGUUUUUUAAAAACUUUACUAUAGCAAAAAAAAUACAUAAGCUUUUUUUAUUGUAGCAUUUUUAAAAAAUUUUGUUGUAGCAAAAAAAAUAUAUAAACUUUUUUUUAAUAACUUCCAUAUUUUUUUUUACUGUAGCAAAAAAUUUUGCUCCAUAUUACUCUAACAAAAUUAUUUUGACUUUUUCCAACUAGUUGAUACAUUUAGGUAAACAUGUAGAUUUUCUUAUAUUUCACAGAAAUAUGGAAUCUCAAAAAAGUAUGCAAUUAAUCUGUUAUGCCACAAUAAUUUGGAGACCAGCUAAAAAUCUAUUACAUUCAUACAAGUGGCAAGGAAUCUGGUAAACAAGUAUAUGACCAGAAGAUUUGUUUUGGUACAUAACCAAAUAUUCAUAGAAAUAUUUAAAAAGAGUCAUAUUAUACAAAAAACUAGUUUGAGCUACGUGGAAAUCAAGUAAUCAGCGUGCAAAUUAGACGUGGCAACCAUAUACUACUCGUUUCGGUGAAAGUACAUGUGAUCAGCCAUUGCAUUUCGUAAUUUUUUCUAAUCAUGGAGUGCUUCUAGAGUGACGUGGAAUUAUGGCAUUUGAGCUCCCUCGGUACCUCCGUCAGCCAUAUUAGUUUCAUCCGUCAAAUAGACGUCAUAUGACUGCAUCUCCCUAAUGAAAUUAUGCAGUACACAGCACGACACUCAUGUUCUCUCUUUAAACUUCACCUAAACUCAAGUCCUUAAUGCAAAAAAAAAGCAAAAAACUAGCCAACAUGUAAUGAAACAAGAAACCAAAUUGCAUAAAGAUAUCCAUGUAUGUUAUAACACAAUGGACCGUAGAAGACAUGGACAAAAUGGUCCCCUUUCUAAACUAUGCAUGGUAUAAUUUCAGCACACUGAUCAGGUAGUAAAAGAAAGGAAACGAAUAGCAAAUGAAAUAUUUGCCAGACACCCGAGAAACAUAUUAAUUACAGCCUCAAACCACAGGAGUCUUCUAUUAACUUAUCACUGGACCAGAAAGUAAUGCAUAGGGAAUUCAAGGAAAGAAUGAAUUUACUGUCAUGUAAAAUGCACCACCGAAAUAGUUUGAUUGACUUUUUCCUCGACCUCCAUUCUCCUAAAUUUUGAAAGUUAGGAAUAUGUAUAAACAGAAGCAAAAUGGUUGUACAAGAGAAGAAAAUUAUGUAGUCAUAUGUUCAUCUCAACAAGCCAAAAUGAGCACAGAGCAUGAUAUUUGUGGAUAGGAACAUGCAAAUAUACAUAUACAUUCAGUGAUACGUUCCUCGAUCAACUUGUUUCGAGACACGUAGCACGUUUGUCCAAGGAUCAUUGCGUGGGCCAAUGGGACUCGGACUGGGUCAUUGCGGACUUGGACUGGGUCAUUGCGUGGGCCAAGGUCCGUGCACACAUCAUUCAGGUUACAUCAUCCACAUAGUUGCCAAAAAACCAUUCUGUGUUCCAGUCCCAAUAUCAAAAUGGUCCACAAAGAUUAUCACUUCAGCUUUCUUCUCCAACAAAUUAGGAAGAAAAAAAAAGAGUAAAGGAGCACUGCAUACUAGCACGGCCACAUUCUGAGAGCAAACAUACGAACACACAGCAUAUAUAGAAUUUAAAGAAUAGCAAAAUAGAAAACUAUGGUAAAGAUUCCAGUUUCGAAAACAUCCUCAGCAUACUACUCCAAUCAAAUUGCCUUCUAAUUAAUUAACUCAGCAGCCUAAACCCAAAAAAUUAGCAUAUUUAAUAACAAAAUCGCCAAUAAUCCUUCACUAGUAUCUAAUACCGUGGGAGUAAUUAACAAAUAUUACCUUCUACUAUUGACUAUACGCUGCGUAAAAAAAAUAUUGGAGAAGUAAAAAAUGUCGAGCUCAAUUCAAGAGUUGAGUUAGAAGGGAAUGCACCGAAAAUUAGUACAGCAGUCUUCCUUUAGCAACGAUAACAGUCGUUUCUUGCAGGGUUUGAACUGGUAGAGGGGAUGAAAGUGCCACCGCCGGAGUGUCGGAUGGGAUUGCAAAAGCCUAGUUUAUGAACCUUCGGUGGACCAAUCAAGCACACCGAAUGGGUUUCACCAAGAAAAAAAUAAUCCCGCCGCUUCUAUUUGCUCCGAUCAGUUGCACACUCUGGCGUAUUGCUUGGUCGACUCCGGAGAACUACUCAGAGAGCCCUAGCCUUCUGUGCAACGAAAGAAAAACAAUUGGAAGAGUCUUCUAUUUUGCUUUGAAGUCAAAGGGAAAAAACAAGUGCCAAAACGACGUCAUUUUCUUAAAAAUUUUAGAAUGGGGUGAAAGUUUGUUUGAAAUUUUUGGGGUUCCUGUAGCAAAAGUUGUUAAAUUCCUAGUAGCAAACAAACUUGCCUUAAGUCCUCCACUGCCUUGAGCAGCUGGUCCAAUACCCGGAUGAAUCAAAGGCUCCCCAACCGUAAAGCGAAGUAUAUGCCAAGGAGAACUACAUGCUCUAUUUAGGCAAGUUUGUUUGCUACUAAGAAUUUAACAACUUUUGCUACAGGAACCUCAAAAACGUCAAACAAAACUUUCGCCCCUUUCUGAAACUUUUAAGAAAACAACGUCAUUUUGACACUUGUUUUUUCCCUUUGACUUCACAGCAAAAUAGAAGACUCUUUCUCUUGUUUUUCUUUCGUUGCACAGAAGGUUAGGGCUCUCUGAAUAGUUCUCUGAAGUUGACCAAGCAAUGCACCGGAGUGUGCAGCUGAUCGGAGCAAAUAGAAGUGGCAAGAUUAUUUUUUUUCUUGGUGAAACCCAUUCGGUGUGCUUGAUUGGUCCACCGAAGGUUCAGAAACUAGGCUUUUGCAAUUCCAUCCGGCACUCCGGCGGUGGCACUUUUAUCCCCUCCACCAUUUCAAGCCCUGCAAGAAACGGCUGUUGUCGUUGCUAAAGGAAGAUUGCUGUACUAAUUUUAGGUGCAUUCUCUUCUAACUCAACUCUUGAAUUGAGCUCGGCAUUUUUUACUUCUCCAAUAUUUUUUUUACGCAGCGUAUAGUCAACAGUAGAAGGCAAUAUUUGUGAAUUACUCCCACGGUAUUAGAUACUAGUGAAGGAUUAUUGGCAGUUUUGUUAUUAAAUAUGCUAAUUUUUGGGUUUAGGCUGUUGAGUUAAUUAAUUAGAAGGCAAUUUGAUUGGAGUAGUAUGCUGAGGAUGUUUUCGAAACUGGAAUCUCUACCACAGUUUUCUCUUUUGCUACUCUUUAAAUUCUAUAUAUGCUGUGUGCCUGUAUGUUUGUUCUCAGAAUGUGGCCGUGCUAAUUUGCAGUGCUCUUUUACUCUCUUUUUUUCUUCCUAAUUUGUUGGGGAAGAAAGCUGAAGUGACAAUCUUUGUGGACCAUUUUGAUAUUGGGACUGGAACGCAGAAUGGUUUUUUGGCAACUAUGUGGAUGAUGUAACCUGAACGUAUAUGUAUAUUUGCAUGUUCCUGUCCACAGAUAUCAUGCUCUGUGCUCAUUUUGGCUUGUUGAGAUGAACAUAUGACUAUAUAAUUUUCUUCUCUUGUACAACCAUUUUGCUUCUGUUUAUACAUAUUCCUAACUUUCAAAUUUUAGGAGAAUGGAGCUCGAGGAAAAAGUCAAUCAAACUAUUUCGGUGGUGCAUUUUACAUGACAGUAAAUUCAUUCUUUCCUUGAACUCCCUAUGCAUUACUUUCUGGUCCAGUGAUAAGUUAAUAGAAGACUCCUGUGGUUUGAGGCUCUAAUUAAUAUGUUUCUCGGGUGUUUGGCAAAUAUUUCAUUUGCUAUUGGUUUCCUUUCUUUUAUUGCCUGAUCAGUGUGCUGAAAUUAUACCAUGCAUAGUUCAGAAAGGGGACCAUUUUGUCCAUGUCUUCUACGGUCCAUUGUGUUAUAACAUACAUGGACAUCUUUAUGCAAUUUGGUUUCUUGUUUCAUUACAUGUUGGCUGGUUUUUUGCUUCUUUUUUGCAUUAAGGACUUGAGUUUAGGUGAAGUCUAAAGAGAGAACAUGAGUGUCGUGCUGUGUACUGCAUAAUUUCAUUAGGGAGAUGCAGUCAUAUGACGUCUGUUUGACGGAUGAAACUAAUAUGGAUGACGGAGGUACCGAGGGAGCUCAAAUGCCACAAUUCCACGUCACUCUAGAAGCACUCCAUGAUUAGAAGGAAUUACGAAAUGCAAUGGCUGAUCACAUGUACUUUCACCGAAACGAGUAGUAUAUGGUUGCCACGUCUAAUUUGCACGCUGAUUACUUGAUUUCCACGUAGCUCAAACUAGUUUUUUGUAUAAUAUGACUCUUUUUAAAUAUUUCUAUGAAUAUUUGGUUAUGUACCAAAACAAAUCUUCUGGUCAUAUACUUGUUUACCAGAUUCCUUGCCACUUGUAUGAAUGUAAUAGAUUUUUAGCUAGUCUCCAAAUUAUUGUGGCAUAACAGAUUAAUUGCAUACUUUUUUGAGAUUCCAUAUUUCUGUGAAAUAUAAGAAAAUCUACAUGUUUACCUAUAUGUAUCAACUAGUUGGAAAAGUCAAAAUAAUUUUGCUAGAGUAAUAUGGAGCAAAAUUUUUUGCUACAGUAAAAAAUUGUAGCAAAAAAUUUUAUUUGGAAGUUAUUAAAAAAAUUUUAUAUAUUUUUUGCUACAGUAAAGUUUUUAAAAAACUUAUACAGUAAGUUUUUCUACAAGUUCUACAGUAAAGUUUUAAACAAACUUCAAAAAAUUCAGGUUCCAAACGGGGCCAUUGUUCUUUCUUGUGAUUUUAAAAAUAUCACUAACCUGUCCUGAAACCAAUUUUCUUAUAACAAUUUAGUCCAAUUAAAAAAAAACAAUAAAAAGAUAAUUUCAGGUGUGAGAAGAUUUGUUUAUGCUAAAAGUGUCCCUUAGCUAUUAUAUUAGUUAGAUUAAAUAUUUGAUCUAACUUGUUAAUUUACUUAUGGGGCCAUUACUAUACAUGGUCAAUAAAAAAUUUCCAUUAUCCAUAACAAAAAAUAAAACCUUUCAAGAUUUAACAAAAACCAUUUUUUCCAUACCUUAAGAAUUUUGCUAUCACCACAAUUAUAAGAAAAAUCAACUCAAAUGAAAUCUCUUUAUAUCUUGUUCCUUUUAUUUAUCAAGUGCAUAAAUUGGAGAAAAAGAUGUCUAGUAUUGGAUCUGCUUUAGAUGCCAAAUUAGUUUUUUGCUACAUUUCAAAUUAUGGUUAAUUCAGUUUGUAAACUGUUUAAUUAUUUCUCCCUUUAAUUUAUCAACUGCAUUACGUCUAAUUUCUUUAUUUGUCAAGUAUAUAAAAAUUAAUAAAGAUGCACCUAAUAUUGACUCUAUGUUUAGAUGACAAAUUAAUUAACUUUUUACAAUCCAAAUUAUGGUUAAUGUAGUUAGCAAAAUUUUAACUUUUUUCCUUCACAUAUAUGUGUAAUUAUCCUAAUUAUAAGUUUAAAAAAGUCAUAAGGCCAUUAGUGACGUAAACAUUGGGUCCCAAAUGACUGACAGGGGAGGUAAAUGAAAUUUUCAAAACCUUAGGGGAUGAUAAUGAAAUUAUUAAAAACCUCAAGGGAAGUUUCUGAAAUUAUCCCUAGACGAAAGUAUUUUUGACCAACAUAAUUCUUGUUCUUUUCAAAAAAGGUAUAGGGCUAAUAACAAAAAGGGUAAAUUUUAUUUUGCACCCUUGAACCAUAUUGCAACCCCCACUUUAGUCCCUGAACUUCAAUUUGAUACAUUUAACUCCUUAAACUCUUAAUUUUGUGCCAUUUUAAUCCAAUUGGUAAUGGAAUGUGUAAAGUUAACAGAAUAAUUACCCUUCUUCAUUAACUCGUCACUGCAACUCAAAUAUACCAAUAAAACUAGGGACAUACAAGUUAUUUCAUAAAAGAAGCACUCUUCACAAAUUCCUUUCUUGUUUGGUUGUUCCCUUCUCUUCUAACAAAUCUACAUAAAGACGGCAACAAUUGAAGAUUUAAAUCCUUAAGCAAUACAAAAGUACGAAUUACAAACUAAUUAAUGAAACAUGCAAUGACAUUGAAAUAGCAUAUAUUGAAACCAGACUACGGGAUGGCUCAAUUGAGAAUCUAUGGACUUGGAGUUGGAGGGUUUAAUGUCUGUGAGGACCGAACAUCGUGAUAUGGUGAAGGUGUUGGAGACAUUUGCUUUGGUGCUCAACGCCCGCCACAUUACGCACUUGGAGGUGGCAGCAUCUGCCCAAGACAUGGAUGAAGUAAAUUAUGCUAGUGGUUGUACCUAUGGAGCCAAUAGUGGAGAACAGGGAAACAGUGAUUUUUUUUUUAAUUAGACGGUAACAGUUAGUUUAGCUUACUCAUACUCCUACUCCUACUCCUACUCCUAUAUUAACCUACACUGGGGGGGAGAGGCCCAAUGAAAUCCAGGGACAGUGGUUAUUGGUUUGUAAAUUUGGGGUACCAAUCAAGACAGGGAAGACGGGUUACCAAUCAAGAUCAAAUUUGGGGUGAUAAAAUUUUUUUUUUUUGUGAUUUAUCUAGAAACUAAAUUCUUUCCUUUUUCCUCUAUUUGUUAUAGGGCAAUUCAAACUAGAGGAAAGUGGUAUGUGGAGUAGAUAUAUUAUAAUGGAUCGAGUUAUGACUCCCAUGUGAUUUUACAGAAUUUGGGUUGAAGUAUUAGUGGUUAGAUACGGCUCUUCCUGGAAUUCGCAUUAAUAUAGGAGUCGGGAUUAAACAAUUAACAAUAUCUAUGGGUGAGGAUUUAGUGUGAGGUGAGGGGCUGAGGCUAUGGUGGAGCGCCAAAUCAAGAUGUUUUCUGUGUCUUCUGGGGACGAUGAGAAAAGAAUAACAACAAAAAAUGAAAAAAAUUCCAUUUGGUGCUUACAACGACUCUCAGGAAACCACCUAACCUCGUGAAGGCAUCACCACUAUUUUCUACGAACCCAAAUUCCAAAAACUAGAGCAGAGAGAUAGAGCAAUUAGGAAGAUUAACUUGUGCUAACAUGUCAAUUAAUAUUCAAUAUUCAAGUAAACAAACUCCACUAGAAUUCCUAUUACACGUAUUUUGUCUUGAAGGUAGCUUAAGGUUUAUUCUGCCCCAAAAAUCCGAAGAAUCUGAUGGAUAUCAUGGGUUGAGAAGAUUUUAAGGAGGAGAGUAUGACUAUCUAUGCUUUGACCCUAGAGAAAAAUCCCAAGAAUAUGGCGUUUUGCUCAAAGGGAAGAACAACAUGGGUUUUUGACCUUUGAUGAUGUGCUCCUAGAGAAGAAAGAAAGGAAUGAGGAAGAAGAUAGAAGAAAAAUAAAUGGAAAAUGAGAAGAAAAGAAAAUUUCUGAUUGAUUACAAAUCUCUAUAGUUCUUUUUUGGCACUUAUGAAAUUACAUUUAUGUCCUUAUUAGAUUUGGUUUAGUUUAAUUGCAACUAGUGUUUGAGACAUACCCUAACAUGUGUGCAGUUAAUAAAAAAUAUAUUUAUCAAAAUUAUCUCUUUAUAAUACUUUUCUUAUUAGUUAAAUUAUUUUAUAAUGUAGAUACAUAUACAGAAAGAUGAUGGAAGUUGAGCAGAUUACGUGACACUUGGAAGCUAGUGUGGAAAAGUGACUAAUCUGGCUUCAAAUCCUCUGUCCCCAAAAUAGUCUCCAUCCCCUCUGUCCCUUAUUUGUAUAGCUGCCACGUGUCUCUAGCCUUUUGUUAAUCGAAACUCAAAUAAAAUCGAUAAUCAUCGAUUUACAAAUUUUAUUAACUCAAAUUCAAACAAAUCGAUAAUAGUCGAUUGACAGGUUUACUCAAAAUCAAUUAAAACAAAUAACUCAAAUUCUUAUCAACCAUGUGUGUGUUUAUAUCAACUUAUUUAUCUAUUUUAAUUGAUUUUGAAUAAACCUGUCAAUCGACUAUUAUCGGUUUGUUUGAAUUUGGGUUAACAAAACUUGUAAAUCGAUUAUUAUCAAUUUUAUUUGAGUUUCAGUUAACAAAAGGCUAGAGACACGUGUCAACUAUACAAAUAAGGGACAAAGGGGACAGAGACUAUUUUGGGGACAAAGGAUUUGAAGCCGAAUAAUCUCAACAAAAAACUGAUUUAAAUAGCUCUCUCCUAAUUGUAGGGAAAUUUUUUCUAAUAAACUAGGACAACUUUACCCUUGUCAUUAAGGGUACAUUAGGAAUUUUAAAAAAUGACAUUAUGUGUUUAUACCAUACAAUGAUGCUCAAACAUUAUAUAUAGUAUAAAUAACAAACUAACACUAUUGGCAAUUGUUCUGUUAGAUUUUGUGAAUUUCAUCAAAAACUAAAGUGAAGUGAAACGGAUUUUUUAGUACAGGAAUUUAAGUGUCCCAUUUUGAAAUUUAGAGAUUGAAGUUACAUAUAAUUUGAGUGAACAAAGUGGAAUUACCCCUAACAAAAACUCCCCUUAAGGUAUAGUCACUUUUGCACUUUGUAUCAUUUUUUUUCUCACUUUAUCCCAAAACUCUCAGUUAAUUCUAAUAUUAUGUAAUGAUGAUAUUAAAAAGACAUUUAUAUCUCUAAGAGUUAACUAUGGUAAAUCCCUUUAAAGUAUACCUUGUUUGUGUUUUAUUCCUUACUGUCAUUUUUUAUCAAUUUGUUUUUUGUUAUUAAAAUUAUUAGUGAACUUUAAUAUUUAACACCUAGGGCAAUUAAUAUCUAAAAAAUAAAUGUUCCUAACAUAAUAAUAAAAAAUUAUAUUUUUAUAUAUAUGAUCUCAGCUAAAUUUCAUUCCAUAAUUGCACAAUUUUUAGAUUGAGAAGACUAUCUUGCUAAUUUGACUUAAUAAUGGGAAAAAUUGUUAUUAAAAAUUAAACUAUGUAAAAUAUUUUUAAAGUCUAAAAAUGAUCGGGAUAUUGUUAGUUUCUUUUGGGAAUGCGCAUAUGUCUAAAUUUUUCUUUUAGUAGCUAAUUUUUUUUAUAUAUAGAAGUAUACAUUUUUUUUUUGUUGAUAAUGCUAAAAACAAGAAACAUGGUUGAUUUGGAGUUCAAAAUUUAUAGAGUUGGUCAUUCAAUACACCAUGCUUAGAUGCUAUUAAAAUUUAUUUGGAUUUCUAAAUUUUUCUAAAUUUUUUUUAUUGCAUCUAAACAUGUAUUUCAAUCGUAUUUCAUUUUUGCAGCCUCCUUGUUAUCUUACAAAUAUCAAAUUGUAAAAAGCGCUAUCAUUAAAAAAAAAUUUCAAAUAAUCUCCAACCCAAACGAACCUAUCUAUAGGCUUCUAUAUGACGACCCCACCAUAUUCCAAGGCAUACCCCUUAGGAUUUAACGAAUCGCCUGCCUAGUUCUCACUAGAAUUUAUUUCACAUUCAUCUAAACAUAUCAUUACCAUAAAAGAGUCAUAUAAUCCUAGUUGCAACUCAAAAGGACUUGAAGUACAAGUUAUAAUCAUAGAUCAUAACUACAAAUCAAGUUUAUUACAAUUUUAAAAUAUCGAGACUGAAAUCCACUAUUCCUUACCUCCCUUACCCUGCCGUCCCUGCAAGGAAAACAAUUAAUGGAUGAGUUUAUGCACAGUGAGGUCCCAAGCAAGCAAUAGUACAGGAAACAAGUAUUUGCCAACCAAAGUAUCAAUUUAUAAUAACAUAUGCAAAUUUCACAAGGCUCAUUAACAACUUUGAAGUAAAAUAGCACAAUUCACUAAAAGAAUACGAGCCCACUAUGGAAGCCAAUUCACUAUUACCGUACUAUCCACUGUCAAUCGUCCAAUGAUUUAUUUCAUUCAAUAAGCAAUUUAAUCAUCACUGGCUACAAGGCAAUACUCAAUUAUACCACAAUUUCACACACCAAAAAACCCAUAAUCUCCCAUGGGUCAACUAAUCUACGACAUCCAAGACUGCUAGCCUAUUUGACCAAGUCCAUUGUCAGCUCGAAUAUGCUGUCUGGCGAUGGGUUUUAGGACCUAGUUCAGCCGAUGUGAUACAAUACGCACCCGACCCACAAUACAUGCACAAGUAACAUAACUUUUGGAACAUUAACUUUUCAAUUCCAUUUGGAAUAAGGGCAAUAAAGUACACCCCUUCCAGCAAUAAUACCUUUAUACAUUCAAUUGAUUCAAAAUAAGUCAUCCAAACCAUCCAUUGAAUUCUAACAAUCAUAAACUGGUCAAGUAUACACCAAGUGUCAAUCAAAAUCAUUCAAUCACAUAUAACAACAGGAACACUCACCGAUUGAGGUUCAAUUUACACAAUGUUUUCAAGGUAGGGUUUUUGACUAAAUUCAACUCCUGAAAUCCGACAUAAGUAUUUUUGCAUAUGUAAUUAUCUCAAAUUUUUUAUUCUAAGAUACUAAAUGGUGUAUUUUCUAUACUAAUCUAAUUAACAAGUUUAAAUCUUAAAAAAUUAUGGUUUUGAGCUAUAGUUUAGUCCUUCGUAUUUUGUUAAACUUUAUAUAUUUAUGUAAUAACCCUAACUUUUUCUGAAAAUUUAUGUUUAGUGUUUAUAAUUUUCAAAUAACUUAGCAUUCUAGCUUUGAUUAAGUGUUACUUUAUUUUCUUUUGUUUUAAAAUUCAUUAUCUUUAGUUUUCUUCUUAAUUUUAGUACCAUAAAUUCUAAGGAUCUAAAUUCACCUAAGUUUAAUAAAACUUCCGUCCCAUUUUAUCAUUUAAGUUUUCACAACUUUUUUACCCUAAAUCAAAUAUAUUUAAUAUGUAUAUCAUAACAAAAAAAAUAUGUUAUAUGUACGCAAAAUUCAUUUUCCCCUUGUUUUUAAAACCUAACAUGCAACCAAGAGACUAUAAGCUUCAAAUUCUUCCCAAAAUCUCAAAAUUCCUUACUUAAUCCACUAUGCACUUCAUCCAUGUCAAGAUAAUUGAAAUUAAUGACAUACGAAGUGAAUUCUUUGUACGUUUCAACAAAUUUCUGGAACAAAAUGGGAGGAAUUAAAGUUGAUCCUUCAUGGUUCAACCAGAAAUUUUUCCAUCUUUGAUGUUUCUUUUAAAAAUUGAUCUUUUCUUACUUUUAUCUCAACAAAUUUCACAUGUAUGACUAGAUUAAGGAAAUGGAUGAUAUACGAAGUAAGUUUUUAACCAAAACCAACAAAAUGUUUGGUGGUAAAGCUGAAAAUUCCCAACUUCAUUCCAUCGGCCCACAUGCAGCAUCAAAAAUAGAAACUUCAGCAAGGUUUUCUUCAUAAUUCACACUUAUCCUACUUUGAUUUAGGUCAAAUAUUGCAUGCAUGUCAAGAUAAGGAAGUUAGGAUUCAUGUAAAGUGCAUUUAGACACAAUCCUAUAAAAUUUUGAGGGAAAAGAACCAAAAGGUUGUAGUUUUACUCUAUUGGGUUUCAUGUAGCACUUUGUAUAACGACCCCACUUCUCCCUAGGGCGUACCCGAGGGUUUAGCGGACCGUCUGCCCAACUCUCGUCAGGACUCACUCACUCUCGAUUUCAAGACAACAAGUUAUAACUUCAAAAGGAAACGAAACAACAGUUCCAAAUUUAGAAUGUACAUUUAUGCUCAAAUCUGUCUCAGUCGUUCAUACAUUCUCAAAUAUAACAAAAGAUUUUAAGUUCCAGAUAAUUUUCAAUCCUAAUCGAGCACUAGCGCGAGUGCAAUUCUAAAAAUUCAAAAACUAGACAAUGCUAGUCUGUACCAGUCUCACGCCCACGCUCGUACCUCCUGUAAGGAAAACAAAACUAAUAGGGUGAGUCAAAAUUGAGUGAGGUUCCAAACAUCAUGCAAAAAUCAAGUAGCAAGUUGACCACCGUAUAAAACUUGAAAUAUCAAAGUAACGAGUAUAAGAGUUCAUAAAAAUGAGCAAUAACACUUCAAAUAACAAAUCAUUGGAUAUCCAACAUUUCCAAGUAAAAGGAUACAACAGCUCUUGCGAAUUAACUCUACCAUAACUUCAUCAAAUAGUAGUUGACACUCCGUCAACUUUCAAAUAGAGUAACUAGUCCAGUAGUGCACCACUUAACUCCAAUCUCUAUCCAUCAUUCAAACCCCCUACCGGGCCCGAACUCUAAUAUAACAGUGGUGGUAAUACUUGAGCAUAUCAAUUAAUCGAUGAGAUAAUACUUCACUCAACAAAGCAGUAGAUCCAGGGUUCAUGUAAAGAUCGAAAACAAUCUAAGAGGGGGAUGAAUUAGAUGGUUUUAAAAACUUACCAAGAUAUGAGUCACUUUUUGAGUACUUGUCCUCUUUUUCCAAACGACCACACAAUCGAGCAAUAGAAGAGAAAACACAAGUGCUUGUGAGUAAAAGAGAUGAACAGUUUAUAUAUCAAAAUAGUAAGUAAAAGGAGAUAGAAUAUCAAACCAAAUGUCAAACUCCUCUUGAGUUUGGAUACCACUUUACAGAGUAAGUUUCUUCAAGUUAAUUAACUUACAACUAAUCUUUUGUGUACAAGUAAAGAAUCACUUCCUCCUUACUCCAAACCACAUUUGGUCAAACAAGAAAGUUUUACAAUCACUCGAAUAACCCUUACAAAGCUACACUAUUAAAGUAGUUGACUUACACUAGAAAAACUUAUUGAAAGUGUGAGGCCCCAGUUCGUUCUACGUUGAUAUAUUCAUUAAUUGGGUGGUAACGUUUGGUUUUGGGAGUAUUUCGAAAACCCUAAGUAGGGAUUAAGAUUUAAACCCUAAGUUCCGGUUAAGAUUGAAAACCCGUUUUUCUACAUUUUCUUUAUUAGAAAAUUCCCCAGAUAAUUUUUAUGAGUAAAUAUAGUUUUUAGAUGAUUUUUCUAAUAUUGGUUAGAUUUUGAGAAAUUAAGAACGUAUAUCGGAUGUGGGACCCACUAGUGCGAAAAGUUCGGAAAAAUUCGGCCAAUUAAGUUAAAUUCCGGAUACUGUGUAAAAUUUAUCGGGUGUUAAGAGAUAAGUAGAGAGUGAGAUAUGAUUGAUGUGAGAGAGAAAAGAAAGGAUAGGAAUGCAUUAAUGGUGGUGACAAGUGUCACCAUUUCAUUGGAGAAGACUUAAGAAUUACUAUUCACUUUCUUGACUUUUUUGACCAAAAGAUUAAAUAUCCAAAAAUUGCUCAAAAAUCACCAUUUUCUUCCUUGUGUUGCCCGGCCCUUUCUCUCUCAAAGAAGAAGGAAAUUCUUCAACUUUCAAGCUUCCAAUUGGACCAAAAUCCACCAAAUCAAGAGUUUAAGUUAGUUUUACUCCAUACAAUCUUUCCUUUUGGUGAUAUUGGUUGGCUUAUUGAAGCUUUUUGGAAGAGCUAAGGUGUCCAUCAUCUUCCUCUCUCUUGUUAUUAGGUGAGUGAUGCUUCAACCUUUCCCCUAUACUUAAUGAUGGUUUUUUUGUGCUUAAUGGUGGCUUGAGUGAUGGAAUAUAUGAUUUAUUUCUUGAUUUGAAGAGUUUUGGUGAAGUUUUUAUUUUAUUGGGAAUUUUUCUGGUUUAAUAUGAAUGGGAUGUUGUGGCCGUGUAUGAUGAAUGGUAAUGGACUAUAAUGACUCUAGUGGGUGUGAAUUGUGGAUAAAUGCAACCAAUUAUGGAUUUGGAUUGGAAAAUGAAAAGAUAGGGUUCAUAAAACCCCAAUUCUGUCCGGUUUUGGAUCAUAGGGUUAGAGGCCGAAUUUGACUUUGCUCAAAACAUGAAAGUUGUAGGUAUUGAUGUGUUUGAGGUGCCUGUAAAAUUUCAGGUCAUUUGGAUUGAUGUAGAAUGAGAUAUGACGAAAUUACUGUAGCUGUUCUGCUUUGGACAGAAUGCGAAAACUGUACUGGUAAUUGGCCAUUUUGACUGGAAUUGGUUUGGAUUUGGAUGUUGGUGUCUUCUGAUGAAAUGUAGCUGGACGUCUUAGCUACCAUAUGCCUUUGGAAUUUCGGCAUUUGGACUUGUAUAGACUAAGUUAUAGUCAUUACAGUUUUAUGUGAUUUGCAAACCUGUUUUGGUAAUUCUGGAUUUGUAUUUUGCAUAUUUGACCUAGUUGUGCUAGGAUUUGGACUGAGUGGCCUUCUACAUUGUUGUACUCCUGUUUCUUAGCUUCGAAACGGUGGGUCUUACACCCCCAUCCGAUAACCGUAGUGAAUUUGGUGCCAUUACCGCAUAUUGAGGUCAAAUACGGUUUGUGAUUCUAGUACGUUUUUGGAAAGUUUAUGGCUGGAACUUUGGCUUCACAUUUGACUGAGUUACAAGCUGUUUGGGCUUCCGACCAAAACACCAAACUUAUAGCCCUAUAUCAGAGCUUUCUAACGCCCUUGGAAUUUCAUGAAUCGGAUUUAUAAAAUCUGAGAUAUAGCCGAGCAAACAAGGCCUGCCCGUGAAAAUGACCAGAAAUCUGUUUUGGUCCUGAUGACCAAUUUCCGUUCCGAAUUUGGAUUUCCGACCUUCAUGAAAGUUGUUCCAUUUGGAAUGAACUAUCUAACUACCAAUUUUCAGCUCUUUUAACCAUGUGUAGCAUAGAAAAUAGUUUGCACUCAAAACUGACCAUUUGUACAUUGGCCAGAUUUCGUAAGUGAUUGUGUUUGGUUCAUUUGGGACUAAAGCCUCCAGUUUCAGUUCUGGAUGUCUUCAUAACAGUUGUUGUUCAUCCUUUAAGCUUCGAUAUGGCCUCUCAUACGCCUUAAUCCGAUGUUCGUAACUCAACUUAUGAGUAAACUAGAAACGAGUGUCAAAUCUGCCGUUUCCGCUAACGGCCGUCUCCGUUUCCGUUCGUCAUAUUUACGUGCGCGCGUGCCGUUUUUGCCAUUUUGCUUGUUUUAGGCACGAUAGUAGUCGUUUGCGAUAUUAUGUGACACAAUCUUCUAUUUCAGACGGUGGUGAGUUGGGCGGAACUGGUGGGGCCCACUACUAGCUGUUCAUUUCGAUCCGACUUCGUACUUUUGCUAUUUCAGUUUCUGGGUAAGUAUUCAGGCCAGUUUGGUGUGUUUUCUUUGCUAUGUGUUUGAGAUAUGUGAAAAGGGCACUUAGGCAAGGGUGUACUUUAUCGCACUCGACCUAAACCCUAAUUUGGAUGUAUAAUUGUACUUGGCAUAUGUAUAUGAACCUUUUGGAACCAAAACCCUUGAGCUUGUGGCUCGGGGCGACUUUCAAAUAAAGUUUGUAAAGUUUGCAAAGUUUGUGAUUUUGAAUAAUUUUGUGAAGUUUGUGAGUUUGGGGCGAACUCUUGACCUGGUUGGACUAUUCGAGCCGGUUAGGGCUUGGUCGAAGGCAGUCCAACUUAGUCUGAGGUCACCAAGUUUGUAGGUUCAUGUUAUGAACCAAUUUUGUAAAUCCGGUUCACCGAGAAGGUGACCAAGUUUGUGACCCGAGCUUGUGACUCAAGCUCAAGUUUGUGAUUUCGUUCGCCCGGGCAAGUUUGUGAGGUGACUGGCCAGUGAGGGUGAUAAGGUGUUGGUGGGUGUACAAGUGAAGUUCUACGGAUUAUUAUUUGUGGUCGACGGAGUGUCGGCAGGAGAUCAUGCAUGGCACAUGAAUUGGCUUUGGAGCCACCCGUAUCCUUAUUAUAUGAUGUUGUUCUUUUCUGCUUUUGCUUUACUCUUAUUGUGUAAUUGUUGCUACAUGAAUUUACGCUUUCGCCCCUGUUUACUUACUAAGCAUAUAGCUUACCCCAUUCCUUUUGUUUUCCUUAGCAGGGGCCGACGCGGGGACUUUUGGCUCGUAUACUAGUAUAGUAAGAUUGGCUUGUAAUAGUUCAACAGUUAGGAUGUUUGUUUUUGUUUUGGUGGUUUGACUCGAUACUUUUGGAGAAUGUAAUUAUAACUCUUUUGGGAUUGUAUAUAUUGUUUUUAGUGCUCUUUCGAACUUUAAGUUUUGAGUCCUGGCGCGAGCUAGGCAGGCGGCCCGCCGAUACCCUUGGGUUCGCCCUUGGGAGAAGUGGGGUCGUCACAGAAAGUUACACAACUAAGAGUACAAAUCUUCUUUUUGAAGAGUAUUCUCACACUUGAAUCACUCUUGAUUGAUGUAGUUUCAAUGUACAAAGUUAUUUUAAAGUGAUUGAUUUUGUUCUAUUUAUAUGAGACCAAAAAGUUUCUCAAUUAAUGCUUCCAACGGAUAGAAGACAGUUGAAGAGUCAACUAGUCGUUGGUAGUAUCGGACGUCCGGUAGAUCAACUUCUUACGUCCGAAUAUGGGCAGUGAGUUCAAGAAAUUUUCUUGAAUUAUAUCGGACGUCCAACACCUUCAAUGUAUGCGUCCGAAGGUAGGAGAUGAAACUGGGAGCUCUUCUUCAAUUCUUUUCGGACGUCCGGUCCCUCCAAGACUUUGCGUUCGAAGUGUCGCAACUCUUGUCGGACGUCCGGUGCUUUGAGGAUGUGCGUCCGAUCGAGGUCAGUGAGUUUAGAGGGAAUGACUCAAUAUCUUCGGACAUCCAAGGGUGAAGUUCUUCAUUUGUCCGAAGUUGUGCAAAGGUUGUCGGACGUCCGAUCCAGUCUUCUUGCGCGUCCGACAGCAGUUUCAAUAUCCUUUGUGCUUUAAUUUUUGAACCUGUUUUACUCUAUUUCUGAAAGAGUCUCUUUGAGAGAACAUUAGUAAUCAUCCAUUUAUUUUGUAAUUAUCAAAAGUUACGAACUGAGAUAAACAAUCUCUCUCUUUUUGAUGAUGACAAAACAAUGGAUCGAGAAAAAUAAUAGGGACACAACUCCCCCUUACUUGAUGCAGUCUUCUCACAUAUAGAUUAAUGGAGACAAAUCCUUUUAGAAUAAUUUGGGCACAACUCCCACUUAGAAUGAUUCCCCCUUACUUAUACAUCUAUUUCUCCCCCUUUUUGUCAUCAUUAAAUCAACCAGAAUCUGAUCAUCAAUAUUAGAGGCCAGUAUUUAAUAUUAGCAUUCAAGACUAUCAAGCCAAAAAUACAGCAUCAACAAUUUUUUGGCAAUUGUUAACAACAAAAAUUAGUAAUCACUCAUCCAGUCAAUACUAUUAGCAAUGCUAUCAAUAGCAGUAAUAUUGGCAACAGUAAGCAAUUAUUAAUAACAGUCAUUAUCAGAAUUUUAAGGCUAAACAGGGUUAAGCAACAUUCAUCCAAAACAGAGAGAUAAUCCAUAAGGACAACAUUAAUUCAAAACACAAACGAUGCCAAAAUAAAAUCCUUAGUACAGAACACAGACUGUUUAUAAUGUAAAAGAUGUCAAAAGUUUAGAAGUGCUUAAAUGAAAUACAUUUGCCUAGAGGUGCCUAAAAGGUGAUUUUGGAGGAUCCAGGCCUUCUCCUUGCUAUGUAGGAUCUUCUUCCUCUUUAGUAUCAUCGUCAUCAUCAUCCUCUACAGUCUCUUCUUCAGUUGCUGGAGUCUUUCCUUUAUUCUGUGGCUGAGAAUUGGAGGCACGGUACUCUAGGAUAAUUUCAGUAAUUGGCUCAGUUCUGGGCUCCUUUUGAUGUGCAUUUUCAUUUUCUUGAGGAAUUGGAGGCACAAACAGAUUCCUUUUAGCAAUGAAGGUGGCUUGUUGUUCGGAUGUCAUGAUCAUCAUCAGACCAUCUUCAAGGAGUAGAAUGUGUUGUUUGAGUUCCUCAAGCAGAGAGAUGACUUCAAGGUUGGAUGAAAAGGACUUGGUGGUUGACUUUCUAGGAUGAUAGUGAAGAGUGACACAUACGUGGACUGAUCACGAGGGGUCUUAGGGGUAACAGGAGUUUCAUGAAGGUUCUUUCUCCUAGACUCUGAAACAGUUUCCUUGUAACACCAAUGCCCCUAAAAAAAUUUCAGAUUUUUCCUUUCAAAAUAAGCCUUGGAGAAAAUAGUUGAUGCACCCUAUUUUGGAGAUUUUCCAAUAAAGGGGAUUUGAAAGUGAGCAAAGAUAGGAGUCAUAAAUUUUUCAUAGGAAAAUUUCCUACUACUAUUAGUGCUUAUUUUGAGCAAAAACUUGCACAUGACAAAACCAAAAAUUAAUUCUGAUUUUUUCAAGAAAGCAGUAGAACAGGUAAAAUUCUAUUUUGUUGGCGUUGGUUCUAUGACCAUCAGUGGGCACCAACAGAUUUGAAAUUAUGAAAAAAAUGAUCAGAUUUUGAGGAUUGAGAUCCUCCAAUCUCGCCUCAGAAGGAGUAUUGAAAUGAGUUUGAAAAUAGAUCAUCAAUUUUGCAAUAUGAAAGUGAUGGUAGGCAGAAGAAAAUUCUUCGAAUGAAAAGAAAUUUGUAAUUUUUCCUUUAAAACCAUCUUUAAUUUUGGUUUCCAAAACAAUGUUGACAAUGUCAGGAUUCAGUUCUAUGUUAACAGAGUUGACACGUGAGAUGAGAUCAGUAUGUGACUUGCCCUUCCAAAAGUUAGAAAAAAAUUAAUGAAACAUGUCAGGAUAGUAUGUGUUUUGAAUGGUCAGAAGAUGGGCCCAUUUUUGGAAUUCAAAAAGGUUGAGAACAAGUUCAAGGUCAAGCUUACAGAAUUCGUAGGGGAUAAUGGUCCUCUGAGUGAUGAAACCUUUCUGUGAGAUCCAUUCGAACCUCUCUCUGGCAUCAUCAUCAAUGAACUUGGGUAAGGGAGUGGGUUUCUCUGCAGUUUGAGCCUCAGGUUGCUCAUUUGCAGGACGCUUUCUCUUUCCAGUGCGAUGAGUAGUUGGCACAGUACUCUGAACACCAGACCUCAUCCUUGGUGACUUCCUGGUAGAUGGUUUAGUAGAUUGCUGUUCCUCAACAUUUUUUUUUUUUGCAUCUUGCUAUUCCCCUGAAGGAUCAGCAGUUUCCCUUUCCUUGGGUUGAGCAAUGCUCUUCCUUUUAGUGGUCCUUUUUCCCUUCUUGGGUGAUUUCAUGACGGUUACAUCUUCAUUGGUUGGUUGCUCCAGUUUCUUUUCAUUGCCACUGAUUGGAUGCUCUUCAGAUUGUUGCUCCUCCAUCUGCUCAUCAGUUGGUUCAAUAGAUGGUUCUUUGGUUUAAAUAGUCUGCUUUUUCUUUGCAGACUGCUUCGUUUUUCCACCACGAUUUCCAGUUCUCUUUUUGGGUAACUUGAUGGAAGGUUCGACAACUUGAACAUCUUCAUUCUUUUCAUCUCUAUGUCUGAAGGUGCGUCCGGCACUCACAAACCCUCCUCUAAUUCUCACCAUGAUUGCAAUGCAGUGUGUUUUUGAUGUAGUAUGUAAUGCAAAUAAGUGUCAAAGAAUUUGAAAGUGCAGUCUGAACUACAAUGGAUGUUAGAAUUCAUCCACAGAGAGUAAAUUUGGGUGGUUAGGGUUUCGGGUUAGAAAUGAAAUUUAUAGUGCAGUUAGAAGUUGAGAGAAAUUAUGAUGAGCAAUAAACUUGGAAUAGGCAUGUAAUGAUGACAAUCAGAGUGAUUACUUGGAACUUGUUCUGAAGAGAGAUGAAUUUGAAUUUUGAAAUGGAGAAAAUAUGAAGGGUUGCAUCCGAUACGAGGGGUGAGAAUGAACUGAAUGACGCAGAGAACUUCUUUAUAAGAAGCAAUUUUUGAGUGUCGGACGGCCGAAUGAAGUAAAGCGUCCGACAUGACCGUCCGAACCAGAAUUUUCUGAAAAAAUGAUCAAGAACACUAUCAGACGUCCGUUCUAACACAUCGGACGUCCGAUAAAGAGUGAUCAGAGAAUUUUUAGAGUAUUUUUUCUGAAACGCCUAAUUUUAUUCUCAAAAGCACAAAUUGAUCCAGUGGUAAGGUUUUUAUGAGAAUAUCAGCAAUUUGAUCUUUCGAACAGACAUAUUGAACACAAAUUUCACUCUUAUGGACAAGAUAGCAAAUGAAAUGAUACUUUAUGUCUAUGUGCUUUGUCCUAAAAUAUUGGAUGGAAUUUUUUGUCAAAUUUAUUACACUAGCGUUGUUACAAUACAUAGGCAUAUAAUCAUACAUCAAUCCUAAAUCAUUCAAUGUGUUUUUUAUUCACAAUAAUUGAACCAACAAGCAUCGGCAGCAACAUAUUUCGCUUCGGUUGUAGACAGAAAAAUGGCAUUUUGCUUCUUACUAAACCAAGAUACUAAGUAUUUUCCAAAAAAGUUACAUAUACCCAUUGUACUUUUUCUAUUUACUCUACAUCCACCAAAGUCAGCAUCCGAGAACCACAUAAAGAAAAUUCAAGACACUUAGGAUACCAUAAGCCAAAAUUCAAAGUUCCUUUUAGGUAUUUAAGAAUUUUUUUUUACUGCAUUUAAGUGAGAUUUCUUUGGACAGGACUGCAAGCGAGCACACAAGCAUACAGCAAACAUGAUAUCAGGUCUACUAGCAGUUAAGUAAAGCAAGCUACCAAUCAUACCUUUAUACUUCUUUUCAUCAACUUUUGUACAUUUUUCAUCCUUGUCAAAUUUGGUAGAAGUGCACAUGGGUGUUCCAACUUGUUUUGAAUCUUCCAUUCCAAAUCUUUUGAGCAGUUCCGUGGUGUAUUUUACUUGAUUAAUGAAUGUUCCUUCUCGGAUUUGAACCACUUGGAGUCCAAGGAAGAAGUUUAAUUCUCCCAUCAUACUCAUCUCAAACUCUUUUUGAUUAUUGUGGAGAAAUUCUCACACAAACUCUCAUUAGUAGUACCAAAUAUAAUGUCAUCCACAUAUAUUUGUAUAAUUAACAGAUCAUGUGAACUUUGUUUAGUGAAAAGAGUGGUAUCUACAAUUUCUUUUUUAAAACUAUUUUCAAUCAAAAAAUCACUUAGACGUUCAUACCAAGCCCUUAGAGUUUGUUUUAAUCCAUACAAAGUUUUUGAGAGUUUAAACACAUGAUUAGGAUAAAUCUCAUUUUCAAAACAGGAGGUUGAUCAACAUAUACUUUUUAAUCAAUAAAGUCAUCUAAAAAGGCACUUUUUACAUCUAUUUGAAAUAGUUUAAAAUUCUUGAAACAUGCAAAGGCAAAAAACAUUCUAAUUGAUUCUAACCUAACCACGGGUGUAAAUGAUUCAUCAAAGUUUAUUCCUUUUCUUGAGCAUAUCCCUUGGUUACAAGUCUGGACUUAUUUCUAAUAACCUCACCUUUGUCAUUUAUUUUUUUUUUCUAAAAAUCCAUUUCGUGCCAAUGAUAGGAUGAUUUUGAGUUCUUUCAACCAAUGUCCAAACCUUGUUCCUUUCAAAUUGAUUUAGCUCAUCUUCCAUAGCUAAAAUCUAGUUCUUAUCUUUCAAGACAUCAACAACAUUCUUGGGUUCAAAAUAUGAGACUAAUGCAAAAUUAUCCAUCAAUUGUUUAGAGGAGGAGCGAGUUCUACCUUUUCUGAUGGAUCACCAAUGAUGAGCUGCUUAGGAUGGUUUUGAGCAAAUUUUCAAACUCUUGGAAGAUCGUUAGGUGUACUCAUAUCUCUGUCAUUAUCUUCCGAUGCUGGAAUGUCUUGAGAAUCAUCUUCCUUUGAAUCAUUUUCUGGUGAAGCAAUGUCUUGAUCAUUGAUUGUGAGUUUCUUUAGUUCUUCUUGAACACCUGCAUCAUCAUUUUCACCACUACUUUUGGAAAUAUCGCCAUUAGAUUUAUCAAAAGUAAUGUAUAUAAUUUCUUCAAUAAUCAGUGUCCUUCGAUUGUAAACUCUAAAACCUCUCUUAUUCUCACAAUACCUCAAGAAAAUUUCUUCAUCAGAUUUUUUAUCAAAUUUACCAAGAUGUUCCUUGAUAUUUAAAAUGAAACAUUUGCAACCAAAGAUUUUGAAGUAUCCAACAACAUGCUUUUUAUCAAACAUCAACUCAUAAGAGAUUUUGUUCAAGAUUGGUUUUAAAAGAAUUCUAUUCAUAGUAUAGCAAGUUGUAUUUAUGGCUUUAGCCCAAAAAUAUUUUGAUAAAUUGCACUCACUUAACAUAGUUCUAGCAGCCUCUUGAAGUAUUCUAUUCUUCCUUUCAACAACCCCAUUUUGUUGGGGAAUUCUUGCAAUUGAAAAUUUUUGUGUAAUGCCAUUGUUAUCGCAAAAUUUUGGAAUGCCACAAAAAUGAAAUUCUGUGCCAUUGUCACUUCUGAUCUUGAUGAUUUUUAACUCAAUCAGAUUUUGAACCUUUGUAAAUAAUGAAACAAAGUUUUUGAAAGCAUCAUCUUUGUGUGCAAGAAACAUAACCCAAGUGUAUCUAAAAUAAUCAUCAACAACAACAAGGUAAUAUCUUUUACCACCUAAACUAGUGGUUUGUGUGGGACCCAAUAAGUCAAGAUGUAAAAGUUUCAAAGGUUUGUGGUAGAAACACAUUUUUUGGGUUUAAAAGAAACCUUGACUUGUUUUUCAAAUUGACAAGCAUCGCAAAUUUUAUCUUUUUCAAAUUUGAUUUUUGGCAAUCCUCUAACAAGUUUCUUUUUGGAAAUCUCUUUUAGUAAAUCCAUUUUGAAAUGACAAAAUCUUCUAUAUUACAACCAAGGGUCUUUAUUUGUAACUUUAAGACAUUUAAAACUAGAAGAAUCAAUAUUUUUCAGAAUUACUACAUAAAUAUCAUUAACUUUUUUUUCCGUAAAGAUAGUAUUGAAUUUUGAGUAAAAAACAAGACAUUCAUGUUUUUUAAAAAAUACAAACAGAUUUCUAUCACACAAUUGACUAACACUUAACAAAUUAUAAUUCAGAUUGUCAAUUAAAAGAACAUUGUGAACAAAGAUUUGACCAUUUUUAGCAAUAUCACCAACUCCAACAGUUUUGGCUUUGUUAUCAUCUCUAAAAGUUAUCUUUUCACUUGCUUUUGGCUUGAGUUUGAUGAAUUGUGAUGGAUCAUCAGUCAUAUGCCUUGAGCAUCCAUUAUCUAUGAACCAUUUUGAUUCCUUGAUAAUACUCAUCAAAUUCACCUACACAAAAGUUCACAAGAUAAUAUUUGGUAUCCUUUACUUUUUGGGUCUUGAGAGUUAGUAUUAUAUUUAACUAUCCACAUGCAUUUCAUACUAUUUCUCAUAUUCUUCCUCACAUAACAAUUACUCUUCAUAUGACCAAUUUGACAAUAAAAACUGCACAUAGUCAGUGAGUUACUUGCAUGGACAGGUUUAAUAAAUUUGAUUUGUUUUCUCUUAUAAAUGGUAAACUCAUUUGCACUAGAAUUCAGUCUUUUCCCAUGAAUGUCAAAAUGAGGUUUUGUGUCAUUCCUUUGAAAGAAGUUUUAUUUUUUAUGCUGAAGCAACUGAUCAAGAUCUUUCAUUCUUUUUUUCAAGCUUUCUUGUUCAUUUUUGAUCAUGUCACAGAAGUUUGUUUUUUCUGUCGAGUUCAGCACAUAACUCAAUUUUAGUCCUAUUCAGGUUUUCAUUUUCAUUUUUCAGUUUCUUGUUUUGUUGAAACAGGUUUGCAUUGUUUUGAAUCAGAAAGUUAAUCUUUUGCUUUAGUUCAUUAUUUCUAACAUAGGAUUCUUUCAAUAUAUUGUGCAUUCUUUCCAUAAAAGAAUUAACAUCAUCACUACCAGUUUGAGAGUUACAGGUUGUUACCUCUUUAUCAACAAGGGCCAUGAAAACCAUUUGGACAGAUUCCUUUUCUUUUUCGACUUCACCUUCUGAGUUGCAGUCAUUCCAAGUAAUCUGGAAGUUGUUAACCUUUGGUUUUCAUUCAAAUUUUCCUUCUUUCUUUUUCUUCAUUGGACACUCAUUCGCAUGGUGCCCAGGUUGGUCACACUCGAAACAUUUGUCAGUUUGUUUCUUGUUGAACUCUUGCUUUCCUUUGUUUCGUGAGUUGUUGAACUGAUUUUGGAAUGAAUUGUUAUGUUCUCCAUUUUUGAAUCUUUUUUUGUUGAGAAUCCUCUUGAAAAUUCUUGUGAUGAGUGCAAUAUCACUGUCAUCAACUUCCAUAUCGUCUCCAUCCAAGGAGACUGAUCAUCUUUCUCUUGCGAGGUUUUUAAAGUAAUGCACUUUCUCAGUUUUGCAUUUUCUUUCUCCUGCACCUUGGAUUUGAGUUUCAACUCAUAAGAGGUUAGAGAAUUUAUGAGAGAUUUAAUAGGCAUGGUAUUUAGAUCUCUAGUUUCUUCAAUGGCAGUCACCUUACUCUCCCAAUGUGACGCCCCCACUUCUCCCUAAGGCGAACCAGAGGGUAUCCGCAGGACGCCUACCCAACUCUCGUCAGGACUCAAGCAAUUUCUGUUCAAGGUUAAUGCAAAACUAUUCGACAGCAUCGGAUAAAUAAGAAAGUGCGGAAAACUUCCAAACUUAACAAUAUAUAUAACGUUUAUCCACCCUUACAUGAAAUUCCCAAAAGUUACAUCAAUACCCAAAAUAUACCACAUUUGGGUACAUCAAAUAUCCAAAUCAUACAUAAAGUUCCCAAGAGUACAACCAAUAAGAGGUCUAGCCCAAAUUACAAUAGAAAUUCUAAGCCAGAAGUUCAUCAAAAGGGUUUCUCCAAGUUCAUUUCAUGCCCAUUUCUGUUGAGGAAAACAAAUCUACGGGGUGAGCAAAAAGCUCGUGAGGCCAAAACCACACAUACAAGCACAUUGUUCAAGUAACAAUCCAAAAUUGACAAGUCGAGCAAUAAUAUAUCAAGAAUUUAACGAUUCAUUGAAAAGUAAAACAGAAACAAUUCAAGAAUACUAGAGCUCUCAGGAGCUAUAUUCCUCUGGCACGAUCAAGAACCUCCACGAAUUGCCACUCCGUCAAUCGGGUAGGUUUAGUCCACAGAAUUUCACUUAACUUGUCCCAUUUCACCUUACAUACCCCUAUUUCGAGCCCGCCUGUCAUUUGUUUAAGGCAAUACUACUCGAGUAUGUCAAACAAAAUCUUUCCAAUAGAUCAAACUUAUCAUGUGAUUCUCAUGGCUCGUCAAGGUUCCCGACCAUGUCGGCUCGAGUCCAAGGAUUGCCAAUGAGAUGUGGGCAUCCCCCAAGCAUGUUCGAGUGUCGAGGAGAUUCACUCCAACGAUGUAUGCAGCCAUAGCAUACUAUUUCAAGUCAAGCAAGGAUGUAACAUAUGCAAGCAAUUGAGACAUUCGAGUAUUUCAAGUACGAAUCAUUUAUUUCAAGCGAGAACGAGUGCGAUAAAGUACACCCCCAUCUCGAAUUUUAAAAAUCUCAAGUAUCAAUAACAAGUAAUAUGUAUCGAGUUCACGGAGUUCAAGUAAACAUGCACUUGACACUCACCAAGUAAACAAAAAGAAACGGCACUCGAAAUUCAAGCGUCCACCGUGGGAUCCUCUUGAAGUUCCUCUUGUGUGCCUGAGCAAUUAAUAAGGAUUUAUCACUCAUAAACCCCCAAUUAUUACAAAGAUUGUACUUAAUGCACAAUUUAAGAAAAUUUCAUGAAAACGAAUCCCCAAUCACUCGUAAAUCGAGGUUCAAAGAUGGGGUUUUAAAACACAAGAACAAUCGAGUUUCCAUCUUAGAAAUCAAGUAUAAAACGUUCGAGUAAUGUUGAAGAAAUAAGGAGAAUUUGAAAAACUCUAUUUCCUUUAAUUUUCAGAAAUUUCAGUUUUGAUACGAGAUUUUGGAAAAAUCGUAUCUCACUCUUUACAAGUCCAAAAUUAAAAAAUUUUGUACCGUUGGAAACCUCUAAGAAAGUACUAAAAGUUUUCCAGGAUUCCAAACAGAUAGUAUUAAAAAGUGGGCUCAAAGUCACUGUUUCAGGGCACUUACGAUUGUAUUGGGGUUGAUUUUUCGCUAACUUUGGAAAUUCGGCAAAAUUUGUUCAAUUUGAACUAGCCUUUGAAAUUUGAUACUCUACUAGAGCUACAAUCCAAGUUUAGAACAAAAUAAACAGAACAAGAAUUGAAGUUUUGAACACCGAGAUAUGGUAGCUCAAAGUUACCCAAAUUUCCUUGUGAAACAAGGUUUUUUCCAAAAUCAAGUCAUGCACUUUAGAAGUUUAGUUGAGCAAUGAAACGGCCUCGGAAUAGCACUAAAAUUAGCAGUAUAAUACUACCAUAUAAGGAGUAUUUCUAUGCCAAAUUUCAUAGAUAAAUAAGCAUGGAAAGUGGGUUAACUAAAACACCCAAGUUUCUAAAAUUUUAAGGCAAAACUGCCUUGUGUACAAAAUGUCCUUUUUCCAAGCUUUUGGCCACAUGAAAUCCUUGCAAACAUGGUACAUUUGAGUAGACAAUGUUUAUUAAACAUCAAAGAUAUGUUUGAUGGUGAUUAAUACCAAGAAUCUCGAAUUAACAAGUCUCAAUCGAGUUUAGUAACAAUUCUGCCCAAAGGAGAAUUUUCCUUCAAGAAGUCAGUUUCGAAAUACCACCACAAGUCACUCAAUUGAACUUGGAAUUGGACAUGGUUGGUGACGUUGGAAAAUAGACUCAUAAAGCUAUAUUUUCUCAGAAGAAACCAUUUUCAAAAUCUAUCCAUAACUAGCUCAUUUGUGAGCAUCAAGUUGCAACUCAUGUGCUGCCUUCCAGGAAGCAAUGAAACAGGACAGUGGAUUUCAAACGAAUGGUUUGGCUUGCUCAAGUGGAACCAGGACAUGCAUUUUAUAGCAACGGAAAGCUGGGAAUGUCUAGUUUCCAAUGCCACAAACAGCACUCAAUUUUGAUAUCGAAGCAACAAGUUAUGGCUGAAAUAAGAAGACUGCCUGGGCAAUCCUGGAACAAAAUUCCAGUUUUCUAACCUUUCGAAAUUUCAACAUUUGAGUGACCAAAUCAAGUUAUUUUUUAGUGAAACUUUCUACACAACCGAUAUAACAUGUAAACAACAUACACAAGCCAUUAGAACCUCAAAAUUUUGCACAAAAGUGGUCGGACAAGGCAGGGGUAAAAUGGUCACUUUUGGUUAUUGCACCACCUUGAGUUUCUAUCAACAACCCAACAUUAAUCCACUAGUUUAGGCACUAAAUAAACAUUAUUACCAGCAAAACACCGCAAAUCAGUCCAUAUAUCCAAGGUGGGAGUUUAUAGAGCCCACACAACCAUUUUUCCAAUAUAAACAAGCUACCCAUAAGCAUGCAUAAGCCUAGAUGUGCAAUAUUACUUCCAUAAAGUAAGAUUUGAAGGGUUGAUCGUCCAUUACCUCUCUUGAUGUGCAAGACAGAAAUUUCGGCUCUCCUUAGCUCUAGAAAACCCGUGGAUUGCAGCUCCUUUUCUUAGCUAGAUGUAAUCUCCAAGUGUUAAACUAAGUGUGGGUGAAAUUUGAAGUGAAUUGGAGGAAGUUUGAUGAAGAUUUGAUGAAGGAAUUUGAAGAACUCUUGAGCUGUUUUUCUUCUUCUUGUUCGGCUGUUAGGAGAGAGAAGAGAGAGGGCAAAAUCUGAUGGAACUUGCUUCUUGAAGGUAGCUUAAUGGUUAAGUAUUAGGUGCACAAAGUCAACCGCAAAUAGUGCGCGUACGCGCGCGUUUUGUGCUCGAUUCCUCUCGAAUUUAUUUUACUUGUGUACUAAAUUUCUAAUGCGCUUAUAUUCAUAUAAAUAUUAUUUACUCUUACUUGCCCCAAAAUAAGGGUCUAAAGUCCCUCAAUUAAAUCACACGUGUGAGAACGCGUAUUUCCAAUUUAAGCGCGAUAAAGUGAAAUUUUCAAGAAAUUCUUAUAACGAUGAUACUAAUAACUAUCACUUGAAUACUCAAACAUAAAAUACCUAUUUUGAGACUAAUGUAUAAGUCUCCAAUUUUCCAAACUUAUUGUAUCCUCGAUUCAAUUAUUUAUUCCAAUCGCGUAUUCACUAUUUUCAUUUAACGAUCCUUCAGAAAUUAAAUUUUGAAGCGAGCCACUCUAAAAAUAUAAGUAAGUCAUAGAUCAAUGUAAUUAGAUCUCAAGAGGUUAGAAAAUAAUAUUCGGAGUAAAUGACCAAGCAAAUAAUUAAAUGAGCUAGAAUUUGGAGUUAAAAUAGAUAAAUUUGUGAGUCUUUACAUGAGUCGAGUAUUAAUUUCUCAAUUAACCUUUCUUAAUCUACCAUUGAUCAUUCUUAACUCUCCAAUAUUAAUACACUCACGAUUCAAGUAUAGUCUCGAAAGAUGUGCACUCAUUGUUUCGAAUUAAAUGAAUUUCGAAAAGUGAAUUUUCCAACAAAACGCUUUAGAAAAUAUAAAAGAGGCGUUGUUCUAUAUAAAUGGAUUUCAAAUGGUCGAAAUAAAUAAUUCGAAAAAAAUGAGUAAAUAAAUAUUUAAGUAAACUUGUAAUAUUCAAUAAAUAAGAAAAUUUUCGAGUUCUCACAUUCUCUCCUCCUUAAAAAGAAUUUCGUUCUCGAAAUUCACACUUAGAAAAAUAUCACACCUCUCAAUAGUCAGGCUUAGUAGAUUAGUCAAUAAUUUACACUUUUAAAUUCGUAUCUCAUACUUUCUAUCCACCCAAUUAAUAAUCAAAUUUUGAUUUCCAAUACGCAUUUUAAUCUUCCAAGUCAUAUGGCAACUUAAUUGUCUUCAUGUCUACCUUAUAUAGGAAAUGUCUCUACUUCUUUAAUGCGAAUUUUAUAGCCACUAACUCAAAAUCAUGAGUUGGCUACUUUUUCUCGUGAUAUUUAACUCUCUAGAGGCAUAUAUAAUCACCUUCUCAUGUAUUAUUAAUAUACAUUCUAAAUUAUCCUUUGAAGCAUCUAUAUAAAUCAUAAAACUACUUCCUCCGCUCGGUAAGACUAAUACAGGUGCAUCGGCUAAAUACUUUUCACUUUUUAAAAUUCUUCCUCAUAUUUAGAAUCCCAAAUAAUUUGCCAAGUCUUGCACUCUUAGAUAAUUCCUUGAUCAAACCAAAGGAAAGGUUCGACUACCUCCAAGGACUCCAAAUUUCGAUAGGAUUUUCUAGUCGUUUCCUCUUAAACAACUUCCACUGAAGUUGAGUCAACAACAAUUCCUUCCUUAGAUAUUGUAUAAUCUAGAAAAGCUAUUUCCUUCCAAUAGAACCCAUAUUUGUCGAACUUAACGAAAGUUGGUGCAUUCUUGAGGUUUGUAAAACAUCACCAAGUAUCUUUCAUGAUCUCCUCAAACUUUAGAGUUUACCGAUAUAUCAUCAAUAAAUACCACCACAGAUUAAUCCAAUUACGAUUUAAAACCCCGAUGCAUUUAGGUCAUAAUUGCUACUAGUGCAUUGUGUGACGACCCCACUUCUCCCAAGGGCGAACCCAAGGGUAUCGGCGGGCCGCCUGCCUAGCUCGCGCCAGGACUCAAAACUUAAAACAAUAAAAGCCAGAAAAAUUCAAAAGAGUUCUAGAUACAAUUCCAAAAGAGUUAUAAUUAUAUUCUCCAAAAGUACCUGCUCACACUAUUACAUCCUUAUAAUUACCACCAAAACUUAAACAAAAACAAACAUACUAUAAGUCCAACUAUUACAAUCAAACCUAACUAUGCUAGCGUGUGUGCCAAAAGUCCCCGCGUCGGCCCCUGCUAAGGAAAACAAAAGGAAUGGGGUAAGCUAUAUGCUUAGUAAGUAAACAGGGCAAAGGCGUAAAUUUCACGUAACAACAGUGACAUAGUAAGAGUAAAGCAAAAGCAGAAAAGUAACAUCACAUAAUAAGGAUACAGGUGGCUCCAAAGCCAAUUCAUAUGCCAUGCGUGAUCUCCUGCCGACACUCCGUCGACCACACUUAAUGGUCCGUAGAACUUCACUUGUACACCCAUCGACACCUUAUCACCCUCACUGGCCAGUCACCUCACAAACUUGCCCGGACGAACGAAAUCGCAAACUUGAACUUGAGUCACAAGCUCGGGUCACAAACUUGGUCCACAUACUCGGUGAACCGGAUUCACAAACUUGGUGACCUUCAACCAGGUUGGACUGACUUCGACCAAUCCCUAACCGGCUCGAAUAGUCCAUCUAGGUCAAGAGCUCGCCCCAAACUCACAAACUUCACAAAAUUAUUCAAAAGUCACCCCGAGCCACAAGCUCAAGGGGUUUAGUUCCAAAAUGAUUUAUAUACAUAUGUCAUGUACAAAUAUGUGCGUAAAUUCGGGUUUAGAGCAAGUGCGAUAAAGUACACUCUCGCCUAAGCACCCUCUUCAUACAUGUCGAAAUACAUAAGCAACUAACACAUAAGAGCGGCCUGAAUACUUACUCAAAAUACCAAAGUAGUACUAAAGCAAAAUCGCUUCGCACGUGUUCGCUAGUAGUGGGCCCCACCGGCUCCGCCUAACUCACCACUGUCUGAAAUAGAAGAUUAUGUCAUAAUAUAUCACAAACGGCCACUAACGUACUUAAAACAAGCAAAAUGACAAAAUUGGCACGCGCAAGUGCGGAAACGGCAAAAAGGGGCACACGCGCACGCGCGGAACGGCAAACGGGACGGCCAAAUCUGCCAUCUCAAACCGUUUUGGUCAAAAGUUAGGCUAGGAGUGUCGGAUCAAGGUGGGUGAGACACCGUUUCGAAGCUAAAAGGAAGAGCUACAACUUUAAUUUAGGUAUCUCAACCCAGAUCUCAAUAGGUAUAUGUCAAAAAUGCAUGAAACAGUGCCAGAUGUUUCAUUACGGUUUACCAAACAGGCCCUGUUUACAAAGCCAUAACUCACGGAUCAGAAAUCAAAAUCAAGAAAUUCCAAAGGCGUUAGAAAGCUGAGACAUAAGGCUAAAACUUUGAUGUUUUGGCUAAGAUCUGAAUCCACUCAGAAUAGAACGAAAAUUGAGUGCCAAAAUACCCGUCAGAACUGUCCAGAUACAAGGCAGUUCUGACGAUCGAUAUUGUUUGGGUCAUAACGGAAGCUACGGAACUCGGAUUUCGACGUACUUUAUACCGUUUCGAAUCCAAAAUCGAGAUCUACAUUUCUUAUGAAAGAGUCACCACCCAGAUCGUACGGUAUCAAAAUAAAAAAAGUCACGGGCAGAAGCUAAACUAAAAACGUACAGAAUCUGAUGUUCAAAACAGGCUUAAGUUUUUCAUCUAUAACUCAUGAUACCCUAAUCCGUUUGACCUAAAAUUUUACAGGCAUAUUCAGGACUUAAGGGUCUACAAUGUUGAAGAAGGAUACUCAGUCCAAUUUCAAGUGUAACUACGUCAAAAAUGUCACAUACUACACCAGAAUAGCAAAACAGGUUCACAAACCGUAUUCUAGUACAAACAUCAUAAAACAGCCUACAUAAGUCCAAAUUCAGAAAUUUCAAAGCCAUAUGAAAGCUUAGAAAUAGGGCUACAUUUCAUUAGAAGACCAGAACAACCAAUUCUGAAGCAUUCCAAACCAAAAUAACCAAUUACAAUCGCAGUUAUCAGGUUCGGGUAGAAACAGGACAGCAAGGGUAAAUCCAUCUUUUCUCAUUCUACGCUACUCCGAUUGACCUGAAAUUUUGUAGGCACCUCUAAAAUGUCAUUCCCUACAACUUUCAUGUUUUAAGCCAAGACCAAUUCGGCCUCUAACUAGAAGAUACAAAACCAGACAGAAUUGAAGAACAAUGAAACCCUAAUUCCCAAUUUCUCUUCCAAAACAGAAAUUUCUUGCAAUUAACUACCAUUCACACCAACUAGCUUCAUUCUCAAUCAUUUCCAAUCAUCAUACAUAGCCACAUAAUAUUAAUCAUAUGCAACCAGCAAAAAUCCCAAAUAAAUAGAAUACUUUAUCAAUCUUAACUAAAAUCAAGAAAUAGUCCACCAAAUCACACUUAUAACAACCACAAGUCAUUAAUUAAGCAUCUCUAGAUAGAAAAGAGGGGUUCCAUAGUCACUCACCUUAGAACCAAAGAAGAGAGACCACUUAGCACCUUAAGCUUCCAAACAACUUCACAACCAAGCUUAACUCCACCAAACUAAGAGGUUUUAUGGAGUAAUUGGGAGAUUAAUCGGUUUAAUUGAGAGAUUGGGCAAGAUUGGAGCAAGGAAUUGAGAGAGGUUUUUCUUGUUUCUUCAAGGAAGAGAGCCGGCCAAGCUUGCUAUGUUUUGAGGGAUUUUUGGUCAAUUUUUUUGAUUUAUUGAAGUCAAAUAAUAAAACAAGAAAGAAUGGUCAAAGUUCCUACCAACCCUAUGGUGACACUUGUCACCUCAUUAAAUGCAUCUCUAUCACUUUGUCUCUCUCCACUCUCAUCCAUAUAGCAACCUUCAAUUAUCUCAUAACACCCGAUAAAUUAAACCCAGUAUCCAGAACUUAACCUAAUUGGCCGAAUUUUACUGAACUUUCCGCACUAGUGGGUCCCACGUCCGAUAUGCGUCCUUAAUUUCUUAAAAACUAACGGAUACUAGAAAAAUCAUCUAAAAAUUAUAUUUACUCCCUAAAAUUAUUUGGGGAAUUUUCUAAUAAAGAAAAUGUAGAAAAGGCGGGCGAUAAAUAAUCUUCCACUUAAACUUUCUAAUUAUUUGUAACACUAGAGGUUUGCUAACCAUUUCAAACUUGCUAAACCUUUGUAAACUAAAACGAAUCCUAAACUUACAUAUGCCAAAACACACACUAGGAUACCGCAUAUAAACUAUAGCUCGAGUCUACGAAUAAUACAUAAACUAGGGUUUUAUCAAAAACAAAGUUAGGGUUUUCAAUCUUUGCCGAGAUUAGGGUUUCUCCUUAGCCCUAAAACCUUAAUUUAACCGUACCAAAUAAUGAAUAAUCCUACUCUCAACGUACGAACGGUCUGGAUCCUCACACAUUGGUCAAUCCAAUGGCGUAAUUGAAAGUUCAAAGUGUCCCUAUCUUAAAUUAGAAGGGAUUUUAAACACAUCAGUUUCUAGAAUCCUCAAUUGAUACUAGCUCUACUUUAAAUUCAACUUGAAUAAUAUCACGACUCCUUGCCAUUGGUUAAAAUUCCCGCUUAUGUGAGGCUACGAAGUAUUUGUGCUCAGUAGUCACAUCGUUCAAGUUUCGAUAAGCUAUAUAUAUAUAUAUAGCCUCCAACUUCCAUUCCAAGUAUGCUAUCCAGUCCUUAUUUGUUGGGCGUAUUGAACCUAUCAAAUAUUUCCUUUCACCAACUCAAAUCUCCCGAUUUUAAUAUCUCAAAUUGGUGCUUAAACAUUGGAUCCUCUUCAAAAUUAAGUUCUCAAUUCGGUCCCAAUUUCUGGUUAUCUCCAAGACCUCAAGUUUGCCUUCGCUCUCAAGUACAAUCUCGAUCACAUCUAUUAUCGUUCAUGUCUUAUUAUCAAUCUAGAGAUGUAGGACAAAGUGCAUCCAUACAUAUAAGCCAUGAAAUCAUUUAAAACAAGGUGAACUUCAUAUUUCAUAAAAGAUUAUAAUGCGUACAUCAAGUUGGAAUAUAUUUAUCAAAUCAUUUCAAAAGGAAAAAGGGAAGCAACAAGAUCAUAACAAAAUGUGCCAAAUUGCCAAGAUACAAAGCGACAAAAGACUUUCCCCUUUUCAUAAGAUUAAAUUUCCAAAAGUGCUAGUCUAGUCCAGGGUACUACGACCUCUAUCCCUCAAAUGUAGUCAAAACAUCCUCACUCGUAAAACUUCCACUAUUAGAACCCCCUGCAUAACCAUUAGUACUAAUUACUUCAAUCUGGCAUUCGAUAGUUUUGGGUGUCACGCCCCAUUUUUUUGAAUAAAUAAAUAAAUGGUUUUAAAAUGUAUUUUUUGAUUCAAUUCGUGAUUUGGAAAAUGAAUUGUGAUUUAAAAGAAAAAUGGGUCUAAAUGGGGGUUUGAGAAUGCGACGAUUUGACCCAAAAUUAUAGUUUAAAAAGGGUUUUUUGAAAUAAAAAUUGGAGUCGCCACUUGGUAAUGAGUUAAGGUGUACCAAGUCACCAAAAAAUGAAUUUUUAAAGAAAAAAUAGGAAAAAGUAGUAAGAAACCCCUUUUAAACGACUCCUAAUCCACGUAAACCAAAGAAAAAGGUUCGGGAGUCACAUUUGACAAAGGGGAAGGCAAGGGUAAAAUCCAAGGCACCCCUUUGACCUAGCCAAGGCUAGUUGCAUGAUUUAAUCAAAGAUUUUCUUGUUUUAACUAAAGAAUUUAUUACAUUUGGAUGCACUAUAUGAAUGCAAACCCUAGACCUAGGGGUAUUGGGGGAAAUUUCUCUUCAAAGGUUGAGUGGUGCCAAUCACAUUAAUUGCGAAGCCCAAUAAUGAUCCUUUGAAGAAGUCACGAAUAAUGCGAGUGGGAUGCAAAUGAAUGGAAUGCAUGUAUGUAAUGUGAGCAUAUGAGUUUGAAAAAUUAAUAAAAGACAAUAAAUAUGUAAAUGAAAAUGUGCACGUGAGUGGGCAAGGUACGGUAUAUGAAAUGAUAAUAUAAAGUGCAUGUGUGCAAGUGAUGAUAAAAGUGUUCGUGUGCAAGUGAAGAAACAUAAAGGUGCACGUGUGCAAAAUGGGAGGAAAAAUGAAAUUGUGAUGAGGGUAUAAAAUGGUAGAGUGGAUUUAAAAAUGCAUGAGCCUAGGGAAUUCAUGCAUAUUGGGUACGGGGAGACCUAAAUCGUGACUCAAUUUGCCCUUUGAUAGAGGGGAUACAAGCGUGCUAAGGCUUAGAAAAAUCUACACUCGUCUAUAUCCCAUAUUUAAGGGGACUCUCAAGCAAUGAACCUUAUAACUAGCAUGAAAUGCAAAAAUCCUAAAAUGGAGGGAAAAGGGGUUCGGGGGCAUGCAAAAAUGAUAAAACUAAAAGAAUGCAUGACAUGUAAUGAACAUGCAAACAUGUACUAACGAGGGAAAAUCCCUAAGGGUCUAGCGUUGGACUAGCCCAUUCUAUGAAUUCCGACUAGCGUUGGGCUAGUGGAAACGUACAUUCAUCCAUCACAUUCAUUCAGGCUAUGGAAAGCGAGUAGACAUGCCAAACACUUAUAAACACAUAGCACAUAAUAUUUAGCAUGCUCGACUAGAUGCAAGGCCCUAACAAAGCAAAUUAACACGUAGUAACUAAGCAUGCAAGACACAUAAGACAAUUAAAACCCUAACUAUUACAUUUGCUAGCUAGGCACACGUCUUCGAUAGGUCUUCAUUGAAUGCUCCUCCAAGCCCUAUCUAUUACAUUCACUAACUAAAACAAAAGGGGGAAGGGGAAAAUGGACCAAAUUGCUCGCCAAAUCCCUAUCUAUUACAAGCCAAGAGGUGUACACAUACCCCAUAAAAGAAAAAAAACUUAAUAAAGCAAAAGUAAAUGAAAGGAAUGAAAGGAAUUAAAGAAAUGUAAAGAAAGCAAAGUAGACAUGCAAUUCACUUAGCACAUUGGAUCAUAUAGGAGAGAUAAACAAAGAUAAAAGAAAUUAUACCUUCCCCUAAUGGUAAGCAAAUGAAGGAAAAUGGCUUCAAAACAAUAAAGGGGUCAAGGCAUCAAUUUAAAAGUAAAGUAUAAGCAAAAACACCAAAACCCACCUAAUUGCAACUUGAAUGAGCUCAAAAAAUGCUUAAAGACCAAGAAUACGGAAUAACCUGUUCAAUUUCCAAAUAUAGCAUCUACUAAAGACCCAAAACAAGCAUUACUCAAACAUUCCAGUCCAAAUAAAUCGUUUAAGCACUUCAAAGAUUCCAAAAAUAAAGAAAGAGCCAAACAAUGAUUGAAGUUGCAAUGAUUUCAGGACUUAAUUACAAGAUACUAAAACAUGCUUGGGCUAUUGUGGCACAAAGAGAAACUUAGAGGGAUCAAAUUGAUUAAAUGUUCCAAUUACUUGGGCCUUAGUAGAACAAAAAGGGACUUGGGGGGGUUCAAAGGCAAUUUUGAAACAAUUUCCAUGCAGGUUCAUGCAAGCUACGUGAGCGAACAUUCUGCAACCAAAACAAAUAUUUCUGCAGCCAAGAAACCAUCGCAACUUGCAUUCUCACAAGCAGAUAUCAACAUCAACACUAAUUUUGAUAAAAAAUCUUUCAACCAAACAUUCAAAGUUAAUCUAAACAUCAUAACACACACAUUCAGAAUUCAAACAAACUCAAAUAUAGAAGAAAACUGAUGCAAAGACAGAAGGAAGCUCAUGCAUUCAGCAGAUUCCAGCCACGGCAUUUCUUUUCUUUUUCAUCAUGCAAACCAGAUUUUUGAUUCAAACGCGCAGUUUUGACUAGAUAUGUUCCUAUCCAACAUCACAACUUAAGCCAAGUAACCGGCUACAUAAUGAUCACAAUCCAGAUGACUAGAAAACAUGGAAAUAUAUCAUGCCAAAAUUCUAAAAUUUAUGCAGAAAUUGUUUCGGCAGCCUGCUUGUUUGCUUUUCAGCAAAGUGUUCAAUCAUGAUCCAAACAUGUAAAUAUGCAGACUCAACACCCAACCCUCCAUUGCUUCCCUCCAACACAAGAUCAAAUAUGAAACUGAAGUGCAAAACUCAACUAGUAACCGAGGGAAAAAAAAACACAGCAUAAAAAAAAUGCCGCAGCUUUUCCUUUGCUGCGUUUUCGAAGGGAACAACUCCUGAAUACUUGGUAAUUUCAGCAAUAUCAUACCAUGACAAGAUAAAUAAAACCAAUGACCUUUGCCCCUGCAUUCCCAAAACACACAUGUCACUCCAUUCAAGCAAAUCAAACAGUCCAAAACCAGAUUUUCAGCCACGAAAAUGCGAGUCUGCUGCAUUUUUCUCUAAAGUUCAUCCUUAAUCAAUUUUGCAUGAUUUAACCAAGCAAAGGAACUGACCAUGCUAUGAAUCCAUGACAACACCCAACUGUAAGUUUACACCGGACAAAGACCAGAUCAAGAUCAUGCAUCUUAUGCAAAACAAAACAAAUUUGAGAGAAAAAAAGAAAAUCUGGUGCAUGGCUUUCUUCUUUUCGCCUCUUCAGAGGUUUAUUACAGACUUGCUUCUUAUGACAAUCAUGCCAGACACAAACAACUUCCAACCAGACAUCAAACAUCCAAAUCAAAGUACCAAGACCCUGCAACUCUACUCAUUAAAAAAUUUUACCAAGAUGCAAGCUACGGAACCCAUCGAGAAAGUUGUCAAAGUUGGAAACUUUUCUGCAAUAUUCUUUCGGCUAAGACACAAUCAUGCACGACACCGACUUAUUCCCCAAAACCUCAGAUUUUUCAUUACCCCAAAUAAGGAUCAUUAAUCGUAUUGAAUUCGAAACAGAACCAAUGAAAAACAAAGGAAUGCAAACAACCGACUAAAGAAAAUAGCUUUCAACGAUAAAAGGUGAACAUAAUACCUUGGCCCAGGAAUGAAUCGUAUGAUGACCAAGAACUGGCUCAAGUGAUUCUUUCAGAUGCUUGAAGGAAUGUCAGAUGAUGAUGAGUGAAAGCCCAGUUGAUCUCCUUCUGCAACUUUCAGCCGAAGAUCCUUCCUUUUCCUUUUCUGGUUUCCAGUCGAAGCCCCCUUCUCAGCUCUCUCUUUCGGCUUUCUUUUCUCCUUUCACUCUAUCUCUCCAACCCCAGAUUCUCUAGCCGUUUCCUUUUUCUGGUUCUUCUCUAUCCCCUGCCCUUUGUCAAAAACCCAGCUCCUCCCCUCUCGUCUCUAUCCAGCCCUCUUUUCUAUAACCUCGCCGACCUCCCUAGUUUCUCCUAUGCUUGCUUCUGAUUUUUCUUUUAGUUUGUAGCCGCCAAUCUCUCUUUCAACCCCCCUUGCGGCUGCUGCUUUCUUUUUCCUUUUAUAUCAUCUCCCCAACCUCCUAAACCCUCUCCCGAAUGGUGAGGAUGAAGGCUUACCCUUGCCUUCACGUCCAGCCUUCCAAAGGGCAUCCGUGGCUGUCCUUUGCACGCUGCAAAAAAAAAUUGCAGCGUGCAUGCCGCGACAUAUUUUCUUUUUUUUUUAUUUAUUUAUUUCAAAUAACUAAUUAAUAUAGAUAACUAAUUACCUAAUAAUAAAUAAUAAAAAAUAAAAAAUAAAUGCAGAAAUGCCAACAAAAUGCUAAUUUUCUUUCUUUUUUUCUUCUUUUCCCCUUUUUUUCUUUUUGAAGUAAUUUAACAAAAUGGUAAUAAAAUUAAAUGAAAACCAACAAUUUAAUUAACAUCAGAUAAAAAUGAAUAAACUAGAAAUGAUAAACAGCAAAAAAUUGCAAUUUUCCAUUUUUUUUCAUUUUCCAUUUUCAACGUUUUUCUCGUUUUUCUCUUUUUUUUCCUUUUUUUUCUUUUUUCCUUUGCUAAAACUUGAAAAGCUUAAAAAAAACAACUAAUAUGACAAGAUAAAAUAAAAUAGCAAAUGAACUAAACAAACUAAAAGGCAAAAAUGAAUAAAACUAAAAUAAAAUAACAACUAAAAGUGCAAAACAAACAAUAAUGAACAAAAUGCAAACCAUCUAAACAAAAUCAUGAAUUUAAGAAAAAUCAAUAGACAAGAAUUAUCACUAAAACGAAGCAUAUAAAUUAUUUCAAAAUUUGGUGUCUACAGUUUGCCCCUCUUUGUCUGAGUUUUGAAAAAACUUGAGACAAAGAAGUAGACACCAAAUACCUACCUGCAUUCUUCGGUUGCGAAUUACUCAAACGAUGGGGACUGACCCCAGACAGGAAAUUUUAAAAUCGGGACUGACCCGAGAUAGAAAUUUAGACGAGACUGACCCGAACAGAAAUUUAAACGGGAUUGACCCGAACAGAAUUUAAACGGGACUGGCCCGAACAGAAUUUAAACGGGACUGACCCGAACAGAAAUUUAAAACGGAACUGACCUGAACAGAAAUUUAAACGGGACUGACCCGAACAGGAAUUUAAACGGGACUGACCCGAACGGAAAUUAAACGGGACUGACCCGAACAGAAUUUAAACGGGACUGGCCCGAACAUAAUUUAAACGGGACUGACCCGAACAGGAAUUUAAACGGGACUGACCCGAACAGAAAUUUAAAACGGGACUGACCCGAACAGAAAUUUAAAACGGGACUGGCCCGAACAGAAAUUUAAAACGGGACUGGCCCGAACAGGAAUUUAAAACGGGACUGGCCCGAACAAGAAUUUAAAACGAGACUGACCCGAACAGGAAUUUAAAACGGGACUGAUCCGAACAGAAAUUUAAACGGGAUUGACCCGAACAAGAAUUUAAACGGGACUGACCCGAACGGAAAUUAAACGGGACUGGCCCGAACAGGAAUUUAAACGGGACUGGUCCGAACAGAAUUUAAACGGGACUGGCCCGAACAGAAUUGAAACGGGACUGACCCGAACAAGAAUUUAAACGGGACUGACCCGAACAGGAUUUAAACGGGAUUGGCCCGAACAGGAAUUUAAACGGGACUGGCCCGAACAGAAUUGAAACGGGACUGACCCGAACAAGAAUUUAAACGGGACUGACCCGAACAGGAUUUAAACGGGACUGGCCCGAACAGGAAUUUAAACGGGACUGACCCGAACAGAAAUUUAAACGGGACUUCACUGGGGAAGUUUAAAUAAUGAAUUGAGUUUUUUUUUUUUUUACCUGAGAAUAGUUCAACUUUUGUAUCAAGAGGAAAUUUGGAUCUUUGUGGCCGAAGCGAUGGCCAAUGUUGUUUCUUAUGAUCGAGCUUUGCAAAUAACAUCGAUCCUUGCUUACUGGGAAACUUUGUCUGUCAUUGAUUUAGGUGCCAAAAGGAGAGUGGUCGCUUUUGUUUGUAAAUGCAACGUUCCUGCAAGAAAAGAAGAAAUAAUGGACUUGCCACCAUCAUUUGAUCCGGUUUGCCUUGAGAAUCGUGUAAACAUGAGUUUUGUGAUACUUUUACUUCGGCUCGGCGGCGUCUGCCUUAGUCGAACUUGAAACCUUUCAAUUUCGGAGACUGAUAAAAUACGGAUUUACCACGUCACCCAAUCCAGGUGGUAGCUUUGUCAUAUGUUACUCCCUGUAACUGAUGAUUGAAUCCCCUAUCUUUGCACAAACCUUAGGGUUUAUCAUUCAUUUGAAUUCAAUGGUGAAAGAAUGAUGCAUGAAAAUUAGUCAUAUAAAAAUCAAUGUAUAAGAUGAUUUCCUAUGCCAGGCAAAGAUGAGCAUGCAAAAGAUUGUAGACAAUCAUAAGCAUUCAUACACAAAUAUUUGAGAACAACCAAGAGGUUCAUAAAGAUACAUUUUGCAAAAGAAUAUUUGUAAAGAACAAUACAAGUUUAGCCAACGAAAAUCAUAUUCAAGACUUUGGAUAUAUUUUUUUUUGCUUCGGAAUCCGAUACUGGCAGAAGUAUCACAAAUAUGAGGAAAACCCUAAAUGAACCAGGUCUCCAGCUGUCCCUUCUCGUGCUCGUCUGUUGUGAAAAACCCGCCUUGGCGCCCUUUCGGGUUUUCACCAAGGUUGCCCCCACCCUUUUUGUUGUUUUGUUUUCUUUUUUUUUUUUUUUCGAGGCGCCCUUUCGGGUUUUCACCUAAAGAACCAUGAAAUAUUCUGACCAUGAUCGACUCAGAAACAUGAAUUAAAGAUUUCUGCCAUCAGUAAAAUGUACUUCCCUUAUGAGAUUAGGCGAAGACAUUACGGACAUCACCUGCCAGUUGAUUAGCAAAUUUUCUAAUAGAAAUGCAGCAAGUGGCGAAAGCCAGGACUUUGGGCUUUGUAAUGAGGUCCGGUGGGGUGCUUUGGAAAAAAGUUGAAACUUGAAAGCAGAUUUGAUACAAGGGGUGAAAUAACUUGAGAUUGCACUAUUUGAAACCAACUCUAAAACUGAGGAAAAUUUGCCCCAGUUUGAUCAGCUUUUCUCUCUUUGCAUUUUUCAUUGCAUUUUCCUCACUUUUGUAUUUUUCUUUGAAAACUAAAUUUGCUCCAGUGUAAGGGUUUUCUCUUUUUUUUUUCUCUCUUUUUUUGGAAAUAAAUUUGCCCCAGUGUGGGGUUUGCAAUUCUCAAGGGUUAUCAAACGAAAUUUGUCAAUUCUGAUGGCUCAAAUGGGACAAGUAGAGAUAAAAUGUUUUUAGUGUAAAAGAAAAUGGCCUGACUUGCAUUUCGCCAUUUGCAUGAGUUUCUUAAAGAAAAUUUGCAUUAUCAAAUGAAAAACUUUUUGCACAUAUCUGAGUUGAUGGGUUGAGAGAAUGUCCGUCCAUCCAUUUCCGCCAAGAUAAGAGCUCCGCCAGGUAAUACCUUUUGGACAAUGAACGGCCCUUGCCAAUUUGGAGCAAAUUUGUCUUUAGCUUCUUCUUGCAUUGACAAAAUCCGCUUCAGUACAUUAUCACCUUCUUCAAAUGCCCGCCGAUGGACCUUUUUGUUGUAAACUCGGGCCACACGUUUCUGAUAGCACUGACCAUGACAAAUAGCAUUGAAUCGCCUUUCAUCCAUCAAAGUUAAUUGCUCAUGGCGCUGCUUGAUCCAAUCGGCCUCCUCCAAUUUAGCUUCCAUAAGGAUUCGUAGCGACGAAAUUUCAACCUCAGCUGGUAAUACAGCUUCCAUCCCAUACAUAAGUGAAUAUGGCGUUGCCCCAGUCGAUGUCCGAAUAGAAGUCUGGUACGCCAUCAAUGCAUAAGGCAACUUUUCAUGCCAAUUGCGAUGCCUCUCUGUCAUUUUGCGGAUAAUCUUCUUCAAAUUCUUAUUUGCGGCUUCUACAGCUCCAUUCAUCUGAGGCCUAUAAAUGGCAGAAUUGCGGUGUUUGAUCUUGAACUGCUCGCAUAGUCCAUCUACCAUGUCAUUGUUCAGAUUCUUAGCAUUAUCCGUAAUAAGGGUUUCGGGUACUCCAAAACGACAGAUGAUGUGAUCUUUCAGGAAAUUGGCCACUACCUUCUUCGUGACAUGUUUGAAUGAUUCCGCUUCAACCCAUUUAGUAAAGUACUCGAUCGCCACCAAUAUAAAUCGAUGUCCGUUUGAAGCGGGAGGAUCAAUUGUACCAAUCACGUCCAUACCCCACAUUGAACAGGGCCAUGGGGCGGUCAUGCUAUGCAAUUCAGUGGGUGGAGCGCGUAUAAUGUCACCGUGCAUUUGACAUUUUAUACAUCUCCGGACAAAAUCUAUACAAUCAUGCUCCAUAGUAAGCCAGAAGUAUCCGGUUCUCAUGAUUUUCUUCGCUAGCAAAUGGCCAUUCAUGUGAGGUCCACAAACGCCACUAUGCACUUCUUUUAUCAUAUAUUGAGCUUCAUCUUCAUCAAUGCACCUUAAAAGGUUCAAAUCUGAGGUUCUUUUGUACAACAUUUCUCCAUCCAAGAAAAAUUUUGAAGCCAUUCUACGCAGAAAACUCUUGUCCUUUGUACUAGCAUGCAGAGGAUAGGACCCAGUUUUUAGAAACUCCUUAAGAUCGGUAUACCACGGAACAUUAUCGGAGGACUUGUCUACAACCCAACAGUGGGCAGGUUUGUCUUGAAGUUGAAUCGGAAUUGGCUCGAUCCUCAAUUCAUCAGGAUAUUGGAUCAUAGAAGCUAAAGUGGCCAAAGCAUCGGCAAAUGCGUUUUGGGCACGUGGAAGAUGUCUGAACUCCAAAUUUCGAAAUUGCUUGGCCAGAAUGAGCAGACUGCAAUGGUAGGGCAGAAUUUUUGAAUCUUUGGUUAUCCACUGUUUCAAGGUUUGAUGCACGAGCAAAUCUGAAUCACUGAAAGCUAUCAACUCUUUGAUUUCCAUUUCUAAAGCCAUUUUAAGACCAAAAAUGCAGGCUUCAUACUCAGCCAUGUUGUUUGUACAAGCAAAUUGCAAUUUGGCAGCGGCAGGGUAAUGCUUCCCUUCGGGUGAAACCAGAACAGCUCCAAUUCCAACUCCGAGGGAAUUCGAAGCUCCAUCGAAGAAAAGCCUCCAUUCAGGGCUUUGUUCACUUAUAUCAUCUGUAGCGCCUACGAAUAAAACUUUCUCAUCAGGGAAAUACGUAUGAAGCGGCUGAUAAUCAUCAUCCCUUGGAUUUUCCGCCAAAUGAUCUGCUAUAGCUUGCCCCUUGACUGCCUUUUGUGAAGUGAAAACAAUGUCGAACUCUGAGAGAAUUAUCUGCCAUUUGGCCAGACGUCCAGUUAACAUCGGCUUCUCCAAAAGAUACUUCAAAGGAUCCGAUCGGGAAAUAAGAUAAGUGGUAUGGCUCAACAAGUAGUGUCUCAACUUUUGAGCCGCCCAGGCCAAUGCACAGCAGCUUUUUUCAAUGAAUGAAUAAUUAGCCUCGUACUGCGUGAACUUUUUGUUUAAAUAGUAGAUGGCUUGUUCCUUUCUUCCAGAGUCAUCGUGCUGACCUAGAACACACCCUACUGCUCCAUCGAAUACAGAUAAAUACAUAAUCAAAGGUCGGCCCGGUUUGGGCGGCACUAAGACUGGUGGUUGCAACAAAUAAUCUUUAAUCUUAUCAAAAGCCUGUUGGCACUCCUCAUUCCAAUAUAAUGGCACAUUCUUUCUCAAUAAUUUGAACAACGGCUCGCAUGUGGUAGUUAGUUGGCCGAUGAACCUCCCAAUGAAAUUGAUCUUCCCUAAGAAGCUUUUCACGUCCUUCUGAGUUUUCGGCACUGGCAUAUCUCGAAUUGCUUUGAUUUUCGCCGGAUCUAUUUCUAUGCCCUUCUUGCUAACAAUGAAUCCCAACAGCUUACCCGCAGGUGCUCCAAAGGCGCAUUUCGCAGGAUUUAACUUCAAAUUGUACUUCCGCAAUCUUUCGAAUAACUUCUUCAAAUCAACCAAAUGGUCCUCUGCCCUUUUAGACUUGAUUAUGAUAUCAUCCACGUAGACCUCCAUCUCCCGGUGGAUCAUAUCAUGAAAUAGGGUGGUCAUGGUCCUCUGAUAGGUAGCCCCGGCAUUCUUUAAACCGAAAGGCAUGACUCGGUAGCAAAAGGUGCCCCAAGGAGUGAUAAAAGCAGUCUUCUCCCUAUCCUCUUCUGCCAUCAAAAUUUGGUGGUAGCCAGCAAAACAAUCACAAAAGGAUUCAAUCUCAUGUCCGGCAGUAUUGUCUAAGAGAAUGUGAAUAUUUGGUAGAGGGAAAUCAUCUUUAGGACUGGCUUUAUUAAGGUCUCUAUAGUCAACACAAACUCGCACCUCUCCACUCUUUUUUGGAACAGGGACUGGAUUUGAAAGCCAAAUUGGGUAAUGGAAAACAAUGAUAAUGUUGGUUUUGAGUUAUUUUUCAAUUUGCUCUUUUAUUUUGAGGCUCAUAUCUGAUUUGAAUUUUCUGGGUUUUUGCUUUACGGGUGGAAAAGAAGGGUCUGUGGGUAACCUAUGCACUAUCACGUCAGUUGAGAUGCCAGUCAUAUCAUCAUAGGACCAUGCAAAUACAUCUUGGAAUAUAGUCAAAAAUUCAAGCAUUUCCUUCUUCUGCCUCUCAUUCAAAUGAAUACUAAUUUGCACCUCCUUAACCUCAUCUUCCGUGCCAAUGUUAACCUUUUCUGUUUCUUCCAGGUUCGGUUUUGGUUUUUCCUCAUAUUGUUCAAGGUCCUUUGCAAAAGAAUCAAAUACCUCCUCAUUAUCACUCUCGCUUUGGAGUUCGGAUUCACAGACCUCCAAGUCGUGAGUGAUAUAGAGAUUACCAUUAUCGUAUUCCAGAACUGUGAUAUCCAAAGAGUCAAAUAGUUUUAUUUUUGGCCAUCUGAAAGAAUUAACGAAUGUGGGAUAAUAAGCAAAUAAGCAUAUAACAAACAAAUGGUCAAACAAUACGACAAAAAUAUAAACAAAUGAAUAACCAAAACAACAUGACAAGAACAACUUGUGCAUUUUCAUAAAACCUUUGAUUGAAAGCAAAUGGAAAUGAAAACUUAGCAAUAUUUACAUGCGCAAACAUUAGUCAAAAAGUAAAAUUGUUUUCAUUGGCUAUUUACAGAUGCAAAAAUAUUUUCAUGAAUUCACAUGAAUGAUAAACCCCUUUCAUUUUACCGAAACUCCUUCCGAACGGGCAGAAAAUCGGCUGUCCAAUUGGGAAUUGAUCCUUCGGGGAUGUCAGGAAAUUCAGCUUCGCCCGGAACACCAUCUUCAAAUGUUGCCCCAACGAACAAUUGGGCCAAACCUGCUUCAAUUUCGUCAACUGGGUUGAUUUCUGACAUGAUCACCUCGGCUGGUCGUGGGAAAGUAUAAUGCAGGGGUGGAAUGUCAAGAGCCUUUUGCCUUCCUUCUUUCUCCGCUUUCUUGCGCUCCUUCAUUUCUCUGAUAUCCUUAGCAGUCGGUCGGAAGCCUAAACCAAACGAAUCCUUUUUCUCAAUAAUCUCCACUGGCUUCAAAAUUCCUUGCAAAUCUCGUCCCAGCCCUUUGUCAAAUUCAUAGCCUCCACGGAUCAUCUCCUUAGCCAUCAUGACACUGGCCCUUGAUAGAGCUUGCUCCUCCUUUGUUAUCCAACUGACGGAGAUAAUAUUAGAUGUGCUAUGAGGGGUCACUGUGGAGCUUCGGCUACCCUCUUCUUUAGACUCGGAAUCGGUGAUUACAAGGCAAUCCUCCUCGGCAAAUAUAGUUAUCAGCUUGUCAUUUACUACGAAUUUCAGCAAUUGAUGCAAUGAAGAAGACACAGCCCCAAACUUGUGAAUCCAUGGCCUGCCAAGCAAAACGUUGUAAACACUAGAAAAGUGCAUUAUUUGGUAGGUUAUUUGAAAUUGGGCGGGCCCCAUUUCAACUACUAAAUCAACUUCUCCUAUUGGCUCUCUUUGCGCUCCAUCAAAACCUCGGACUAUGGUCCCUGAAGGCCUCAGCUUGACGUCUUGCAAUCCUAGCUUUUCCAAGGUGCUCCAGGGACAUAUAUUAAGAGCGGAUCCAUUGUCAAUCAAUACCUUCGACAGCAUUUUUCCGUUGCACCUCACAACUAUGUACAGGGCCUUGUUAUGUCUAAUGCCUUCCGCCGGCAAUUCCUCGUCAGAGAAAGUGAUUUGUUUGGUGAAUAAUACGUUCCCAACUACGUGUGAGAAAUUAUCAACUGAGAUGUCCCUAGGGAUUUGAGUUUUGGUCAACACCUCGAUCAGCGCGUCCCUAUGCAUAUCUGAAGAAAAGAGUAGAUCCAACAUGGAUAUCUGGGCAGGCGACUUGCUCAGCUUCUCAACUACAUUGUACUCACUUCUCUGAAGCCUCUUAAGGAAAUCCAAGGCUUCUUUCUCGGUGAUUGUUGGCUUAGCAGGUGGCUCGGAAUUACUUGCUUGAAAUGGAAUGACAGCUUCAAAUGGACUUGCAACCUUCCCAGAUCUGGUGACCGCUGACACUUCCUUCUUUGCAAUUGACUUUUCCCCAAUCUGUACGUCAGGUUCAUCAUAAUUCCACGACACUUGUUGCAGACUUAGAACAGGCUCCUGCUUCAGGAAUUCAAUAACCACUGGCUCCAAAGACUCACUCUCAACUGGCGUGAGAUCCAAAAUAAAGGGCUUUUCGUCAUCUUCAAAUGGCAAUUCUAUGACAAAGGGUUGGUCUGUGACCCCAAACACUUUAGCUUCCCUUGCCAAUUCUUUGACUGGUUCCACGUACUCCGUAUCAUCCAGAAUAACCCCUAUGAUAUUGGCAUGUUCCGGCAAGGGGUUCCUAUUUACGUUCGGCCCUUGUGUCUCCCUUUUUCGGAUUACAAUCUCCCCGGCUUCAACCAUAUCUUGGAUUUUAUGCUUAAGCGCCUUGCAAUCAAUAGUCGAAUGUCCGGCGGCCCCUGAAUGAUAAGCACAGACGGCUUGCGGGUUAUACCAGGCGGGCAUGCCAUAUGGAUAGGUAGGAGGGGGUACUAUACCAAUUUUUCCGGCGGCCUUUAACUGAUCAUACAAUUGGUCUAAAGGCCUGCCUAAAUUGGUGAAUGCACGGCUAGGGGGUCGAUUGUAAGGUUCAAUAGGUGGAGGAUGGUUGUAAAUAGGUCUAUUUGGUGGAGGAAAUCUUGGAUUAUAUGGAGGGCGAGGUCGAUUUUGGGGUGGAUUCGGUUGAGAAAUUUGAAAAGGGGCUGAAGGUGGGUUAGGAUAGUUUGGGCGAGAUCUAGGGUGGUGGAUGUUGGUAGUAUAUACAGGGUGCGGAUUUGAGUAGUAAGGGUAAUGAGGUUGGUAGAUUGGGCUGUGUUGGUAUCGGGGUCUGGGUGAAGGGUUUUGGUUCCAAAUAAAGGUUGCAUCCCCCUCUGUCUUUUUGAACGGCGGCUUUUUCACAUUGCUUCCUUGACCUUGUAAAGCAUCCAACUGGGAUUUGAGAGUAGAGACAUUAACAAUUUUUUCGGCUCUCACAAAGUCAUCAAACUCUUCCAAUUUAUUCACAAUUGCAGCAAAAGAACAACCAGUCAUACGGAAAAUUUCUUCGAAAUACGGAGGGUCAUGUGCCUUUAUAAAUGUGCGAAUAAUUUCAUCCUCAGUCAUCGGAGGCUCCACUUUCGCAGCUAUCUUUCUCCAUCUUUUGGCAUAUGUCUUAUGGUUUUCAGAUGGUCGCCUCUUCGUUCCUUCCAAAGUGGUCCGGGUUGGUGCUAGCUCACAAUUAUACUCAUAUUGUCUGAUGAAAGCAUUGGACAGGUCGAGCCAGGUCUUCACUUCCUCUGGCUUUAGGUUGGAAUACCAAUCGAGAGCAUCCCCUUCUAAGCUUUCUGGAAAUAAUCUCAAUGGCAAAUUCUCGUCAUCCACUGGCUUGCCCAACUUGUUAGCAAACAAGCGCAUGUGCGUUUUAGGGUUGCUUGUUCCAUCAUAUUUGUUGAAUUUAGGGGUCUUGAACCCCACCGGCAGUUGCACGUUCGGAAACAGGCACAAAUCAUCAUAAUCCAACACCUCUUGUUUGCUUAAACCUUGGCUUUUCCGGAUAAAUUCAUCAAAACGAUCCAAGCGUUUAAGUAAUUUCAUAUCAAUCUGGGCAGACGACUCUCCCAUUUCUGGCUUAUUUUGAAAAGUGUGCUCCGGCACUACGGGCUCCGCGGUAGUCUGAUAAAAAACUGGUGGGUUCAAAUGCAUGGUCGGAUCGCCUUGAGGCUGAAAUCCUUGCCCAUAAGGAGGAUAGAAAGGAGGAUUUUGAGUAUAAGCAUAUUGCGGGUUGAAAGUUCUCUCAAACUUGGUUUGAAAUGGAGGAAUAACAAAUGGUUCGGAUUGUGGUUGUGUAGUGGGUACAGGCUCAGGUUGCACUCCGCUACUAACGAGCUCGUCAAUCAACUUCUUCUGAGCGGCCAUUUCUGACGCCAUUUCCCCAAAUUUUGUGAGUAACUCUGUCAACUGAACCCCAGGACUUGCGGCCUCUGGCUGGGUAGUUGUAACGGCCUUAUCGGAUGAUUCUGGUUGAGUACUCAUGUCUACACGAUUCCUUUGGACUCUACUUCGGGAUCGCGUAAUAAUGGGGCUUUUCCGAAAAGCUAUUUUGAAAAUUUACCUGAGAUGGAGAAAGACUUCUUUAGAUAAACCAAUCGUUACUUGAUUUCUGCAACUUAUUCAAAAAAGAGAAAAAGAAAAAGAAAAAGACAUGAGUUAGUAACUAUUCGAAUAACUCGGAUGCAUGUCCUAUUUGGGGGGGCCCUUUUUAUGCCAAGGGUAGGCCUAGCAUGAUGCAACAUCUUCGAAAUGGGACCCGUAACACAAACCUGUUUUUGACAACAAUUCCAAAUGAGGGCAAAAGAAAAAUCAUUUUCAUUGAUAAACUUGUCAAUAUUUACAUCAUGUCACGAAGACGAUUCCGUACAAGAUUGCCAAAACUUCUGAACCUAUCUAAUACAGAGUCCUUUGUUUCCCUAGCAUAUGGAAUUCUAACACAUUCAGUUUGGUCAUAUAAUUCUGCACAUUUCCUUUUCAGUUCUUGACGCUUUCCUCGUUCAUUUUCAUACAAUUGCUUGUUUUACUCGGCCAUCCCUUUGUAUGCUUCAACAGACUUACUUAACUGCAGAAUUUCCUUAUCUUUUGCUUCGACAAUGGCCUUUAACCUUUUCACCUCCUCAGCUGGCUCGUCUUGUGUUUCUUGUGCAACGGAUCCUCUUACCCAGUCUUCGUAUUGUGUAGUGGUCAAUCCCCUUUGUUUGAGUUCCGGAACGUACUUGACGCGUUCGUCGUCGGACAACGUCUCCCAGGCCUCAUUAAGAAGGAUCUUCAUUGGAAUUUCUUUCGGACAUAUCCCUUUGUCGAAAAUGAUUGUGAAUGUAGUCAGUUCAACUGCAGGUGGCACAUCUUGAACUCGCCCUAAUUGUCGGAGGAACCUUCUUGGAUUGUAUGCCAUGAUACCCUGAGUACCCAAUAAAAGAACAAGCUCGGAUGCCUUGGUGCGAAGAACUGGCUUGACACAAUUGGUCCAAUCCAAUACCCAUCUCACAUUUUGAUUAGUCACAUUUGUCAAAAAGUGCACAAACUCGGAUGCAUUACACGGCAAACUAUUGCUAUUGAUCCUCUUGUGAUGUGUGAUUACCCAGUUAUAUCCAGCCAUUGGUAAACUCUCGGGAAUAGACGGUCGUCUCAUGAAGUGCUCCAUCCCCCACACAUGUAAAAUCAAAUUCGAACCACAAAAGAACUUUUCCCCUCUCUGACAGGUAGUGCAAGCUACGAAGAUGUCGGCCAAAAUAGUUGGGACAAUAGAACACUGUUUAUCAUUUAUUCCUAGAAACAAGUCAUACAAGAUUUUAGUGAGCUUGAAGGCUAUUUUUUUGUCUUUCCUAGGGAAAAAGUAGGUUCCAGCCAUGACCAAUCCAUAUACCCAAACUCUCUUUCAUUCCCAUAUUUCCUUGGAAGUAAACAAGAAAUCGCCCCGGUGCUUUUCAAAACCAUCCCUUAAUGCGAAUCGAUCAUAUAAGAACUUUGCCUCUAUAUUUCGGUCCGACCCUUGAAUUACUGAUUCCUUUAAUCCGGUGAAACGAUAAAAUUCGGCUUUGUUAGAUGCUAGUGGAAAUAUCACGGCAGUUCCCUGAAUUGGCAAAUUAAGAAAUCCGGCAAUCUCUUCAAUUGUUAAGGUCAUUUCCUUUUCACCAAGUCUAAAUGCGGAACAAGUGGAAUCCCACAAAUGCACCAAGGCUUCCACCAAGUAGCCAUCGGAUUUAAUGUCCUUAAAAUCCCCGAUGUGUCCUAAUCGAUCGGCUAUUUGGUUAAACUCACUGGGUGAAAGUAACGUGGGCCAUCUUUGUACCUCCGGCGGCACUACCAACAUCUGUUGCACUCGGCGAGGACUUUCCAUCUAGAAACCAAAACCGGGGUCAAAUACCUUACCUACAUGUCCCAUUUCUCAGGUUAACAGGAAUUUAAACAUGCAAAUCCCAAAAAUUGGGUUAAAUACCCAUGGGAUUAAGGUUGGCUUGUCCCUAAUGUGGGAUUCCCUAAGUGGCAUUCCCUUUCUAAGGCUUAUGCAUGAUGCCAUUUUUAUCAAAGCAGGAAAAAUGCAAUUCGAAAUGAAACGUGACCUAAGGAACCCUUUAUUUGCCAGGGUAAGCCUAAAAUGGUAUGGCAUUAUUAAUUUUAUGAACCAAAUAUACCGAAAUUUCUAAACGUGUAAUAGCCUAUCUAUAAGGGUAGGUCCUAAAAGAGGAUCAUGCUAGACCUCUUAUUUGCUAGGGUUUGUGAAUGCAAUGGGGACACAAAACCAAGAAAAGUUAGCUCAGCCAAAUAAAUACACAUAACACAUUGUAGCACCGAAAUCAAUACAAAGAAAUAAAGCAAAAAAAGAGAAAGAGGGGUUGGAUCCCUCCCCUCGUGAAAUAGUGUCCCUAGCUCAGGAUAAGGCCGACUCUACCCUAGGCAAGCUAUCAUGGAUGCAUGAGGUUAGGGUUCACUAAUGCAUCUAGACUCGAUAAGUCAUAGGUCCCCGAGCCUUCAGACUUGGAAACCAAAGGUCAUCACUCCCAAGGUUCCUUGUCGGUGGCUCGAGCGAUUCCCCAGACAUUGCUACGCACACGUCGUGUCACGGCCACAUGUCUGAGUGAAUCUAUCAAAAAUCCUUAAUCUUCGACUAAAAGCUAAAGGCUAUUAACCCAAAGCUUAAAGCGGAAGAUUAAGUGACCCCUUGGAUCGUGCUACGCACACGUCGUGUCACGGUCACACGUCCAAGUGAGUCGCCUAAAAUCCUAAUAGGGUGGAGUGGCGUGACAAGCCACUAAAAGAAAAAUAAAUGAGGGGUAAAAAAGUAAAGCGUAUGCGCGUAUGCUAGUGCUCGUUUGGAGGGGAGGGAUCAAGAACCAACGUGAGGCUCUAAGGUGACACACACCCCCCAAAUGCAAUGCGAGCGCGAGGUAAGCAAGUAAACAUACAUCCAAUCAACCAAUCAUACAUUCACGAGCGAGGGAGUAGUUGGAUACGCGUGAAAUGCAAAAAUCCUAAUAAAAGGAAAAAUGCAAUCCUAAACACCCAAAUGUGAUAUAUGAAAAGAUUAAAAGAAGAAAAAGGUUGAUUAAAUCAAAUUUGCUCGGACUCUCGAAUGUCCCCAGUGGAGUCGCCAACUGUCGCGCCCCAUUUUUUUGAAUAAAUAAAUAAAUGGUUUUAAAAUGUAUUUUUUGAUUCAAUUCGUGAUUUGGAAAAUGAAUUGUGAUUUAAAAGAAAAAUGGGUCUAAAUGGGGGUUUGAGAAUGCGACGAUUUGACCCAAAAUUAUAGUUUAAAAAGGGUUUUUUGAAAUAAAAAUUGGAGUCGCCACUUGGUAAUGAGUUAAGGUGUACCAAGUCACCAAAAAAUGAAUUUUUAAAGAAAAAAUAGGAAAAAGUAGUAAGAAACCCCUUUUAAACGACUCCUAAUCCACGUAAACCAAAGAAAAAGGUUCGAGAGUCACAUUUGACAAAGGGGAAGGCAAGGAUAAAAUCCAAGGCACCCCUUUGACCUAGCCAAGGCUAGUUGCAUGAUUUAAUCAAAAAUUUUCUUGUUUUAACCAAAGAAUUUAUUAUAUUUGGAUGCACUAUAUGAAUGCAAACCCUAGACCUAGGGGUAUUGGGGGAAAUUUCUCUUCAAAGAUUGAGUGGUGCCAAUCACAUUAAUUGUGAAGCCCAAUAACGAUCCUUUGAAGAAGUCACGAAUAAUGCGAGUGGGAUGCAAAUGAAUGGAAUGCAUGUAUGUAAUGUGAGGAUAUGAGUUUGAAAAAUUAAUAAAAGACAAUAAAUAUGUAAAUGAAAAUGUGCACGUGAGUGGGCAAGGUACGGUAUAUGAAAUGAUAAUAUGAAGUGCAUGUGUGCAAGUGAUGAUAAAAGUGUUCGUGUGCAAGUGAAGAAACAUAAAGGUGCACGUGUGCAAAAUGGGAGGAAAAAUGAAAUUGUGAUGAGGGUAUAAAAUGGUAGAGUGGAUUUAAAAAUGCAUGAGCCUAGGGAAUUCAUGCAUAUUGGGUACGGGGAGACCUAAAUCGUGACUCAAUUUGCCCUUUGAUAGAGGGGAUACAAGCGUGCUAAGGCUUAGAAAAAUCUACACUCGUCUAUAUCCCAUAUUUAAGGGGACUCUCAAGCAAUGAACCUUAUAACUAGCAUGAAAUGCAAAAAUCCUAAAAUGGAGGGAAAAGGGGUUCGGGGGCAUGCAAAAAUGAUAAAACUAAAAGAAUGCAUGACAUGUAAUGAACAUGCAAACAUGUACUAACGAGGGAAAAUCCCUAAGGGUCUAGCGUUGGACUAGCCCAUUCUAUGAAUUCCGACUAGCGUUGGGCUAGUGGAAACGUACAUUCAUCCAUCACAUUCAUUCAGGCUAUGGAAAGCGAGUAGACAUGCCAAACACUUAUAAACACAUAGCACAUAAUAUUUAGCAUGCUCGACUAGAUGCAAGGCCCUAACAAAGCAAAUUAACACGUAGUAACUAAGCAUGCAAGACACAUAAGACAAUUAAAACCCUAACUAUUACAUUUGCUAGCUAGGCACACGUCUUCGAUAGGUCUUCAUUGAAUGCUCCUCCAAGCCCUAUCUAUUACAUUCACUAACUAAAACAAAAGGGGGAAGGGGAAAAUGGACCAAAUUGCUCGCCAAAUCCCUAUCUAUUACAAGCCAAGAGGUGUACACAUACCCCAUAAAAGAAAAAAAACUUAAUAAAGCAAAAGUAAAUGAAAGGAAUGAAAGGAAUUAAAGAAAUGUAAAGAAAGCAAAGUAGACAUGCAAUUCACUUAGCACAUUGGAUCAUAUAGGAGAGAUAAACAAAGAUAAAAGAAAUUAUACCUUCCCCUAAUGGUAAGCAAAUGAAGGAAAAUGGCUUCAAAACAAUAAAGGGGUCAAGGCAUCAAUUUAAAAGUAAAGUAUAAGCAAAAACACCAAAACCCACCUAAUUGCAACUUGAAUGAGCUCAAAAAAUGCUUAAAGACCAAGAAUACGGAAUAACCUGUUCAAUUUCCAAAUAUAGCAUCUACUAAAGACCCAAAACAAGCAUUACUCAAACAUUCCAGUCCAAAUAAAUCGUUUAAGCACUUCAAAGAUUCCAAAAAUAAAGAAAGAGCCAAACAAUGAUUGAAGUUGCAAUGAUUUCAGGACUUAAUUACAAGAUACUAAAACAUGCUUGGGCUAUUGUGGCACAAAGAGAAACUUAGAGGGAUCAAAUUGAUUAAAUGUUCCAAUUACUUGGGCCUUAGUAGAACAAAAAGGGACUUGGGGGGUUCAAAGGCAAUUUUGAAACAAUUUCCAUGCAGGUUCAUGCAAGCUACGUGAGCAAACAUUCUGCAACCAAAACAAAUAUUUCUGCAGCCAAGAAACCAUCGCAACUUGCAUUCUCACAAGCAGAUAUCAACCUCAACACUAAUUUUGAUAAAAAAUCUUUCAACCAAACAUUCAAAGUUAAUCUAAACAUCAUAACACACACAUUCAGAAUUCAAACAAACUCAAAUAUAGAAGAAAACUGAUGCAAAGACAGAAGGAAGCUCAUGCAUUCAGCAGAUUCCAGCCACGGCAUUUCUUUUCUUUUUCAUCAUGCAAACCAGAUUUUUGAUUCAAACACGCAGUUUUGACUAGAUAUGUUCCUAUCCAACAUCACAACUUAAGCCAAGUAACCGGCUACAUAAUGAUCACAAUCCAGAUGACUAGAAAACAUGGAAAUAUAUCAUGCCAAAAUUCUAAAAUUUAUGCAGAAAUUGUUUCGGCAGCCUGCUUGUUUGCUUUUCAGCAAAGUGUUCAAUCAUGAUCCAAACAUGUAAAUAUGCAGACUCAACACCCAACCCUCCAUUGCUUCCCUCCAACACAAGAUCAAAUAUGAAACUGAAGUGCAAAACUCAACUAGUAACCGAGGAAAAAAAAAACACAGCAUAAAAAAAAUGCCGCAGCUUUUCCUUUGCUGCUUUUUCGAAGGGAACAACUCCUGAAUACUUGGUAAUUUCAGCAAUAUCAUACCAUGACAAGAUAAAUAAAACCAAUGACCUUUGCCCCUGCAUUCCCAAAACACACAUGUCACUCCAUUCAAGCAAAUCAAACAGUCCAAAACCAGAUUUUCAGCCACGAAAAUGCGAGUCUGCUGCAUUUUUCUCUAAAGUUCAUCCUUAAUCAAUUUCGCAUGAUUUAACCAAGCAAAGGAACUGACCAUGCUAUGAAUCCAUGACAACACCCAACUGUAAGUUUACACCGGACAAAGACCAGAUCAAGAUCAUGCAUCUUAUGCAAAACAAAAACAAAUUUGAGAGAAAAAAGAAAAUCUGGUGCAUGGCUUUCUUCUUUUCGCCUCUUCAGAGGUUUAUUACAGACUUGCUUCUUAUGACAAUCAUGCCAGACACAAACAACUUCCAACCAGACAUCAAACAUCCAAAUCAAAGUACCAAGACCCUGCAACUCUACUCAUUAAAAAAUUUUACCAAGAUGCAAGCUACGGAACCCAUCGAGAAAGUUGUCAAAGUUGGAAACUUUUCUGCAAUAUUCUUUCGGCUAAGACACAAUCAUGCAUGACACCGACUUAUUCCCCAAAACCUCAGAUUUUUCAUUACCCCAAAUAAGGAUCAUUAAUCGUAUUGAAUUCGAAACAGAACCAAUGAAAAACAAAGGAAUGCAAACAACCGACUAAAGAAAAUAGCUUUCAACGAUAAAAGGUGAACAUAAUACCUUGGCCCAGGAAUGAAUCGUAUGAUGACCAAGAACUGGCUCAAGUGAUUCUUUCAGAUGCUUGAAGGAAUGUCAGAUGAUGAUGAGUGAAAGCCCAGUUGAUCUCCUUCUGUAACUUUCAGCCGAAGAUCCUUCCUUUUCCUUUUCUGGUUUCCAGUCGAAGCCCCCUUCUUAGCUCUCUCUUUCGGCUUUCUUUUCUCCUUUCACUCUAUCUCUCCAACCCCAGAUUCUCUAGCCAUUUCCUUUUUCUGGUUCUUCUCUAUCCCCUGCCCUUUGUCAAAAACCCAGCCCCUCCCCUCUCGUCUCUAUCCAGCCCUCUUUUCUAUAACCUCGCCGACCUCCCUAGUUUCUCCUAUGCUUGCUUCUGAUUUUUCUUUUAGUUUGUAGCCACCAAUCUCUCUUUCAACCCCCCCUUGCGGCUGCUGCUUUCUUUUCUCUUUUAUAUCAUCUCCCCAACCUCCUAAACCCUCUCCCGAAUGGUGAGGAUGAAGGCUUACCCUUGCCUUCACAUCCAGCCUUCCAAAGGGCAUCCGUGGCUGUCCUUUGCACGCUGCAAAAAAAAAUUGCAGCGUGCAUGCCGCGACAUAUUUUCUUUUUUUUUUUUAAAAUAACUAAUUAAUAUAGAUAACUAAUUACCUAAUAAUAAAAAAUAAAAAAUAAAAAAUAAAUGCAGAAAUGCCAACAAAAUGCUAAUUUUCUUUCUUUUUUUCUUCUUUUCCCCUUUUUUUCUUUUUGAAGUAAUUUAACAAAAUGGUAAUAAAAUUAAAUGAAAACCAACAAUUUAAUUAACAUCAGAUAAAAAUGAAUAAACUAGAAAUGAUAAACAGCAAAAAAUUGCAAUUUUCCAUUUUUUUUUCAUUUUCCAUUUUCAACGUUUUUCUCUUUUUUUUCCUUUUUUUUUCUUUUUUCCUUUGCUAAAACUUGAAAAGCUUAAAAAAAACAACUAAUAUGACAAGAUAAAAUAAAAUAGCAAAUGAACUAAACAAACUAAAAGGCAAAAAUGAAUAAAACUAAAAUAAAAUAACAACUAAAAGUGCAAAACAAACAAUAAUGAACAAAAUGCAAACCAUCUAAACAAAAUCAUGAAUUUAAUAAAAAUCAAUAGACAAGAAUUAUCACUAAAACGAAGCAUAUAAAUUAUUUCAAAAUUUGGUGUCUACAUUGGGCGAACCUAAUUGGCUGCUAAGUAUUUCGUCCUUUUGUUAGGGACACUGGGGUAACUUGAAAUCUGAUAUUCUGUAUUACCACAAUACAAGCACUUUCCCGAAUUCUUCGAACAUUCAUUCUCCGUGUAGUUGGGCUUACCACAGUAUCCACAAGGCGCACGAGAAGUCAUGGCCUGACCAGUUUGAGAAGUUUCUUUGUAUUUUAUUCCCAGUUCUACGUUCUUAUAUAGCAACUCAAUUUUCUCAGCAUAUUCUUGUUUCCACCGCCAUUCCCAUUAGUUAACCAACUUCUUUUGAAACUCUACCUCCUUUUGAAGGAGGUCCAAUUCCUUAUACAUUUCUUCCAAAUUUGUCAUCUUACCGGUUGGUUCAAGUCAACUACUAGCCUUAACCGUUCUCUGUUUAACACGGGCAAGUUCUUAAAUCUCCAUGAGAUUACUAUCAGUAAUUACAAACUCAAUAGGGUAAGGGGACCUUAUUCGUUAAUAUAAAGAUUCCAUAUCCUAGUUCACUCUUCAAUACUUAUCUACAAGGUCAUUCAAGAGGAAAUCAUAACCCCUUGUUCCCACUAGUGCGUUAUUGUAUCUUCUCAAAUCAAUCUCACUAUUUCGAGAUUAGAUUUUCCAUGUGCUUAGAUGGACGAACUUCAAGAAUUACUCAACUCCUCACACCUUUCUUUGUUCUUAGGUUGGUUGAUUGGUUUAGAGAUUUAGUGCUUCACUAAUCGUGCUAGGGCAUCAAUCAUCUGGUUAAUAGCAAUAACUACGCGAUUAUUUUCCUUCAUUUCUGGGGUUUUGGUUCAGUCCAAGACCUCAAGUUUGCCUUCGCUCUCAAGUACAAUCUCGAUCACAUCUAUUAUCGUUCAUGUCUUAUUAUCAAUCUAGAGGUGUAGGGCAAAGUGCAUCCAUACAUAUAAGCCAUGAAAUCAUUUAAAACAAGGUAAACUUCAUUCUUCAUUAAAGAUCAUAAUGGGUACAUCAAGUUGGAAUAGAUUUAUCAAAUCAUUUCAAAAGAAAAAAGGGAAGCAACAAGAUCGUAACAAAAUGUGCCAAAUUGCCAAGAUACAAAGCGACAAAAGACUUUUUCCCUUUUCACAAGAUUAAAUUUCCAAAAGUGCUAGUCUAGUCUAGGAUACUACGACCUCUAUCCCUCAAAUGUAGUCAAAAUAUCCUCACUCGUAAAACUUCCGCUACUAGAACCCCCUGCAAUAACUAUUAGUACUAAUUACUUCCAUCUGGCAUUCGAUUGGUUUGGGCGAACCUAAUUGGCUGCUAAGUAUUUCUUCCUCUUGUUAGGGGCACUGGGGUAACUUGAAAUCUGAUGUUCGGUGCUACCACAAUACAAGCACUUUCUCGAAUUCUUCCAACAUUCAUUCUCCGUGUAGUUGGGCUUACCACAGUAUCCACAAGGCGCACGAGAAGUCAUGGUCUGACCAGCUUGAGAAGUUUCUUUGUAUUUUAUUCCCAGUUCUACGUUCUUAUAUAACAACUCAAUUUUCUCAGCAUAUUCUUGUUUCCAUCGCCAUUCCCAGUAGUUAGCAAACUUCUUUUGAAACUCUACCUCCUUUUGAAGUUUGAAGAAGGUCCAAUUCCUUACGUAUUUCUUCCAAAUUUGUCAUCUUACCGGUUGGUUCAAGUCAACUACUAGCCUUAACCAUUCUCUAUUUAACACGGGCGAGUUCUUAAGUCUCCAUGAGAUUACUAUCAGUAAUUACAAACUCAACAGGGUAAGGGGACCUUAUUCGUUAAUAUAAAGAUUCCAUAUCCUAGUUCACUUUUCAAUACUUAUCUACAAGGUCAUUCAAGAGGAAAUCAUAACCCCUUGUUCUCACUAGUGCCUUAUUGUAUCUUCUCAAAUCAAUCUCACUAUUUCGAGAUUAGAUUUUUCAUGUGCUUAGAUGGACAAACUUCAAGAAUUACUCAACUCCUCACACCUUUCUUGGUUCUUAGGUUAGUUGAUUGGUUUAGAGUUUUAGUGUUUCACUAAUCGUGCUAGGAUAUCAAUCAUCUGGUUAAUAGCAAUAACUACGCGAUUAUUUUCCUUCAUUUCUAGGGUUUUGGUUCAGUCCAGCAGUCACUCUAUAAUCGUCCCCUUGAGCUUGGAGUUGUUUAACCCAUCACCCUCGAUCAUUUUUCACUCUUUUGACCACCUAUAAAUUUAACAUGUCUUAAGGCAUGACAUAAAGUGAGUGCACAAAAAUGAAAUUUGAAAAGUGAUACCUUUAUCACGCCAAACAAAUACAAGAACAAAAGGGAAGACACCAAAAUAAUCGUAAACGGGUACAACCCAAUCAUGAAGCAGUAAAGUCAAGCAUGCCAUGAAUAACGUUUAAUUGCCUCAAAAGAUAGGAAAUAUAGUGAAACAAGAUACAAAAUGCAAUGGCCUUUAAACGAGCGCCACCCCGUCUAUUUUUGGCAAAAACUUUUAAAAUAAUUUAAAUCACUAGUUUAGUGAUUGGCGGAGUCAAAAGUCUCAAUUACUUCCAUAGGAUCAUUUUCAUUUCCAGCACUAGGAGUUUUAAUCUAAUGUCCCUUAUCGAAUAUCUUGUCAUUCUCUAGUUGUUCAAUCAAGGCAACACACCCAACCAUCGACUUAUCCAUCCUGUCUUUAAUUUCGGACACUACCCAAACAAGUCGAUUCUUAGCUGUUUAAAUCCUCUCACAAGGAGCCUUUGUCUUCCUUACUCCUUAAGUAUCUCAAUCUCCACUUCAGAAAUUUCUAGUAGUCUAGACAUCCGCAAUUGCCCUCAAAUCUCGAUUAUCCCCUCGAAUCACCCUAUUUUCCUCGAAUAGCCACUUCCGAUGAUCGGCUACUAUAAACACUCCAUUAUUUGGGCACGAGUAAGUCCUUUGGAAAUAAAAUAAAGUCCUAGUUCGGCGAGUUGGAUUAUACCUCCAACGAGCCCUCCCUAAACCCUUCACGCCCAUGGUCACCAUAAUAAGUCCCUAAGACAGUUCAAUGCCACCGCUACCUUCCGUAACUUACAAUUAAAAUUAAAAGCUUAAAUAGGACCAAAUGUACUAAAUAUACUAGAUUUGAUCAUCUCAUUACUAAAUAUACUGGAUUUGAUCAUCUCAUACUAUCUCACGUGUCCCUUACAAGAUCGAGAACCCUAAUCGUCCAUUAAUUCAAACCUAGGUUCUAAUUUUCAUUCCCACUAGUGGUCACUUAACUUUUCAACCAGUUCCACAGUCCGGCAUCCUAAACUUCAAGUUUAUGAUACACUUCAAAGAUAUAAAACCUAAGCUCUGAUACCAACUGUAACGCCCCCACUUCUCCCUAAGGCGAACCAGAGGGUAUCCGCGGGACGCCUGCCCAACUCUCGUCAGGACUCAAGCAGUUUCCGUUCAAGCUUAAUGCAAAACUAUUCGACAGCACUGGAUAAAUAAGAAAGUACGGAAAACUUCCAAAUUUAACAAUAUAUAUAACGUUUAUCCACCCUUACAUGGAAUUCCUAAAAGUUACAUCAAUACCCAAAAUAUACCACAUUUGGGUACAUCAAAUAUCCAAAUCAUAUAUAAAGUUCCCUAGAGUACAACCAAUAAGAGGUCUAACCCAAAUUACAAUAAGAGGUCUAACCCAAAUUACAAUAGAAAUCCUAAGCCAGAAGUGCAUCAAAGGGGUUUCUCCAAGUUCAUUCCAUGUCCAUUCCUGUUAAGGAAAAUAAAUCUAUAGGGUGAGCAAAACGCUCGUGAGGCCAAGACCACACAUUGUUCAAGUAACAAUCCAAACUUGACAAGUCGAGCAAUAAUAUAUCAAGAAUUUAACGAUUCACUGAAAAGUAAAACAGAAACAAUUCAAGGAUACUAGAGCUCUCAGGAGCUAUAUUCCUCUGGCACGAUCAAGAACCUCCACGAAUUGACACUCCGUCAAUCGGGUAGGUUUAGUCCAUAGAACUCCACUUAACCUGUCCCCUUUCACCUUACAUACCCUUGUUUCGGGCCCGCCUGUCAUUUGCUUAAGGCAAUACUAUUCGAGUAUGCCAAGCAAAAUCUCUCCAAUAGAUCAAACUUAUCAUGUGAUUCUCAUGGCUCGCCAAGGUUUCCGACCAAACCCAUGCCGGCUCAAGUCCAAGGAUCGCCAAUGAGAUGUGGGCGUCUCCCAAGCAUGUUCGAGUGUCGAGGAGAUUCACUCCAACGACGUAUGCAGCCAUAGCAUACUAUUUCAAGUCAAGCAAGCAUGUAACAUGUGCAAGCAAUUGAGACAUUCGAGUAUUUCAAGUACAAGUCAUUUAUUUCAAGCGAGAACGAGUGCGAUAAAGUACACCCUCAUCUCGAAUUUUAAAAAUCUCAAGUAUCAAUAACAAGUAACAUGUAUCGAGUUCACGGAGUUCAAGCAAACAUGCACUUGACACUCACCAAGUAAACAAGAAGAAACGGCACUCGAAAUUCAAGCGUCCACCGUGGGAUCCUCUUGAAGUUCCUCUUGUGUGCCUGAGCAAUUAAUAAGGAUUUAUCAUUCAUAAACCCCCAAUUAUUACAAAGAUUGUACUUAGUGCACAAUCUAAGAAAAUCUCAUGAAAACGAAUCCCCAAUCAAUUGUAAAUCGAGGUUCAAAGAUGGGGUUUUAAAACACAAGAGCAAUCGAGUUUCCGUCUUAGAAAUCAAGUAUAAAAUGUUCGAGUAAUGUUGAAGAAAUAAGGAGAAUUUGAAAAACUCUAUUUCCUUUAAUUUUCAGAAAUUUCAGUUUUGAUACGAGAUUUUGGAAAAAUUGUAUCUCACUCUUUACAAGUCCAAAAUUAAAAAAUUUUGUACCGUUGGAAACCUCUCAGAAAGUACUAAAAGUUUUCCAGGAUUCCAAACAGAUAGUAUUAAAAAGUGGGCUCAAAGUCACUGUUUCAGGGCACUUAGGAUUGUAUUGGGGUUGAUUUUUCGCUAACUUUGGAAAUUCGGUAAAAUUUGUUCAAUUUGAACUAGCUUUUGAAAUUUGAUACUCUACUAGAGCUACAAUCCAAGUUUAGAACAAAAUAAACAGAACGAGAAUUGAAGUUUUGAACACCGAGAUAUGGUAGCUCAAAGUUACCCAAAUUUCCUUGUGAAACAAGGUUUUUUCCAAAAUCAAGUCAUGCACUUUAGAAGUUUAGUUGAGCAAUGAAACGGCCUCGGAAUAGCACUAAAAUUAGCAGUAUAAUACUACCAUAUAAGGAGUAUUUCUCUACCAAAUUUCAUAGAUAAAUAAGCACGGAAAGUUGGUUAACUAAAACACCCAAGUUUCUAAAAUUUUAAGGCAAAACUGCCUUGUGUACAAAAUGUCCUUUUUCCAAGCUUUUGGCCACAUGAAAUCCUUGCAAACAUGGUACAUUUGAGUAGACAAUGUUUAUUAAACAUCCAAGAUAUGUUGAUGGUGAUUAAUACCAAGAAUCUCGAAUUAACAAGUCUCAAUCGAGUUUAGUAACAAUUCUGCCCAAAGGAGAAUUUUCCUUCAAGAAGUCAGUUUCGAAUACGGCCACAAGUCACUCAAUUGAACUUGGAAUUGGACGUGGUUGGUGACGUUCGAAAAUAGACUCAUAAGGCUAUAUUUUCUCAGAAGAAACCAUUCUGAAAAUCUAUCCAUAACCAGCUCAUUUGUGAGCAUCAAGUUGCAACUCAUGUGCUGCCUUCCAGGAAGCAAUGAAACAGGACAGUGGAUUUCAAACGAAUGGUUUGGCUUGCUCAAGUGGAACCAGGACAUGCAUUUUAUACCAAUAGAAAGCUGGGAAUGUCUAGUUUCCAAUGCCACAAACGGCACUCAAUUUUGACAUCGGAGCAACAAGUUAUGGAUGAAAUAAGAAGACUGCCUGGGCAAUCCUGGAACAAAAUUCCAGUUUUCUAACCUUUCGAAAUUUCAACAUUUGAGUGACCAAAUCAAGUUAUUUUUCAGUGAAACUUUCUACACAACCAAUAUAACAUGUAAACAACAUAAACAAGCCAUUAGAACCUCAAAAUUUUGCACAAAAGUGGUCGGACAAGGCAGGGGUAAAAUGGUCAUUUUUGGUUAUUGCACCACGUUGAGUUUCUAUCAACAACCCAACAUUAAUCCACUAGUUUAGGCACUAAAUAAACAUUAUUACCAGUAAAACACCACAAAUCAGUCCAUAUAUCCAAGGUGGGAGUUCAUAGAGCCCACACAACCAUUUUUCCAAUAUAAACAAGCUACCCAUAAGCAUGCAUAAGCCUAGAUGUGCAAUAUUACUUCCAUAAAGUAAGAUUUGAAGGGUUGAUCGUCCAUUACCUCUCUUGAUGUGCAAGAUAGAAAUUUCGGCUCUCCUUAGCUCUAGAAAACCCGUGGAUUGCAGCUCCUUUUCUUAGCUAGAUGUAAUCUCCAAGUGUUAAACUAAGUGUGAGUGAAAUUUGAAGUGAAUUGGAGGAAGUUUGAUGAAGAUUUGAUGAAGGAAUUUGAAGAACUCUUGAGCUGUUUUUCUUCUUCUUGUUUGGCUGUUAGGAGAGAGAAGAGAGAGGGCAAAAUCUGAUGGAACUUGCUUCUUGAAGGUAGCUUAAUGGUUAAGUAUUAGGUGGACAAAGUCAACCGCAAAUAGUGCGCGUACGCGCGCGUUUUGUGCUCGAUUCCUCUCGAGUUUAUUUUACUAGUAAACUAAAUUUCUAAUGCACUUAUAUUCAUAUAAAUAUUAUUUACUCUUACUUGCCCCAAAAUAAGGGUCUAAAGUCCCUCAAUUAAAUCACACGUGUGAGAACGCGUAUUUCCAAUUUAAGCGCGAUAAAGUGAAAUUUCCAAGAAAUUCUUAUAACGAUGAUACUAAUAACUAUCACUUGAAUACUCAAACAUAAAAUACCUAUUUUGAGACUAAUGUAUAAGUCUCCAAUUUUCCAAGCUUAUUGUAUCAUCGAUUCAAUUAUUUACUCCAAUCGCGUAUUCACUAUUUUCAUUUAACGAUCCUUCAGAAAUUAAAUUUUGAAGCGAGCCACUCUAAAAAUAUAAGUAAGUCAUAGAUCAAUGUAAUUAGGUCUCAAGAGGUUAGAAAAUGAUAUUCGGAAUAAAUGAUCAAGUAAAUAAUUAAAUGAGCUGGAAUUUGGAGUUAAAAUAGAUAAAUUUGUGAGUCUUUACAUGAGUCGAGUAUUAAUUUCUCAAUUAACCUUUCUUAAUCUACCAUUGAUCAUUCUUAACUCUCCAAUAUUAAUACACUCCCGAUUCAAGUAUAGUCUCGAAAGAUGUGCACUCAUUGUUUCGAAUUAAAUGAAUUUCGAAAAGUGAAUUUUCCAACAAAACGCUUUAGAAAAUAUAAAAUAGGCGUUGUUCCAUAUAAUUGGAUUUCAAAUGGUUGAAAUAAAUAAUUCGAAGAAAAUGAGUAAAUAAAUAUUUAAGUAAACUUGUAAUAUUCAAUAAAUAAUAAAAUUUUCGAGUCCUCACACCCAAUCCUUGGAUAAGGCGUUCAUAAUUUUUCUGUUUUUCUCACCUAGAGAGUAUUUCUUUUCCAGUACUUCUAAGUCCUUAAUGAGAUCAUUGAAUCUGCAAUACAUAUUAUCAACAUUUUCAUGAGAUUCCAUCUUAAAGGAUUCAUACUUAGUGACCAGAAUAGAUUUCUUUUGUUCUCUCGUAUUCUCACUACCUUCAUGGAUUUCUCUAAAUUUAUCCCAAAUCUCUUUUGCAGAUCUACAACCUUUGGCUCUAAUAGACUCAUUUGAAUUUAGAGUACUGUAUAAAACAUUCAUGGUCUUGGCAUUUAAUGUGAGAUGGGUUCUAUCAUCAUCAGUCAACUCACUCCUCAUUUUUGGUUUCGGUUUAUUGAUAAUUUCAUCAACAGUAGAGGCAUCAUAUGGGUUUUUAUUGACAAUAAAUCAUAGCUCAAUAUCAAUAGAUUGCAAGAAAAUAAUCAUCCUUUCCUUCCAAUUCACAUAAUUUGAUCCAUUGAACAUUGGGGGUCUAGUGACGGAUUGUCCUUCAAAGAACAUGGCAUUGUUGGUUGUCAUUUUUACUCCAAAACUGAUUAAACAUAAUCUCUAGGAGACCAAAUUCUAAUACCAGUUGUAAGGAUCGAAAACAACCUAAGAAGGGGGUGAAUUAGAUGGUUUAAAAAACUUGCCAAGAUAUAAGUCACUUUUUGAGUACUUGUCAUCUUUUUCCAAACGACCACACAAUCGAGCAAUAGAAGAGAAAACACAAGUACUUGUGAGUAGAAGAGAUGAACAGUUUAUAUAUCAAAACAGUAAGUAAAAGGAGAUAGAAUAUCAAACCAAAUGUCAAACUCCUCUUGAGUUUGGAUAUCACUUUAUAGAGCAAGUUUCUUCAAGUUGAUCAACUUACAACUAAUUUUUUGUGUACAAGGGAAGGAUCACUUCCUACUUGUCCUAAGCCACACUUAGUCAAGCAAGGAAGUUUUACAAUCAUUCGGAUAACCCUCAUAAAACUACACUAUUGAAGUAGUUGAUUCACACUAGAAAAUCUUAUUGAAAGUUACACAACUAAGAGUACAAAUCUUCUUUUUGAAGAGUAUUCUCACACUUGAAUCACUCUUGAUUGAUGUAGUCUCAAUGUGCAAAGUUGUUUUGAAGUGGUUGACUUUGUUCUAUUUAUAUGGGACCAAAAAGUUCCUCAAUUAAUGCUUCUAACGGAUAUAAGACAGUUGAAGAGUCAACUAGCCGUUAGUAGUAUCGGACAUCCGGUAAAUCAACUUCUUGCGUCCGAACGUAGGCAGUAAGUUCAAGAAAUUUUCUUGAAUUAUAUCGGACGUCCGGUACCUUCAAUGUAUACGUCCGAAGGUAGGAGGUGAAAUUAGGAGUUCUUCUUCAAUUCUUUUCGGACGUCCGGUCCCUCUAAGGCUUUGCAUCCGAAGUGUCGUAACUCUUAUCGGACGUUCGGUGCUUUGAGGAUGUGCUUCCGAUUGAGGUCAGUGAGUUUAGAGGGAAUGAUUCAAUAUCUUCGGACGUUCGAGGGUGAAGUUCUUCAUUCAUUCGAAGUUGUGCAAAGGUUGUCGGGCGUCCGAUCUAGUCUUCUUGCGUGUCCGACAGCAGUUUCAGCGUCCUUUGUGCUUUAAUCUUUGAACCUGUUUUGCUCCAUUUCUGAAAGAGUCUCUUUGAGAGAAUAUUAGUAAUCAUCCAUUUAUUUUGUAAUUAUCAAAAGCUAUGGAUUGAGAUAAACAGUUCGUUAUCUUAUCGAUCAGACCUUUGCCGACUCGACUCGAUUAACUAGCUACAGGAUUUUUGAAAUUUCAGACAGUAUCUAAGUCAUACACACACACACAUACACAUAUAUAUCAAACCAAUUGUAACCACUGCACAGUAAUAAGUUACAUUAGGGCAAGUGCGAUCCCUUGCUCUAUCAACAAGUCAAGUACUGUCCCAUUACAUUAACAAAUCAAUUCAUUCAAGUAAUAAGUUCAAACAUGCACUUGAAAACAUUCACAAUGAUUUAUUGCUUUCCAAAACCAAGCUUAGGUUCAACUUCCUGACUGGAGUCCAAAUCUGUGAUAAAAUACCGUUUAACAGUUUGCAAUCAAAAUACAGAAGUUUCGCUUAAAGAAAUCCAAGUAAAUAGAAUUUAUUUAAGUAUUACUCAUUUUACUUAUCAAACCCUAGAAAAUUCAUACUCGCUCUUUUGAUUUCGAUAAAGAAGCGUUUAAAAUUUUUAAGUUCGCAACUUGGUAUAAGAAACUAGGAAAUCGUAUUUAAAGUGGCUGUUACUUUGUCUUUGAGAAAUAUACACUUUUGGCAAAAUUUUAGCUUAUAAGUCACCCAUACGGUUAACUUAAAAAUCCCUACAUAACUAAAUCCCAAAUCAUUCACAAGUCAUACCCCUAUUUCCGCUUUCACUCACUUAUCCUACAAGAGGAAAAUGGGCAGUAUUUUCUUUAUUUUUACCAAAUUUUUCAGCCAUUUUCAAGGCCACAUUUCCAUCUCAAAUCAGCCCAUUCAAUACCACAAUUAAUAAGAUAAAAGCAGCUCUCAAUCUAGACCAUAGAAUCAUCUAAUUGGAGUUCAUUUCUAGCAUAUAUCAUCACAAUAUCAAAGUUGAAAAAUCUCUAAUAAAGUUGGAAAUUCCUAGUUAGAAGCUAAAAAGUCACAAUAAAGCUACCAAUCACCUCAUAAGUGCAUAGCUAAACUCAAUACUAACAUAUUAUGGAUAAAUAACAUAAAUCAAGUGAUGAGGAGGUCGAGAGAACUAUCCAAAUGGAGCAAGUGAAGGUACCAUUGGGGUCUAUGACACGAGCUCGCGCGAAGAGAUUGAAUGAGACACUACAAACAUUGGUUCGUGGUGUCCUAGUCUCGGCCAUCACUGAAGAUUAGAAGCCCAUGAUUCGGCUAAGGGGGUCCAUGGCCCAUUACUAUUUUAGUAGGGUGUAAUAAAGAAGUCUAGGCCAUGUGGGCCGUAGGCCCAAUAGCACUUUUAGUUAGUUAAUGAGUUAGUCCCUAUGUUGAGCUGGUUCAGGGGUCUCGCUGGCCGAAUUUCUUUCAUGUUUUCCAAGCUUUGUUAAGCCUUAGUCACGGCUACAAAUAGCCUUGAGUCAUUGUUUACAUUCAGUUUUUGAUGAUUAAUAAAAUUACAUUGAGAGUUCUCUCAAAGCUUCAUUGAAGCACCUUGAAUAUGUUGGAUUUAUAUCUUAGGUAUUCAAUUGACUUAUCAAUCUAGGACCGCGCUAGAUUGUGGCGUUUUCUACAAAUACCGAGGUUCAUUGACCACGUGAUCAACGGGUUUAGGUGAUUCGCUGUGUUCGUCGUCUUCAACGUGAGUCUCUACCUUCUAGAUCCAAGCCUUUCUAUACGGGUUGCAUCAUAAGGUUGGUGCCGUUCGUAUCAUCAAGGCUGAAAAAUCAUAACCCUAAGCUGAAAUUUCACCAAUCUUCACCAAAUCUAGAUUAUCAUCCAUAAAAUUCCAUGUUUCAAGUCAUCUUCACCAUAAAUUGCAAAAAUAAGAAGGAGAAAAGAAGUUGUUCAACUUCUACCUUCAAUCCCUUGAAGAAAGUGAAGAACUAAGACUUUCUCUCCAAAAAACUCUCAACUCCAAGCUUUCUAGCUUUGUUGGUGCUAGUUUGUUCAGUUUAGUUUCGUGAUUCCAACUCAAAUAAGGCAAGAAUCAAGGUGGAAAUGGAAGUUUUUCUCCUCUCUUUUCCUCUCCAAUGGUUUGGCCAAGACAAGAAAGAAAUGAAGAAAUAUUGGUCCAAAAGAAAGAUAAGAAGGAAGAAAGUUGUCUUGGUCAACUAGUCUUGGAUCAUUGACACUUGGCAAGGCCAAGUUUUUCCUCUUUUUUUCUUUUCUUUCCUUCCUCUUAGUCAAUAAUUUUGACUCGCUUUAGGGUUAAUUUAGGGGGGAUUAAAUGAAAUAAAAUCAAGGAGAUUAGGGUAAGAAAAUAUUGGUUAAGUGGUAUACUCAACAGGUAACAAACGGCGCACGUCAGUUGAAACUUACUUCUUUAACUCUCUUGUACUUUUGUUUUAACUUAUGAUUCACUAACUUAUUUUUUUAGCACUUCUAAUCACACACUUCCUCCUACUUAAAACUCGCUCUUAUCCACCAAUUUUAGUACACACACCUCACCAACUAAUUACACUAUCAAAAUGCACAAAAACCCUAGUUUACUCUAACUAUAAAUGUAAAAGUAAAACUUUCGAUUAUAUUAUUUAUUACAACUAUUGAAGGAGUAAAUUAAUAGUAAAGGAGUUAUAAAUUAACUUAUUCAAAAUAAAAAAGGUUUAUAAGCAAAUUUUCAAGUUCUCACACCUUGAACAGAAAAUUUUCAACUUUGAUGAACUUUUCCUCAAUCAAACUCCUCUUUUCUUGGUGCUAAUUCAAGUUAAGAUAUCAUUAACCUAAAGUAGAGGGAAAAUGAAGGAAAACUUAGUAGUUUUUACCUCUUGUUCCUCACAGUUUCUAGGCUAGAAAAUUUUUGUUUUCCUCGCCGAUUCCUUAAGCUAGAUGAGUUAUGAUUUUCUCGUUUCUUGGUUGAGGCUCAAGUUUGAAGAAAAAAAGAAGAAGAAGAGAGGAUGCUGGUUCUCUGGUGGUUUUCUUUCUCUCUUUUCUCUCGGCCACAUUGAAGAUUGAAACACUUGGUUCUUUCAAGUUUGAAGAAAUGACGCACUUGAUUCUUUCAAGUUUGAAGGAAUGAAGCAUGCAAGGGACAAGUGUGAUGACACUCGUCAUUCAUGCUUUUUUUUAUCAUGCUAUUACCACAAUAACUUCUUAGUUCUAACUAGUACUAAUGUUUUAUAGUGUAGGUGAUAUAAUUUCCUAAGGUGUACUUAUUGAUUCAUUUGUUAAAAAGAACUAUUGGACGUAUAAGUCAAUCAUUAACAAAAGGAAAAAUACAAUGUGCACUGAAUUUUAAAUAGGACACAAAAUUUUCAUGUUAAUAUUUUGUUACUCUCAUACUUUCUCUUCCUUAAAAGAAUUUCAUUCUCCAAAUUCUCAUUGUGGUUAUAAAAUGUUUUGGGUAUUUCUUUCAUAUAUCUUCCUCCAACUCCAAGUUAUUUCUUCUAACCCGUGAUGCUUCCACAAACCUUGACUAAAGGAAUUUACUUUCUUCCUUAAUUCCUUCACUUUUCGAUCCAAAAGUUACAUAGGCUGUUCUUUAUAGGAUAAUCAUUCAUUCAUUUCAACAUCUUCGGGUUGGAGUAUAUGAUAUAUGUCAGGAUGAUAUUUCUUUAGUAUUGACACAUGGAACACAUCAUGGAUCUUGGUCAGUUUGACAGAUAACACCAAUUGAUAUGCCACUUUACCCACUUAUUGGAGAAUUCUAAAGGGUCCCACAUAUUUCGAUUUAAGUUUUCUCCUUUUUCCAGUUUUAAUGCUCCCCUUUAAUGGUGCAACUUUAAGAAAUCCCUAUCUUUAACUUUAAAUUUCAAAUCCUUCCUCUAAUUGUCAGCAUAACUCUUAUGUCGACUGAGUGGUUUUAAAUCCUUUGGCAAGUCAAUUUUACUUUCACAUAUGCCUCUUCAACCCAUGAAACUUUUUCUGAGCUUAUAAUCUUUCUUUCCUCUAUUUUAUUCUAAUAAAUCGGAGAUCGGUACUUCCUCUCAUAAAGAGCCUCGUAGGGCGCCAUUUGGAUGGAAGAAUUGUGACGACCCCACCGUACCCAGAGGCGUACCAAGGGGUUUAGCGAAUCGUCUGCCUAGCUCGCGCCAGAACUCGAUACUUAAAACGAGAAAAUAGAUUUCACGCAAAAGAGAGUUCCACUUACACAAUUACAUUUUUAAAAGUUGUAUAAACUAUUAUAUCAAGCCAUACACACCACUAGUACCAGAAAGUAAACCCUAGAGAAGUUACUAACUAUAACCACCACAAUAAAUAUAUAUAUCUUACCAGUCAACUUAUAAUAAGUAUUAGGGCAAAAUCAACUAUUCUAUAAACCAAAAGUCUAUACACCUUCCUGAACUUUCCCCGCGUCGGCCCCUGCUAAGGAAAACAAAUGGAAGAGGGUAAACUAUAUGCUUAGUGAAUAAUUGGGAAAAAAAUGUAAAGUCACAUCCAAUUAAACAUGUAAACCAAGAUAUUUCAUAUCAAUAAACAAAAAUGUAACAUCACAAUGGUAGGAUACAAGUUGCUUCAAACCCAGUUCAACUCCCCGCUUGACCACCUGUUGACACUCUAUCAACCAAAAUACUCAUAGUCCGUAGGCUCCACUUACUUCCCCGUUCACCUUAUCAACCUCCGCUGGCCAGUCAACAGCACACAGCAGCUCGAGCAAAACAAAAUAACUUCGUUUUAAUAAAGAACGAAAUCCCAAGAUUAGCAUAGAAUUAAUUUCGACCAAACUUCGGCCGGCUUGAAUGAUCCGUCUACCCUUGGAACCGGGUUGAAACCAAACCCUGAUAUAUCCAAUCUCUCAACAAAGGAUGCCUCUCAACAAAAUACUCAUCCAAAUAUUCAAGUCAUGCAUUCACCCUAACAGCACACAGCACAAGGGAUGAUACUCAACACACGGCGUAUUCUUAUAUAUUAAAUCAAGAAUAGAGAAUGGGUUUAAGUCGAGUGAGAUAAAGUACAACCUUGCCUAAGUACCCAUUUAACAUAUACAAAGCAGUUUGACAAUUUAUUACAUAAACAAACUCAAUUACUCACAAAAAAUAACUAGCACGCAAAUCAAGGCAAUUUAUACGGAUCCACCGACUCCGUCCGGAUCGUCACGGUUUGUGAUAAAAGAUUAUACUUAACUAUUAGUCAAACAACCAUUAUAAUAGAAAUAAGGCCUAAAACGGCCAAAACAACAAAAACGGCCAAGAAAUACAUACGCGUGUGCGGAAAUGAAAACGGUGUGCACGAUGAAAAAUGGUAUGAAAACGGGCUGCACGGUUUCGACCAUAACUAGAGCUGUAGUUAUCGAAUAAAGGUAUACUAGGUAGCGUUUCGAAACUAAGGCAAAGGGUUACAACUUUCAUGAAAACAAGUCAACCCAGUUCACAGUUGAUCUAGGUCGAAUUUGCAGAUUACAGAACCAGAAUUUCAUUGUCGGUCUAAUUGUCAGCACAGGAUUCAAAUGACAGUAACUCAGGCUACAAAAGUCCGAUUGGGAGGUUUUCAGAUGCGUUGGAAAGCUGAAACAUAGAACUAAAAUUUUCGUGUUUGAUCAAAUGCUAAUUUGAUAUGGAUCAAAGUGAAAAUUGAAAGCAAAAUGUGAAAUCUCAAAAUUGCCCGCGAAAUAGGGCAUUUGGUAGUCAGGGGUAAUUUUGUCAAUUCACACGCUACAGUGCUCCGAUUGAACUGAAGUUUUACAGGCAGCUAUAUAACUCCAUUCCAAUCCUUACAACUUUCAUGUUUUGAUCUAGGCCUGAUUCAACCUCUAUUAUGGACAAACAUACUGGUCAGUAACAUGGCAGAUUGGUCUCAACUUUCUGGAAUUUGAUGAUUCUAUGCUUGAAAAUCACAUUUAUAUCUUGAAUCACUGCCCCAAGUCUAUAUCCAAGCUCACAAACAUCAUAUACUAGAUAAAAAACAAGAAUUCCAACUGAAAAUAUCAAACCCUGACUAAAUAUUCCACCAUAUCAUGCAAAACUCACUAAUUAACCGCCAUAAGCCAAGAAUAUGAGUUUCUAUCCAAACUUAAACAAGAUUAAGGAAGAGAAAAGGAUAGACAGCUAUAAUACCUCACCAAGGAUGCUUGCAAGAGAAAAUUACAACCUUUUCUUCCAAAACAUCGCCACACAAAGCUUCCUACACUCCCAAGUGAAAGUUUAAUCGGAUUAGAUUUUUGAUUCAACUUAAACAAGGCCAAAAAUCAAGAUUGGAAUUGAAAUGUUUCUUCCCUCUUUCUUCCCUCUUUCUUCCCUCUAAUACUCGGCCACCAUGGAGAAAUGAAGGCUGAAAUGAAUGUCAAGGAAAGAUAAGAAGGUUGGAAUUGGCUUGGUCAAACAACCCUUGGAUGGUUGCCAAGUGUUGCCUUAGGAUCAAAUCUCAUUUUUUUUCUUUUUCCUCUUUUCUUUGGUCAAAGAUUGCGGCUGGUUUAAGAGAUAUUUUAGGGUUAAUUAGCUGAAAUAAAAGUAUGGGUAUUAAGGUAAUAAGGUAGUGUUCAAGUGGUACACUCAAUCAGUAACGAACGGUACACAUCGGUUCAACCCGUUUUUCCUUAUUUUACACGUACUAGGGUUUUAACUUAUGAUCCACUCACUUAUUAUUAUCACUUCUAAUCACACACUUUCUUUUAUAUAAAACUCACUCUUAACCACCAAAUUUAGUAUGUUGUCUAUACCAAUUAAUCACACUACCAAAAUACACAAAAUCCUAAUGUACGCGAACUAGGAACCUAAAGGAAAAACCCUUGUUUCGAUGAUUGAUUGCAGCUAUUGAGGGAGUGAAUGCGUAGUAAAGCUAUUCUAACGUAAUGGAUUCCAACUAAAAGGAAAUUUGUAAGAAAAACAUGAGGGAUUUUACAACUCCAUAGAUCACCAACUUAAUGUAAUCCAACAAUCUAUCAAGUUUAGUUACACCUCACGAGCCUACUAACCACACACCUAUUAUAAUACUUAUCAUAAAGCAUGCAUUGUCAUACAUAAACUCAAUUAAAUAACAACCUUUUAAUCACAAGUAAAGUUAGGGUUUUUGAUUAAAAUUUAAGGUUUCUAGUAUUUUAAAACAAAAAGUUUUAAAACAAAACAAAAUAAAUAAACUUUAAUAUCCCCUUUGAAAACAAUAUCCUAAAAUUCGGUGCAUCACAAUCUCCCCUCCUUAAAAGAAUUUCGACCUCGAAAUUCAUACCUUUAUUUCAAAUAUUCUCGAUAUCUCUUCGACAUUCUGCUCUUUCUUGAUGAAAAAUCUAUUUCAGACUUGAUAUCACGUAAAUUGUGCAUUCUUAAUCUUUUCAUGAGCUAAGGGUUGGAAUACUCUAAUACCUUAUUAACGAGUUCAUCAUUAAUAGUAAAGAUCACCUCAGGAAUUUGUCACUCUAUGUAUUCCAAUCCAAGAACCAACCAUGUAAUUCUUAUCUCAAAGUUUCAGUGGUCUUUAUUCUCAAUGAACUUCAAAUGCCUUGUAGAUCGAAUUCUAUAAUAUCUUAACAACAUAAUAAUUUCGUUGUACUCUGCUUUAAUGCUAGUAAUCUUCUAAAACGAUUAGAAAGAAACCUCAAUAGGGCUAUUAAAACUUCUGCGAUACGAUGGAAGAUAGGGAGUGUACCUUCGAUGACUGCCAAGGGAUCAUUCACCUCUUGAUGUCCCAUCGCAUAGGCUCUUGUCGGCACUUUCGAUCGAUUACCCGUUGCAUUGGUCGGCUUAAAAGUGAUUCCUUCUACCCUCGGAACAUUUCAUUCUUUUACCAGGUAAGGGCACUGAGCAAUCAAGUGCUCAGCACUUUCACAUCGGUAGCAUUUUCGAACUUGCCCUUUCGUCCAACAAUUAUCUUCCAUGUGGUUAGCAGCCCCACAAAAUUCACAUGUCAUUUUGGGUCCUGAUGUCAGACCUCCAUGUGAGGUGCCCCUUUGGGUCUCUCUUCCUGCCUGAAUUUUCUCAAAACUUUCCUGAUUCGGGAUCCCUGCUGAUCGUGGACCACCGACUCCUCGGCCCAUCUUAGAUGGUGGAUCGUUCCUCAAGGUCUGUCCUUCAAUAUAACUGCUUGUGUCAGGUUGUCUUCUUUUCUUUUCAUGAAAAGCCUUUACUUGACUCUUAGUAUUUUCAAUUCUUUGUAUUUUUUCAAUAGCUUGACUAUAUGUCUCUAAUUGAGCAGCUACCAGUGCCUCUUGAAUCUUCACAUUCAAGCCCUGGACAAACCGAUGAAUUCACCUUUGGUUUAUCAGUAUUCACUCCGGAGCAAAACGAGAGAGUUUGGUAAACUACGUCUCGUACUCCACCAUACUCAAAGUCCCUUGGCGCAGUCGUAUAAACUCAUCCACCCAUCUUUCUUGAACAAGUGGUGGUAAAUACUUCUCAUUAAACUCACGGGCGAAGUUAACCCAUGUCCAUGGGGUCUGCUCAAUAUCCCAUUUGGCUUGAAUCACAUUCCAUCAGGUUUGAGCCGCUCCCUCAAACUGAAAAACGGCAAAAGCUAUCCGUCGUUCCUCCCGGUAUCCUAAUGCAGCGAAAAUAUCUAACAUUCGAUCCAACCAACUCUCUGCUAUGUCAGGGUUAGGUCUACCCAAAAAUUUUGGUGGUAGAAACUUCUGAAACCGUUCUAAGGCACGGUUCUCUCCCUCAUGAUUUUUAAGAUGCUGCACCUGGUCUUGACCCCGUUGGUUGAUCAUUUGUUCUAACAAAUCAGCCAUUCGCUGUAUAGCCGCAGCUACUUGGGUCUUGGCUUGUCUAUUUGCAUUUUCAUUGGUUGCCCCUUCGGUUCCUCGUCCUCGUUCUCUACCCCCACCUCGUCCUCUUCGAUUCCAAACUUGAUAUCAAGUAAAUCGUGCAUUCUUAAUCUUUUCACGAGCUAAGGGUUGGAAUACUCUAAUACCUUAUUAAUGAGUUCAUCAUUAAUAGUAAAGAUCACCUCAAGAAUUUGUCACUCUAUGUAUUCCAAUCCAAGAACCAACUAUGUAAUUUUUAUCUCAAAGUAUCAAUGGUCUUUAUUCUCAAUGAACUUCAAAUGCCUCGUAGAUCGAAUUCUAUAAUAUCUUAACAACAUAAUAAUUCCGUUGUACUCUACCUUAAUGCUAGUAAUCUUCCAAAACGAUUAGAAAGAAACCUCAAUAGGGCUAUUAAAACUUCUGCGAUACGAUGGAAGAUAGGGAGUGUACCUUCGAUGACUGCCAAGGGAUCAUUUACCUCUUGAUGUCCCAUCGAAUAGGCCUUUGUCGGCACUUUCGAUCGAUUACCCGUUGCAUUGGUCGACUUAAAAGUGAUUCUUUCUGCCCUCGAAACAUUUCAUUCUUUUGCCAGGUGAGGACACUAAGCAAUCAAGUGCUCAGCACUUUCACUUCAGUAGCAUUUUCGAACUUGCCCUUUCUUCCAACAAUUAUCUUCCAGGUGGUUAGCAGCCCCACAAAAUCCACAUGUCAUUUUGGGUCCUGAUGUCAGACCUCCAUGUGAGGUGCCCCUUUGGGUCUCUCUUCCUGCCUGAAUUUUCUCAAAAUUUUCCUGAUUCGGGAUCCCUGCUGAUCGUGGACCACCGACUCCUCGUGAGGUCCUUAUGUCAGACCUCCACGUGAGGUGCCCCUUUGGUCUCUUUCCCUGCCUGACCUUUCUCAAAAUUUUUCUGAUUCGGGAUCCCAACUGAUCGUGGACCACCGACUCCUCGGCCCAUCUUAGAUGGUGGAUCGUUUCUCGAGGUCUGUCCCUCAAUAUAACUGCUUGUGUUUGGUUGUCUUUUUUUUUCUAUCAUGAAAAGCUUUUACUUGACUCCUAAUAUUUUCAAUUCUUUGUGCAUUUUAAAUAGCUUGACUAUAUGUCUCCAAUUGAGCAGUCGCCAGUGCCUCUUGAAUCUCCACAUUCAAGUUUUGGACAAACCGACGAAUUUUCUUUUGGUCUGUCAGUACUAACUCCGGAGCAAAACGAGAGAAUUUGGUAAACUGCGUCUCAUAUUCCGCCACACUCAAAGUCCCUUGACGCAGUCGUAUAAACUCAUUCUCCCGUCUUUCUUGAACAAGUGGCGGUAAGUACUUCUCAUUAAACUCACGGGUGAAGUUAACCCAUAUCCAUGGGGUCUGCUCAAUAUCCCAUUUGGCUCGAAUCACAUUCCACCAGGUUUGAUCCGUUCUCUCAAACUGAAAAACGGCGAAAGCUAUCUGCCGUUCCUUCGGGUAUCCUAAUGUAGCGAAAAUAUCUAACAUUCGAUCCAACCAACUCUCCGCUAUGUCAGGGUUAGGUCCACCUAAAAAUUUUGAUGGUAGUAAUUUCUGGAACUGUUCUAAGGUACGGUCCUCUCCCUCAUGAUUUCCGGGAUGCUGCACCUGACCUUGACCUUGUUGGUUGACCAUUUGUUCUAGCAAAUCAGCCAUUCACUGUAUAGUCGUAGCUACUUAGAUCUCGACUUGUCUAUUUGCAUUUUCAUUGGUUACCCCUUCGGUUCCUUAUUCUUGUCCUUUACUCCCACCUCGAUCACGGGUCUCCAUUUGAUUAUUUUAUAACUUCUAUAAUUGGAACAAAAUAGAGUACGAGUUCAAAACAUUAAAAAUUAUAAAAUGCACAAAAUAACCAAAUAUUAUACACUAAACUAUAUACAUAUUAUACAAUUCACGUCAAAAAUAUACGCAUAUCGGUCCACAUAACAGCCAACACCCAACCAGUAUAAAAUAUGUUAGUUCAUGAGCACACCGACUCCAACAAAGUCAACAAAACAAGUCAGAGUAAUGGCCCUAGCGAAAAUCUGCUACAGAACCCAUAGAGUCUAUCCCAUCCAUCGCCCCGCGCUGUCAGUCCUAGGUGGCGCCUCUGCAACCACAUCCAAGAGAAUCUCACAGUCUCGCAUGAUACCCCCAGCUCUCUCUCUCAUCUACCCCUUCAAAGCAAAAGUGGCGAUGGAUUUUCUCAAGCUGACGAUCGAGAGUAUACGUCCGUUCCUCCUCAACUCGUAACCCCACCUCGAGUUCACGCAGGUGCAUGGCCUGUGCAUGGCCCACUCCUCUAAUUGUGCCCUCAGAGUGUUAACCGUUUUACCUAGGCGACGAUGCUCAUCAUCUAUAGCCAUAAGAACCUCAUCAGGGUAUCCAUAGGUAUGUCGACGCUCACACGAUCAAUUUAUCUGACCGAAGGGAGAAUACAACCUAUAGGGUUCCCCAACCCUCCUCUGAUAUCUAAGGACUCGUCGGCGCACCACCUGAUUCACAGGUCCACCUAUACUCUUAACUCUUACUCCGGAAUCGCUAGGUCCACCAGUAUUAUUAGGUCCCCCGGUAUCAUUAGGUCCACCAACCUCCAUACCUACACAACAAAAUAUUACUUAAUCAGUCCAUCGGCAUUUCAUCUUAAUAGAUACGAUUCAACUUAAAGAUAAUCAAAUACUUAUAUGUUCUAUAACACAUUUUCCAAUUGCCCAAAUCCUCUAAUUUAGGCACUCUGAUACCAUCCGUGACGACCCCACCGUAUUCAGAGGCGUACCAAAGGAUUUAGCGAAUCGUCUGCCUAGUUCGCGUUAGGACUUGAUACUUAAAACGAGAAAAUAGAUUUCACGCAAAAGAGACUUCCAUUUACACUAUUACAUCUUCGAAAGUUGUAUAAACUAUUACAUCAAACCAUACACACCACUAGUACCAGAAAGUAAACCCUAGAGAAGCUACUAACUAUGACCACCACAAUAAAUAUAUACAUCUUACCAGUCAACUUAUAAUAAGUACUAUGGUAAAAUCAACUAUUCUAUAAAUAAAAAAUCUAUACACCUUCCCGAACUUUCCUCGCGUCGGUCCCUGUUAAGGAAAACAAAUGGAAUUGGGUAAACUAUAUGCUUAGUGAAUAAUCGGGGUAAAAACGUAAAGUCACAUCCAAUUAAACAUGUAAACCAAGAUAUUUUACAUUAAUAAACAAAAAUAUAACAUCACAAUGGUAGGAUGCAAGUGGCUUUAAACCCAGUUCAACUCCCCGCUUGACGAUCUGUUGACAAUCCGUCAACUAAAAUACUCAUAAUCUGUAGGUUCCACUUACUUCCCCGUUCACCUUAUCAACCCCCACGUGAGGUGCCUCUCAAAUUUCUGGAAUUUGAUGAUUCAAUGUUUGAAAAUCACAUUUAUAUCUUGAAUCGCUACCCCAAGUCUCUAUCCAAGCUCAUAAACAUCAUAUACUAGAUAAAAAACAAGAAUCCCAACUGAAAAUAUUAAACCCUAACUAAAUAUUCCAGCAUAUCAUGCAAAACUCACUAAUUAACCGUCAUAAGCCAAGAAUAUGAAUUUCUAUCCAAAUUUAAACAAGAUUAAGGAAGAGAAAAGGAUAGGCAGCCAUAAUACCUCACCAAGAAUGCUUGCAAGAGAAAAUCAUAACCAUUCCUUCCAAAACUUCAUCACACAAAGCUUCCUAACCUCCCAAGUGAAAGUUUAAUCGGUUUAGAUUUUUGAUUCAACUCAAACAAGGCCAAAAAUCAAGAUUGGAAUUGAAAUGUUUCUUCUCUCUUUUCUCCCUCUAAUACUCGGCCACCAUGGAGGAAUGAAGGCUGAAAUGAAGCUCAAGGAAAGAUAAAAAGGUUGGAAUUGAUUUGGUCAAACAACCCUUGGAUGGUUGCCAAGUGUUCCCGUAGGAUCAAAUCUUAAUUUUUUUCUUUUUCCUCUUUUCUUUGGUUAAAGAUUGUGGCUGGUUUAAGAGAUAUUUUAGGGUUAAUUAGCUGAAAUAAAAGUAAGGGUAUUAAGGUAAUAAGGUAGUGUUCAAGUAGUGCACUCAAUCAGUAACGAACGGUAUCAGUUCAACCUGUUUUUCCUUAUUUCGCACGUACUAGGGUUUUAACUUAUGAUCCACUCACUUAUUAUUAUCACUUCUAAUCACACACUUUCUCUUAUAUAAAACUCACUCUUAACCACCAAAUUUGGUACACAGUCUAUACCAAUUAAUCACACUAUUAAAAUACACAAAAACCCUAAUGUACGCGAACUAGGAACCUAAAGGAAAAAUCCUUGAUUCUAUGAUUGAUUGCAGCUAUUGAGGGAGUGAAUGCGUAGUAAAGCUAUCCUAACGUAAUGGAUUCCAAUGAUAAGGAAAUUUGCAAAAAAAACAUGACGGAUUUUUCAACUCCAUAAAUCACCAACUUAAUGUAAUCCAACAAUCCAUCAAACUUAGUUACGCCUCACGAGUCUACUAACAACCCAUCUAUUAUAAUACUUAUCAUAAAGCAUGCAUGGUCAUACAUAAACUCAAUUAAACAACAACUUUUUAAUCACAAGUAAAACUAAGAUUUUUGAUUAAAAUUUAAGAUUUCUAGUCUUUGAAAACAAAACAAGGUUUAAAAACAAAACAAAAUAAAUAAACCUUAAUAUUCUCUUCGAAAAUAAUAUCCUAAAAAUCGGUGCAUCACAAUCUCCCCUCCAUAAAAGAAUUUCGAUCUCGAAAUUCAUACUUUUACUUCAAACUUCCCGAUAUCUCUUCGGCAUUUUGCUCUUCCUUGAUGAAAAACCUAUUCCAAACUUGAUAUCACGUAAAUCGUGCAUUCUUAAUCUUUUCACGAGCUAAGGGUUGGAAUACUCUAAUACCUUAUUAACGAGUUCAUCAUUAAGAGUAAAGAUCACCUCAAGAAUUUAUCACUCUACGUAUUUCCAUCCAAGAACCAACCAUGUAAUUCUUAUAUCAAAGUUUCAAUGGUCUUUAUUCUCAAUGAAUUUCAUAUGCUUCAUAGAUCGAAUUCUAUAAUAUCUUAACAACAUAAUAAUUUCAUUGUACUCUGCCUUAAUGCUAGUAAUCUUCCAAAAUGAUUAGAAAGAAACCUCAAUAGGGCUAUUAAAACCUCUGCAAUACGAUGGAAGAUAAGGAGUGUACCUUUGAUGACUGCCAAGGGGUCAUUCACCUCUUGAUGUCCGAUCGCAUAGGCCCUUGCCGGCACUUUCGAUCGAUUACCCGUUGCAUUAGUCGGUUUAGAAGUGAUCCCUUCUACACUCGGAACAUUUUCUUCUUUUGAUAGGUGAGGGCACUGAGCAAUCAAGUGCUCAGCACUACCACAUCGGUGGCAUUUUCGAACUUGCCUUUCUUCUAAUAAUUAUCUUCCAGGUGGUUAGCAGCCCCACAAAACCCACAUGUCAUUCUGGGUCCUGAUGUCGGACCUCCACGUGAGGUACCCCUCUGGGUCUCUCUCCCAGCCUAACCUUCUCAAAAUUUUUCUGAUUCGGGAUCCCUGCUGAUCGUGGACCACCGAAUGCUCGGUCCAUAUUAGAUGGUGGCUCGCUCCUCGAGCUCUAUCCCUCAAUAUAACUGCUUGUGUCAGGUUGUCUUCUUUUCCUAUCAUGAAAAACCUUUACUUGACUCUUAGUAUUUUUAAUUCUUUAUACUUUUUCAAUAGUUUGACUAUAUGUCUCUAAUUGAGCAGCCGCCAGUGCUUCUUGAAUCUCCACAUUCAAGCUCUGGACAAACCAACGAAUUCUCUUUUGGUCUGUUAGUACUAACUCUGGAGCAAAACGAGAGAGUUUGGUAAACUACAUCUCGUACUCCGCCACACUCAAAGUUCCUUGACGCAGUUGUAUAAACUCAUCCUCUCGCCUUUCUUGAACAAGUGGCAGUAAGUACUUCUCAUUAAACUCACGAGUGAAAUUAACACAUGUCCAUGGGGUCUGCUCUCUAUCCCAUUUGACUCGAAUCACAUUCCACCAGGCUCGAACUGCUCCCUCAAAUUGAAAAAUGGCGAAAGUUAUAUGCCGUUCCUCUGGGUAUCCUAAUGCAGCGAAAAUAUCUAACAUUUGAUCCAACCAACUCUUCGGUAUGUCAGGGUUAGGUCCACCCAAAAAUUUUGGCGGUAGAAACUUCUAGAACCGUUCUAAGGCAUGGUCAUCUCCCUCAUGAUUUCCGGAAUGCUGCACCUGGUUUUGACCCUGUUGGUUGACCAUUUGUUCUAACAAAUAAACCAUUCGCUGUAUAGCCGUAGUUAUUUGGGUCUCAGUUUGUCUAUUUGCAUUAUCAUUGGUUACGCCUUCGGUUUCACGUCCUCGUCCUCUACCUCCAUCUCGACCACGGGUCUCCAUUUGAUUGUUUUAUAACUUCUAUAAUUGGAACAAAAUAGGGUACGAGUUCAAAGCAUUGAAAAUUAUAAAAUGCACAAAAUAACCAAAAUAUCAAAAUAUUAUACACUAAACUAUAUACAUAUAUAUACAAUUCAUGCAAAAAAUAUACACAUAUCAGUCCACAUAACAGCCAACACCCAACCAGUACAAAACAUGUUAGUUCAUAGCACACCGGCUCCAAAAAGGUCAACAAAACAAGUCAGAGUAACGGCCCUAACGGAAAUCCCCUAUAGAACCUAUAGAGUCUAUCCCAUCCAUCGGUCCCGCACCGCCAGCCCUAGGUGGCGCCUUUGCUGCCACAUCCAAGAGAACCUUACAGUCUCACAUAAUACCCCGGGCUCUCUCUCUCAUCUACCCCUUCAAAGCGAAGAGGUGGCGGUGGGUCUCCUUAAACUGACGACCGAGAGUAUACGUCCGCUCCUCCUCAACUCGUAACCCCACCUUGAGGUCACGCAGGCGCAUGGCCUGUCCAUGGCCCACUUCUCUGGCCUCCUCCAACUGUGCUCUCAGAGUGUCAAUCGCCUUACCUAGGCGACGACGCUCGUCAUCUAUAGCCAUAAGAACCUCAUCAGGGUAUCCAUAGGUAUGUCGACACUCACACGAUCAAUUUAUCUGACCGAAGGGAGAAUACAUCCUAUAGGGUUCCCUGACCCUCCUCUGAUAUCUAAGGACUCGUCGGCGCACCACCUGGUUCACCGGUCCACCUACACUCUUAGCUCUUACUCCGGUAUCGCUAGGUUCCCCGGUAUCGUUAGGUCCACCAGCCUCCAUACCUACACAAUAAAAUAUUACUUAAUUUGUCCUUCAGCAUUUCAUCUUAAUAGAUACGAUUCAAUUUAAAGACAAUCAAAUACUUAUAUGUCCUAUAACACAUUUCCCAACUUCCCAAAUCUUCUAAUCUAGGUGCUCUGAUACCACCUGUAAUGACUCCACCAUACCUAGAGGCAUACCAAAGGGUUUAGCGGAUAGUCUGCCAAAGUGAAAAAAGAAGCCAAAAUGUGAAAUCUCAACACUGCCCGCGAAAUAGGGCAUUUGGCAGUCAAGAGUAAUUUUGCCAAUUCAUACGUUAUAGCGCUCUGAUUGAGUUGAAAUUUUACAGGCAUCUAUAAAACUCCAUUCCCUACAACUUUUUUGUUUUGACCUAAGCCAGAUUCAGCCUCUAACAUGGACGAACAUACUGGUUAGUAACAGGGCAGAUUGGUCUCAAAUUUCUAGAAUUUGAUGAUUCAAUACUUGAAAAUCACAUUUAUGUCUUGAAUCACUACUCCAAGUCUCUAUCUAAGCUCAUGAACAUCAUAUAAUAGAUAAAAAAAUAAGAAUCCCAACUGGAAAUAUCAAACCCUAACUAAAUAUUCCACCAUAUCAUGCAAAACUCAUUAAUUAACCGUCAUAAACCAAGAAUAUGAGUUUCUAUCCAAACUUAAACAAGAUUAAGGAAGAGAAAAGGAUAGGCAGCCAUAAUACCUCACCAAGGAUGCUUGCAAGAGAAAAUCACAACCAUUCCUUCCAAAACUUCACCACACAAAGCUUCCUAAACUCCCAAGUGAAAGUUUAAUCGGUUUAAAUUUUUGAUUCAACUCAAACAAGGCCAAAAAUCAAGAUUGGAAUUGAAAUGUUUCUUCCCUCUUUUCUCCCUCUAAUACUCGGCCACCAUGGAGGAAUGAAGACUGAAAUGAAGCUCAAGGGAAGAUAAGAAGGUUGGAAUUGGUUUGGUCAAACAACCCUUGGAUGAUUGCCAAGUGUCGUCGUAGGAUCAAAUCUCAAUUUUUUUCUUUUUCCUCUUUUCUUUAGUCAAAGAUUGUGGCUGGUUUAAGAGAUAGUUUAGGGUUAAUUAGCUGAAAUAAAAGUAAGGGUAUUAAGGUAAUAAGGUAGUGUUCAAGUGGUGCACUUAAUCGAUAAUGAACGGUAUACAUCGGUUCAACCCAUUUUUUCUUAUUUCGCUCGUACUAGAGUUUUAACUUAUGAUCCACUCACUUAUCAUUAUCACUUCUAAUCACAUAUUUUCUCUUAUAUAAAAUUCACUCUUAACCACCAAAUUUGGUACACAGUCUAUACCAAUUAAUCACACUAUUAAAAUACACAAAAACCCUAAUGUACGCGAACUAGGAACCUAAAGGAAAAAUCCUUGAUUCUAUGAUUGAUUGCAGCUAUUGAGGGAGUGAAUGCGUAGUAAAGCUAUCCUAACAUAAUGGAUUUCAACUAAAAGAAAAUUUGUAAUAAAAAUAUGAGGGAUUUUACAACUCCAUAGAUCACCAAAUUAAUGUAAUCCAACAAUCCAUCAAGCUUAGUUACACCUCACGAGUCUACUAACCACCCACCUAUUAUAAUACUUAUCAUAAAGCAUGCAUUGUCAUACGUAAACUCAAUUAAACAACAAUCUUUUAAUCACAAGUAAAACUAGGGUUUUUUUAUUAAAAUUUAAGGUUUCUAGUCCUUUAAAACAAAACAAGGUUUUAAAACAAAACAAAAUAAAUAAACCUUAAUAUCCUCUUUGAAAACAAUAUCCUAAAAUUUGGUGCAUCACAAGAAUGGUAGCUGUUAUUAUAGGCAAACACAAUUAGUGUCACCUGCUGAUUCCAAUUUCCUCCAAAAUCCAUCACACACGACCUUAACAUAUUUUCAAGCGUCUGAAUAGUUCUUUUGGACUGUCUAUUAAUCUGUGGAUGAUAGGUUGUACUAAAACUUAGUUUGGUGCCCAAAGCAGUUUACAUUUGUUGCCAUAAUCGAGAUACAAAUCAGAGAUCUCUAUUUUAAAUUAUACUCUCAAGUAUCCCAUAUAGCCUAACAAUCUCAUCUAAAUACAAUUUGGCUAAUUUCUCAGGGGAAUAUCUCAUGUUCACAGACAAGAAGUCUGCUAAUUUGGUUAAUCGAUCAACUAUGACCUAAAUUCCUUCAUGGCCUUUUUAGGUACGUGAAAAUUAUGAUACAAAAUUCAUAGUAACAUGCUUCUAUUUCCACUUCGGUACUUCUAAGAGUUGCAAUAAUCAUGCUAGUUUUAGAUAUUUUGUUUUAACUUGCUGACAAGUAAGACAGGUUUGAACAUAUUGAAUAAAUUCUUUCUUCAUAUUAUCCCAACAGUAUAACCAUUUCAAACCUUGGUACAUUUUGUUACUGUCGGAAUGCACCGUAUAUUUGGAACGGUGAGUUUUCUCUAGUAUUUCUCAUUUUAACCCUUCAUCUUUUGGUAUAAUUAUUUGAUUAUGAAAUCUUAGUACUCUUUCAGUCCAUAUACCAUAGUCAGGUAACUGUCCUCCUUAGACCUCCUCUUGCCAUUUUUGCAAAGUAGGAUUUUGCUUUUGUGCAUCCUUAAUACGAGCAGCAAAGGUUGUACAAUAAUAUUUCCAAAAAUCAUUUUUUGACAAUUGAAUCAAGAAUUCCAUCUACUAAUUUCUUCCAACAAGCCUCAUUCUUUAACCAUCAUUCUUGCCAUCUAAACUUUUCUACUAAGAAGAUUCACCACUAUAUUGGCUUUUCCAAAAUGGUUAUUAAUGGUACAUUCAUAAUUCUCUAAGAAUUCCAUCCACCACCGUUGACACAGGUUCAAAUCUUUUUUGAGAAAACGAGUAUUUAAGACUUUUGUGAUUAGUAUAUAUUUCAAAAGUCACUCGAUAUAAGUAAUUUUUCCAUUUUUUUUAGAGCAAACACGACAGCAGCUAACUCCAAAUCAUGCGUUGGGUAGUUUUGUUCAUAGGGUUUCAGUUUUCGAGAGGCAUACGCAAUUACUUUUCCUCCUUGCAUCAGUACACUCCUUAAUCCUUCUCGGGAUACAUCUGUAUAUACUGCAAAACUAUCCUUCCCAUUCGAUAGUGCCAAAACAGGUGCCAUAUUCAACUAUUUUUUGAAUUCUUGAAAACUAACUUCACACUUGGCAUCCCAUACAAACUAAACAUGUUUUUAGAUCAAUUUGGUUAGAGGUCCAACAAUUUUAGAUAGGUCCUGAAUCUAUACAUGAUAGUGAUAUGCUAAAUCCAAGAAACUACGGAUUUUAGGAGGAUUUUCUAGUCGCUUCCAAUUAACGAUAGCCUCUAUCUUAGUUGAAUCCACAGUGAUUCCCCCCUUAGAAAUGAUAUGCCCAAGAAAUGACACUUUCUCCAACCGAAAUCCACAUUACUGAGUUUAGCAUACAACUGAUACUCUUUUAGAGUUUACAAUAUUAUUCUCAAAUGUUGCUCAUGUUCCUCCUAAAUUUUUGAAUAUACCAAAAUAUCAUCGAUAAAUAUCACCAUAUAUUGAUCCAAGUAUGGCCUAAAAAUCCGAUGCAUUAAAUCCAUGAAUGCUAAAGGGGCAUUAGUUAGUCCAAAAGACAUCACUACCAACUCAUAAUAUCCAUAUCAAGUAUUAAAGGUCGUUUUAGGUACAUCUUCCUUCUUAAUUCGUAGUUGAUAAUAUCCUUACCUGUGGUCUACUUUAGAAAAUAUCACAACUUCUUAAAAUUAAUCAAAUAAUUCAUCCAUAUGUGGCAAGAGGAAUUUAUUUUUUACUGUAACAUUAUUUAAACCUUGAUAAUUUAUACACAGUCUCAACCCUCCAUUUUUCUUUUUGGCAAACAAUAGUGGUGUUCCUCAUGGGGAUACACUUGGUCAUAUAAAAUUUCAUUUCAACAAAUCAUGCAACUGUAUCUUUAACUUCUUAAGUUCAGCUACGCCAUUCAAUAAGGUGUUUUAGAAAUAAAUUUUGUUUCAGGCAUCAAUUCAAUUUUAAAUUAUACUUCUUUUUGAGGAGGCAAUGAUAUUAAAUCCUCAGAAAAAACAUCUGGAUAGUCUCUUACCACUGACACAUCCUCAACCUUUACCUUGUCUUCUGGAGUGUUAAUUAAAAAGGUAAAAUAACCUUGGACUCCUUUACUCAAUAAUUUUCUAACUUGGAUCCCCGAAAUAAGGGCAUAGGAAGCUAAUCUACCCUUCACAUCCAAUCUCAGGGUUGCUUUCCCAGGUAUACAAAAUUUAACUAAUUUAGUUCUAUAAUUCAAUUGGGUGUGAUAUCUAGCUAAACAAUCCAUACUUAAGAUGACAUCAUAAUCUCGAAUGGGUAGGAUGACAAGGUCUACCAAAAGUUUUCUCUCCUCAAUCCAUAUCUCAUAAUUUUUAUAGAUAGUAUCAGUCAACAAAUAAUGUUUGGUCAUAGGCAUUCUAACUUCUAAAUAGUGUGAUAACUUUUUAGAUUUCCUAUUAAUCCCACACAUAAAAUCAGGAGUCACGAAUGAAUGAAUCGAAUCAGGAUCAAUCAAAAUUUUAACCAAACAAUGAAAUACGAGGAUCGUAUCUUCAACCACUUUAGAGCAUUCCAGGUUAUAUUGUCUAUCUAUGGCAUACACCCGAGCUAGCAUCCUUCACUUGUUCCUAUCUUGGAUAGAUUGUGUGACGACCCCACCUUGCCCUAGGGAUCACCCAAGGGUUUGGCGGACCGGCUGUCUAACUCUUGUCGGGACUCACUCACUCACUCAAUCAACUCUCAAGAUUAAUCAUUCAAUCCUCCAAAACAAUUUUUAUGUUCAAUAAUUCAACCAAAGUGCAAACUUAUUUACAACCCAAAAGCCAAAUGUAUGAUACAACGUCAAAUGUUAAAACACAUCGUAUCAACCAAGAGUACAAGUACAAGAGGGUUAUACACUCUAGGUCACACUUAAUUGCUCCAGACCUCCAUUCCUGUAAGGAAAACAAAAAUUAAAGGAAUGAGCUAAAAGCCCAGUGAGGUUCCCAAACAAGAAAUCAGGUAGAGAAACCAUGAAAGUAUGGUAUUUAACAGUUUGAACACUUUGCAAAACAAUAAACAGUCAUUCAUGGAAUAAACAUUCAUUCAUUCAUGAAAUAAACAUUCAUUCAUUUGAAGGAUACGUGCUUACUUGGAGCCAUUCAUUCAGUCAUUCAGUUGCCAAUCAUUUCCCUUAUUCCUCUGCCAUUUGAAAAUAUUUAAUAGUGAAAACUCCUUCAGUAUUCAUUGUCACUCAUUCAUUGAUUUUAUUGCAUUGAAUUCAUUGGCCAGUUCUCCACCAGAUUUCAUGGUAAAACUCGAGUAUACCAAAACACUGUCCCAGGGUCACCAGCCGCCCGACCGAGUCCGCUUCUCGCUCGAGUAAAUUGGUAACGAAGGGCAAGGGCCCAAUUCAGCCAAAAAGGUUUACAUUCAUGCACAAGUAGCAUUUGAUCAUUUAAUCAUUGAAAAUUUCAUGUUCACUUAUGUCGAAUGUGAUAAAGUACACACUCGCCUACCGAAAAUUCAAUUAACAAUUAUUGAAAAAUAUUUAACAUUCAAGCAAACAUUCACAACAAUCCAAUAGUCAUUGGAAGCAUAAUAUGUAAAGAACACUCACCAGUUUAAGUAAAAAUAACGUCAAAAGUUUCCUUCCGGAUUAUGCGCUUGAUCACCGACAAACUCUAAGAAUAAUCAAGAGAAAAUAUUAUGGUUCAACCAUCCAAAAUUUAGGUAAACCAAAGAAAAUCCGAGUAACUACUAGCACAAAGGUGCAAAUAUGGUUUUGGAGUAAAAAGAGAAUAUUUAGACCCAAGGGACAUGAGUAACCAAGAAUUUCCUCAUUCCAAUCAUAAACCAAGCUCAAAAUGGUUUAACAACUUCAACUUAAAGUUGAAAAUAAAAGUAAGGGCAGUUUUAGGAAAACAGAAUUUUUCCAGUUUUGCACGAUGCUAUUUGAAACAUCAUAUCACAAGCUUCUUAAGUCCAAAAUUUAUAAACUUUAUACCAUUGGAAAAUAGAUUCAAAGGGUUACAAUUUUCAGAAGAUACCUUUGCAAGAUUCUGUCUACAAGUCAGUCAAAAUCCAAUCUCAAGUGUCUGCUUUAUCCAGUAGAAAGACAGAACAGAAUGAAAAUUUAGUCAACUUUAGAAAAUCACAGAUAUUUAUAAAAAUUGAGAACAAUUUUGAAAAUUUCAUGGUAGAAAUUACUCAGAAUCUAGUUUCAAACGCAACAAGCAGAACUCAAUUUGGAUGUUUCUACACCAAGAUGUGAUAGAUUUUCCAAGACUACUCAAGAUCUCCUGGGGAAAAAUUUUCAGCAGCACUUCCCCUUAUUUUCCUAAUUUCCUGCCAUUUUCAAGGCUACAAUCUCAUAGUAUAACAGCCCCAAAUCAAGCUCACAAAUUAUAGUAGACAAUUGGUACAUAUUCUAGAUAGCAAAGACUAACCAAAUUCAACAUAUACUUGAUAUAUAAACAAAUAUACCCAAACUGAAAUUUUGAAACUCUAAGUUGAAAAUUUCUACCAACUUCACAAAUUCAUGAUAUCUUCCAUAUUCAAGUCAUCUAUCCAAUAAAUGUAACAUAUGAAAGGGAAGGAGAGUUUCUUAGCUUAAUACCUUCAAACCUCAAAGAAAAAUACAAAACCAAGGCUGCCUAUGCAAAAUCACUCCACCUCAAGCUUCCUUGUCACCUUGUUGCACCUUGGUUCGAAUUAGAUUUGUGGUUCUUGUUGAUUUCUUACUAAAUCAAGGCAAGAUCAAGAUAAUUUGUGAAGCUUUCUCCUCUCUUUUUUCUCUGGGUCAGCCAAAGAAGGAAGAACAUGAAUAAGUUUUGAGGAGAAUUUACAAGAUAAAGACUAGAAUGGUCUUUGGUCAAAGUUGGCUUGAUGGCCAACACUUGUCGCUCUACCAUUUUUCCUCUUGUUUUUUUUCUUUCCUCUUGUUUUUGGCUCAACAAUUUUGGCUAACUUCAGGGGUAAUUUAGGGAUGGUUAGAUGUCAUAAAAUCAAGGAAAUUAAGGUAAGAAAAUAUUGGUCAAGUGGUGUACUCAAUCGGUAACAAACAGUGCACGUCGAUUCAAGCCUAUGAUUCACUAACUUAGUAGUAGCACUUCUAAUCACACACUUUUUCUUACUUAAUACCCGCUCUUAUCUACCAAAUUUAAUGCACACACCUCACCAAUCCAUCACACUACCAAAAUGCACCAAAACCCUAACUUACUCUAACUUUUAACGCAAAAGUAAAACUCUUGACUCAACUAAUGAAAUCACCAUGAUAUUUAGGGUUAGUAAAUAGUUAAAUAGUCAAAUAAAGAAAUAUAGAAGGAAAUAUAAAUUAAUUUUCAAAAAUGGGAGAAAAUUCUAAAGGAAUUUUUUGAUCCUCACAGAUUGUCCAGGGGUGGUCCUAUCUAGUUGUGGGGUAUUAUUGCGCUUAGGAGGUUAUUUGGAAUAGUUGCUAAUCUUAUAUAUAUAUAUAUAUAUAUAUAUAUAUAUAAAGAGAGGAGGACACCACCCCUCAAUUUAUUCCACCACAAAUACUAUUUCAGAGAACUUGAGAAAGCCAUUGCAGGUAAAUAAAGAAACUAACAACACCUAAGGCAAGGGAAAUAACGAGUGUCAAGAACUAGCACAACCUUAGUUUAGCGUGAAAGUGAAGAAACUGAAUAAAAAAUCCUGUCACACCCUAGUUAAGCCAUAGCUAACGAGUCAGUAGUUGAAUUAUCUUCACAAAAAAUGUGCUUCAAUGAGACCUCCAAUCCUUGUAUCAAAUCUCAGACAGCUCAUAAAAUGUUACAUAAAAGCCACCUACUUAACGUAUGAGACUUAACAAGUGAGACCAGAGCCAUCGAAUCCACCUCCACCUCAAAGUGCCUGAGGCCCCACUCCUAGAAAAUUGUAGGCUUGAUCAUAAGGAUAAAGUUUCUGUUAUGAGUAUGUCCACUUCCCAUACUCUUAUAAAAGGCAAAAAGUAGCUUAUGUUACAACCCCACCUCCUUCUAGGACUUAACCUAGAAGUUAGCGGACCGCCUGCCUGACUCUGGCCAGGACUCACUCAUUCACAUUAACUUCAGAGAUAACAUUACCAUUGAACAACUGAACAUUCACUCUUAAGUAUAACUCCAAUCAGUUUGAAACAAAAAUUUGUCUAAUAAAAAAAACAAAAUACCUGUUCUAAAUAUCCAUUCUUAAUAUCACACCAACUCAAACAAAAGAUUCAAACAUCUCAAAAUUCAAAAGAAACCAUGACUACGCUCUACACAUAGAGUAACGGAUCUUCCCAGAAUAACUCUUUAGUUCAAUCCAAUCACUCUUCAAUCUCUAACUCCUGUAAGGAAAACAAAGCUAGAAGGGUGGGCUUUCGCCUGUGAGGUUUCCAUGCAAGCAACACUCAAUAAGUACUUAAAUCAGUACAAUUAAGCAAGUAGUGCACAUUUCACUGUGAAAUCACUUUCAUUAAGCAAUUGAGGAAACACUUCACUUCACUGAACAAUCACUUUUAAGAGGAUACAGUGCUCGCAUUAGAGCCACUUCAAUGCACUACACACUCCGUUGAACAACUCCUUAUAACCUCCAAAACAAUAAACACUUCCCUCACUUGGAUGGCCAUAUCAAUAUCAGUAAUCUGCUACUCCAUGGUAAUACUCGAGUAUACCGUAACACUUACCCAAAGCUACUGUCCUACCAGACCAAGCCCUUUGCUGGCUCGAAUAGUCCGUUGAACAGAGGGUUUUGGGGCCCAGUUCAGCUGGUGUGAUAAAAUAUAAACACGGCUUACAGUCAUGCACACUUACAAUAUCACUUGAUCAAUUAUCAACCUUCAAGCUCAACUAAGUCGAGUGCGAUAAAGUACACCCUCGACUUAAAAGGCGAGGGACAAUUGAGAUACACUUUCCAAUGAAUCACUUAACAAUAUAUCAUAAUAAGCACAUUUGUCACAUAUUCACAAUAAGUACACAUAAACAGUUAACACAUAAUUUGGAAAACACUUACCAAAGAAUCAAAUGAACUACUCUCGAGUCUCGAGUUUGUUUCUUGGUUCACGGCUACUCCUGGAACAAGUUAAUAAUUUCAAAGUAAAUAUAUAAUUUGUAGGUGAUUACUUAUCAAUCUUAUCCAUAAUCUACCGUUUAUGAUCACAACCAUUAAUUAGGCUUUCAAACAAUAUAUCAGUCCAAUGUUCAUAUAUUGGUUCGCAAUCCCAAUAACCGAUAACACUAGCUGGCUAUCUACUAGACCAACCAAACAGAACUAGAUUUCAUUAAUUACCUUUGUUUAGUUCAUCUAUAAGUCAGUAAGAAAGGAGCAGAAUUUCUUUUAAGAAAUUUUAGUCAUAUGCAAGUCCAGUAGUUCGGCAAUUCCAAAUGCAAAAUUGUCCUUCUCAAUCUCUUCAUUUCCUCAUUUCCAACUUAACAUGCAAAGGGUAACUAUCGGCCACAGUAUCUUGUACCAAUUUAAGGUUUAAGUAACUAAAACCCCAGUUCCUACGCUUAUAAAACAAGUCACUAAAAUCCAGUAAUCUUUCUUACAUUUUUCUUCAAAAUCAUAAAGUUGGUAGCUUUAAAACAAGGUUAAUGUACAUAUACACCAUAUUUUUAAGAUUGUAUAAAACACUUGAGCUUAGAUUAACUCAUUUCCAAUCUAAUAUGCAAGGAUUAAGACAAGUGAACGUUUCAUUUCUUCCACCUAGGCUAAAUCAGAUUCUAGUUUGCAUUUUAUUCCUAUUUGUUCCACUUCACUAGCUCUUCAAAUUUUAAGUUCUUUAAAAUAUCCAAAACAAGGUCAAGAUGCUACAAACUAAUAUAUAUAUAUAUAUAUAUAUAUAUGUGUAUAGUUACAACAACUAUCUUAGAAUUUCUCAAAACUUCAAAGGAAGUUCAACCCUUCACUGUUUCAGCCAUCAAGUAAAAUUUCCAGCAAUAUCAAUUCAAAAUGUUCAAUAAAACUCCACGGUUUACUUAUUUACAACACUAAGCACGUAACUCAAAAUCUGUCCAACCCAAACUAGAGCAAAUAACACACAAUUCCAGAAAAUAAUCCCACCAAAAGCCUCAACUAGUUCGGCCAGCAACACAUUACAAUUUCUAGAAGUAUUACCUCCAAUUUUCGGCAAAACUCCAUUUUCACUUGCUUAAAACACUAUAUACGUAAUAUAAAUUCGGUCCAACAUAUACCAGUGAAAAUAAUACCUAAGUUCAACAAUUUAUUCGAUCAAAGUCGCACACUAAAUCUGUUAUCAGCAGUUGUGUUAUCAUUAACUUUUCCAGCAACAUAGCGGCUUGGGUUGCAGUUUCUUUCCUCCCUAAUCUCUUCAGUUUCACUCCAGCUCACCAUGCAAGAGAUAGUUUCCAAGCUACAGAAUGGCCUUAACCAGCACACAUGGAAGUUUACGGUUAAAUUCCAAAGAAAAACUGGUGAGAACUUAUUUCUCUCUUUCGGCCAUGAUGGAUAAAGUUUCGGACAACAAUCAGAUUUUAAGCAAGGAUUUCUCCAUUAACUACUUCAUUAUAUACUCAAUCUAACAUGCAUGCUAAGACCAGAAUAUUAUACCAUGGAUCAAGUCUCAACCUGGGUGUUUGGAACGACAAAUCUAUGAGGAAAUCUAGAAAAUUUUCUUAUUCUCACUCUCGGUCAGCUAAGCAAAAAUUCCAACUAAUCUUUGAAAAGUUCUCACUCAAGUAAUCAACUCGGCUCUAAGUUCUCAGGUAAGACAAGGAAAUAACAUAUAGUUUGAGCUUUUAGCAGAAAAUCACUCCAUUCUUUCGGUUAACAAGCUGCACAUUCAGUUUCUUUCUCUCGAAUGGAGCUGAAAGGAUUUCCGCAGGUAACCACUCCCUAAACAGGUUCUUCUUUCAACCACACUUAAUUUUUCUUAGCUAAAUGCCAGUAUACUACGAUAAUAUUCAGUAUAUUAGAUGAUUAGGAGGUUAUUACAGAAGGUUUGCUAUAUUUAUGGCUGCAACAACAACUCUCGGUUCUCUUCCUUUCUGUCCCACAGUAGCUUCUUCAAGACAGAACUCUACCUCAGCUUGAAAGUCAUUUUCUUUGCUAAGCAACCUAGAAGUCAGUUAUACCAUACGAGAUGAAGGUUAUUGGAGUCACGUACCUCUUUCUUCCCUCCUAAAGUUUGUAAAAUUGUAGACUGCACGUAUGGUUUUCUGCUUUAGUUCCCAACUGCACCAGUCUCCUCUUUGUACCUUCUUUUGGCUCACGGUUCUAAGGUUACAAGCUGGAAAUGUAGCUCACGAUUGUCUAACUCUCUCCUCCUCACUCUCUCGGUUGCAACUGGUAGUAGGGAGGAAAUCAGAAAUAUUUCCUUUUCUCUCUCUCGUUUUUAGUACUAAGGUGAAAGAGAUGUAGCUUGGUCUCUCUCUCGGUCUUGCUCUUCAUAUUUGUCUGGUAAGAAGGGAAGUAAAAGGUGAUUCUCCACUCGGCCACCGCCCAACUAAUUGACCACCGCUGUCUCCUUUCUCCCUUGGCUAUCACCUUACUUAGUAGAUAAAUGGCAGCUGGUUUAAUAGGCGUUAUUCACCGUCCUAAGCUAGAGCCAACUUCCACUCAUUUCCUUUUCACCGUUUAGUCUAGUGGAAAGUUGGCUGACCUCUAUUUGAUUUCAAUUCUUGGUUUGUUUGUUGUUGCUCUCAGUCCACUAGCUUAUGUUUUUCCCUUAGGAAGACAAUUUCCUCCACUCCCUUAGCUCUCCCUCUUGCUUAUCUCUUGGAUUUAUUGUUUUGGAAAACUCAGUUUACUCCUUUUCGGUGGAAAGUGGCAGACAGGAGUUAUAAGGUGCAUUCCCUCGGUGCUACUGCCCACCGACCGUUAUUGAUAUUCUCAUGGCACCGCUUCUACUUAGCAGCUUUGGAAGCUGUUUUCCAUUGGAUUUUUCCUUCACUCACCGCCCCAUAUUUAGCUAACUUCCACACCUCACCGCUUGGCUUCUAUUAGGUGUUUUUAUUCGGUUUCAAUCCUAGCAAAUGUCACUCUUCUCGUGGUUGGUUUUCUUAUUCUGAUAGUUUGUUUGGCUUCUUGGCUUCAUGGUAGUUAUUCUAGGAUUUUAGGGUUAGUUUGGUCUUUUAGUUAUAGUUUAAUUACUCUCUAAGUUCUAACAUUUUAUGAUUUCAUGUAUAAACUCCUAACUUCAUUUGUAUUUUCGUGGGAAAUUUCUUACAUUGAUUUUAACACAUUUAACUUUAAGAAAAACUUAUUAGACAUGUACCUGAUAGACUUCUAGUGUAUGUUACGUGUCUAGUAAUAUUUGCAAUUAACACAAUCUACAGUAUGCACGUCGUAUAUUUAUUUAUUUCUGCAAAAUUUUUCUACACUUCUAGACAUGUACUUAUUGAAUUUAUUUUUUCUAAAUUCUCAAUUUAUGGGGGUCCAAUUAGGCAUUUAAGGUAACCAUUUAUUCGUUAUGUAUAAUUUUUCUAAUAUCAAAGUAAAUAAAAUAAAAUAAUUUUAGGGUAUACACAUAAUUUUCUCGGAUUCUCACAUCCUUCCUCCCUUAAGAAAAUUUUGUCCUCGAAAUUCUUACCCUUUAAUCAUAAAAGUUCCGAGUAUUCUUUUUGCAUUUUUAUCUUCCAGUUCCCAUAUCAUUUCUUCCAUUCCAUGAUGCUCCCAUAAUACUUUGACUAAAGGAAUUUAUUUAUUCUUCAAUCCCUGUUUUUGAAAUAACAUGCCCCAGAAACGACAUUUUCUCUAUUUGAAAUUCACACUUACAAUUGACGCUUCCUUAAAGUCGAUAACACUAUUCUUAGAUUCUAUUCAUGAUCUUUCUUUUUAAUUCUCCAUUGAUAGUAUCCUUGUCAAAAUCUAUCUUAGAAACACCAUUGGCCCUUGAAACAAUUAUAACAUCGUUAUAAGCUCAACUUUCAAUCUCUCUUUUUUUUUUUCUUUUUUUCCCAACCUUAAUCUCAUAGUUUCUAUACACCACUUUGGUUAUCAAAUUUCACUCAAGUUAGUAAUUAUUUAAUCCCAAGGACUAAUAAAUAUUACAGCAUUAUAACAACAUAAACACAUAAUCAUCAAAUUACAUACUCACAAUAUAAAUUACAUUACCCACCAACUUCAUACAACUUUACAAGCCAAACAAUUCACGGAUACAUUCAACAUUUUGAUACAUAACUCAAACUUCAAUCUUUAUAAACAUGAAAGAAAACAAUUCAAUAAUACACAAAUUAUUAUAACCACAUAGCUAAUAGCUCAACCCUCAGUUUAGUUUCAACUUAAACUUCAUUAAUCUAAUUUUGGACAGUCCCACUAGACCCAAUUUCUUUUUCUGGUUCUACUUCCAUAGGUUCCCCUUUCAUAUUAGUUUCCAACUCUAGAAUCCUGUCACGUCACAUCCUUAUGAAUUUCCUCAUUUCUUACAGUCUAAUGUGAGCUCUCUCUCAUUUGCUAUUACUAACCUCUAUCUUUUACCCAUUUGAACUAGUAUCACUCGAUCCAGAUAGAAGUAAGUUCUUGAACAGUCACAGUGACUAGUCAUCCAAUACCCUAGAACACACUGCCGAAAGGACACCCUUGGUCCUUAAACUACUAUUUCACUCAAAUUUUAGGUUUAAACCCACAUUUUUGGGUAAGAGAUGUCGUAUAAUCCAUUGUAAAAUUAUUCAUUUUGAAAAGCAGAAUUUGCACUAAUCUUUAAGACCACACUACUGGCUUUUCACUUUUAAUUUUCAAAAAAAAAAAAACUAGACUUGAUCCCUUCAAUUCUACUUUUCCAAAUUUAAUCACGAUUCCUGGUUAUAUCAUAAGGCAAUAUACUAAAUUCAUCUCAAUUUGCAAAUACACCCUUGAACGAAAUAUCCGGUACUUGGGUACAAGAAUCUGACAAUAGGAUAAUUCACAACUCAGGCCAGCUGGUCCUAAGAGUAAAUCAUCCACAUUUGAAAUUCCUACCCGACGUACAUAUCUAAUUUUUCCUCAACAGUGAUAGUUCAUUUCACACUUAAUAGGUCAUUCCCCACAAUCUGAGAACCCUUUCCUGGCGUGAGCUCAUUAAGAGCUCUGAUAUCACACUGUAACGACCCCACCUCCUUCUAGGGUUUAACCUAAAAGUUAGCGGACCGCCUGCCUGACUCUCGCCAGGACUCACUCAUUCACAUUAACUUCAGAGAUAACAUUACCAUUGAACAACUGAACAUUCACUCUUAAGUAUAACUCCAAUCAGUUUGAAACAUAAAUUUGUCCAAUAAAAGAAACAAAAUACCUGUUCUAAAUAUCUAUUCUUAAUAUCACACCAACUCAAACAAAAGAUUCAAACGUCUCAAAAUUCAAAAGAAACCAUGACUACACUCUAUACACAGAGUAACGGAUCUUCCCAAAAUAACUUUCUAGUUCAAUCCAAUCACUCUUCAAUCUUCAACUCCUGUAAGGAAAACAAAGGUAAAAGGGUGAGCUUUCACUCGUGAGGUUUCCCUGCAAGCAACACUCAAUAAGCACUUAAAUCAGUGCAAUUAAGCAAGUAGUGUACAUUUCACUGUACAAUCACUUUCAUUAAGUAAUUGAGGAAACACUUCACUUCAUUGAACAAUCACUUUUAAGAGAAUACGAUGCUCGCAUUAGAGCCACUUCAAUGCACUACACACUCCGUCGAACUCCUCCUUAUAACCUUCAAAACAAUAAAUACUUCCCUCACUUGGAUGAUCAUAUCAAUAUCAGUAAUCUGCUACUCCGUGGUAAUACUCGAGUAUACCGUAACACUUACCCAAAACUAUCGUCCUACCCGACUAAGCCCUUUGCUGGCUCGAAUAGUCCGUUGAACAGAGGGUUUUGGGGCCCAGUUCAACCGGUGUGAUAAAGUAUACACAUGGUUUAUAGUCAUGCACACUUACAAUAUCACUUGAUCAAUUAUCAACCUUCAAACUCAACUAAGCCAAGUGCGAUAAAGUACACUCUCGACUUAAAAGGCGAGGGACAAUUGAGAUACACUUUCCAAUGAAUCACUUAACAAUAUAUCAUAAUAAGCACAUUUGUCACAUAUUCACAAUAAGAACACAUAAACAGUUAACACAUAAUUAGGAAAACACUUACCAAAGAAUCAAAUGAACUACUCUCGAGUCUCGAGUUUGUUUCUUGGUUCACGGCUACUCCUGGACCAAGUUAAUAAUUUCAAAGUAAAUAUAUAAUUUGUAGGUGAUUACUUAUCAUUCUUAUCCACAAUCUACCGUUUAUGAUCACAACCAUUAAUUAGGCUUUCAAACAAUAUAUCAGUCCAAUGUUCAUAUAUUCGCUCGCAAUCCCAAUAUCUGAUAACACUAGCUGGCUAUCUACUAGACCAACCAAACAGAACCAGAUUUAAUUACCUUCGUUUAGUUCAUCUAUAAGUCAGUAAGAGAGGAGCAGAAUUUCUUUUAAGAAAUUUUAUUCAUAUGCAAGUCCAGUAGUUCGGCAAUUCCAAAUGCAAAAUUGUCCUUCUCAAUCUCUUCAUUUCCUCAUUUCCAACUUAACAUGCAAAGGGUAACUAUCGGCCACAGCAUCUUAUACCAAUUUAAGGUUUAAGUAACUAAAACCCAAGUUCCUAGGCUUAUAAAACAAGUCACUAAAAUCCAAUAAUCUUCCUUGCGUUUUUCUUCAAGAUCAUUAAGUUUGGUAGCUUUAAAACAAGGUUAAUGUACAUAUACACCAAAUUUUUAAGAUUGAAUAAAACACUUGAGCUUAAAUUAACUCAUUUCCAAUCUAAUAUGCAAGCAUUAAGACAUGUGAACGUUUCAUUUCUUCCAUCUAGGCUAAAACAGAUUCUAGUUUGCAUUUUAUUCCUAUUUGUUCCACUUCACUAGCUCUUCAAAUUUUAAGUUCUUUAAAGUAUCCAAAACAAGGUCAAGAUGCUACAAACUGAUAUAUAUAUAUAUAUGUAUAGUUACAACAACUAUCUUAGAAUUUCUCAAAACUUCAAAGGAAGUUCAACCCUUCACUGUUUCAGCCAUCAAGUAAAAUUUCCAGUAAUAUCAAUUCAAAAUGUUCAAUAAAACUCCACGGUUUACUUAUUUAAAACACUAAGCACGUCGCUCAUAAUCUGUCCAACCCAAACUAGAGCAAAUAACACACAAUUGUAGAAAAUAAUCCCACCAAAAGCCUUAACUAGUUCGGCCAGCAACACAUUACAAUUUCCAGCUAUAUUACCUCCAAUUUUCAGCAAAACUCUAUUUUCACUUGCUUAAAACACUACAUACGUAAUAUACAUUUGGUCCAGCAUAAACCAGUGAAAAUAAUACCUAAGUUCAACAAUUUAUUUGAUCAAAGUCGCACACUAAAUCUGUUAUCAGUAGUUGUGUUAUCAUUAACUUUUCCAGCAACAUAGCGGCUUGGGUUGCAGUUUCUUUCCUCCCUAAUCUCUUCGGUUUCACUCCAGCACACCAUGCAAGAGAUAGUUUCCAAGCUAUAGAAUGGCCUUAACCAGCAUACAUGGAAGUUCACGGUUAAAUUCCAAAGAAAAACUGAUGAGAACUUAUUUCUCUCUUUCAGCCAUGAUGGAUACAGUUUCGGACAACAAUCAGAUUUUAAGGAAGGAUUUCUCUAUUAACUACUUCAUUAUAUAUUCAAUCUAACAUGCAUGCUAAGACCAGAAUAUUAUACCUUGGAUCAAGUCUCAACCUGGGUGUUUGGAACCACAAAUCUAUGAGGAAAUCUGGAAAAUUUUCUUAUUCUCACUCUCGGUCAGCUAAGCAAAAAUUCCAACUAAUCUUUGAAAAGUUCUCACUCAAGUUAUCAACUCGGCUCUAAGUUCUCAGGUAAGACAAGGAAAUAACAUAUAGUUUGAGCUUUUAGCAGAAAAUCACUCCAUACUUUCGGUUAAAAAGCUGAACGUUCAGUUUCUUUCUCUCGAAUGGAGCUGAAAGGAUUUCCGCAGGUAAGCACUCCCUAAAUAGGUUCUCCUUUCAACCACAUUUAAUUUUUCUUAGCUAAAUUCCAGCAUACUACAAUAAUAUUCAAUGUAUUAGAUGAUUAGGAGGUUAUUACAGAAGGUUUGCUAUAUUUAUGGCUGUAACAACAACUCUCGGUUCUCUUCCUUUCUGUCCCACAAUAGCUUCUUCAAGACAGAACUCUACCUCAGCUUGGAACUCAUUUUCUUUGCUAAAGUUCAACAUGCAACCUAGAAAGUCAGUUGUACUAGAUGAGAUGAAGGUUAUUGCAGUCACAUACCUCUUUCUUCCCUCCUAAAGUUUGUAAAAUUGUAGUCUGCACGUAUGGUUUUGUGCUUCAGUUCCCAACUGCACCAGUCUCCUCUUUGUACCUUCUUUUGGCUCACGGUUCUAAGGUUACAAGCUAGAAAUGUAGCUCACGACUGUCUAACUCUCUCCUCCUCACUCUCUCGGUUGCAACUGGUAGUUGGGAGGAAAUAAAAAAUAUUUCCUUUUCUCCCUCUCGUUUUGAGUACUGAGGUGAAAGAGAUGUAGCUCGGUCUCUCUCUUGGUCUUGCUCUUCAUAUUUGUCGGGUAAGAAGGGAAGUAAAAGGUGAUUCUCCACUCGGCCACUGCCCAACUAAUUGACCACCGCUGUCUCCUUUCUCCCUUGGCUAUCACCUUAUUUAGUAGAUAAAUGGCAGCUGGCUUAACAGGUGUUAUUCACCGUCCUAAGCUAGAGCCAACUUCCACUCAUUUCCUUUUCAUCGUUUAGUCUAGUGGAAAGUUGGCUGACCUCUAUUUGAUUUCAAUUCUUGGUUUGUUUGUUGUUGCACUCAGUCCGCUAGCUCAUGUUUUUUCCUCAGGAAGACAAUUUCCUCCACUCCCUUAGCUCUCCCUCUUGCUUAUCUCUUGGCUUUAUUGUUUUGGAAAACUCAGUUUACUCCUUUUCGGUGGAAAGUGGCAGACAGGAGUUAUAAGGUGCAUUCCCUCGGUGCUACUGCCCACCGACCGUUAUUGAUAUUCUUAGGACACCGCUUCUACUUAGCAGCUUUGGAAGCUGUUUUCCAUUGGAUUUUUCCUUCACUCACCGCCCCAAAUUCAGCUAAUUUCCACACCUCACCGCUUGGCUUCUAUUAGGUGUUUUUAUUCCGUUUCAAUCCCAGCAAAUGUCACUCUUCUCGUGGUUGGUUUUCUUACUCUGAUAGUUUGUUUGGCUUCAUGGCUUCAUGGUAGUUAUUCUAGGAUUUUAGGGUUAGUUUGGUCUUUUAGUUAUAGUUUAAUUAGUCUCUAAGUUCUAACAUUUUAUGAUUUCAUGUAUAAACUCCUAACUUCAUUUGUAUUUUCGUGGGAAAUUUCUUACAUUGAUUUUAACACAUUUAACUUUAAGAAAAACUUAUUAGACAUGUACCUGAUAGACUUCUAGUGUAUGUUACGUGUCUAAUAGUAUUUGCAAUUAACACAAUCUACAAUAUGCACGUCGUAUAUUUUUUGAUUUCUGCAAAAUUUUUCUACACUUCUAGACAUGUACUUAUUGAAUUUAUUUUUUUUCCAAUUUCUCAAUUUGUGGUGGUCCAAUUAGGCAUUUAAGGCAACCGUUUAUUCGUUAUGUAUAAUUUUUCUAAUAUCAAAGUAAAUAAAAUAAAAUAAUUUUAGGGUAUAAACACAAUUUUCUCGGGUUCUCACCGCUUACCCUCAUAAGAACGCAAAACUUCUCCACCAAAUGCCCCCGCAGUAGAGACACUCCCAUUUGUAUUUAGUUUGACAGAGUUAGAUGGUGGAGGCGACCAGGCCACAGCCACUAAAUGCCAUUGUUUCCGACACAUCCAAGCCAGCCUACCCCAUGGAUGAUUCUGAUCGCUUGUGAAAUGUGCAACCUCGAAUAACUUGGCUGCUUCCAAUUGUUUCAUGAACAAAUCAACUUAUUCAAUAAUAUCAGAAGCCACAAAAGGUUGCCCUUCAUAUCUAUUUCGAUUUCGGCCUUUCCGUAUAAACUAGAGAAUGAUCAAAUGGACCAUAGUCCUCACAUGAUCCUUAGUAAUGGAACUAUGAUGAAAACUAUGUUAACAGCAUCGACAACACCCCCCUACACCUCAAAUUCAAUAUACCAAAUUGUCGAGCAAAGAAAUGCCAGACUGCCAUCGCCAAUGGGCCACUCACAAAUAGAUGCUCAAUUGAUUCAACCUUCGCCCCACAGCAACAACACCUUGACGCUAGCACCACACCUCAUUUUUGGAUUAAUUCAUCAAUAGGGAGCCAUUGUUGCAACAAACGGUAGACAAAAAAGGAGAUCUUUAAGGGAGUGAUGGAGUUCUAAACUAACUUGUCAACCAACGAGUAGUCCCUCUUAUGACGAAACACCUCCCAAACUGAAGAAACAAAGAAAUCCCCGGAGAACGAGGGGAACCAUACCAUUCAAUCCUCUUGAUGCCUGGAAAAGGGAAUCUGCAAGAUGUACGCAACUUGAGAAUGUGACAGCCAUUGACGAAGUUGCUACUCAUUCCACCCCUGAGAAUCAUAGAAUUCUCCCACCAGCAUGUGAGGGACAUCUCCCACCCUUAUAAGCUUAACCAAAGAUUAAUCAAAACACCAAGAGUCAUACCAAAAAUCAACUAAUCCCCCGCCUAAAGACCAACAAAUCUAACUUUCUGCUGUGUGACGAAUAUCCUAUAGACUUUUCCAAAGAGCGAAGGGUCUCUUAAUAACCAUCAUAGAAGGGUGUACUCCUCGAAUGUAUUUCUGGUGCAUAAACUUGGACCAGACCAUCUCAUUCUUCCUCAGUCGCCACCACAAUUUACAUACAAAGGGGCGUGAAACAUCCAAGAAGGAGUGAAACACUAGCCCCCCUCCUACUGGGGGUAGCAUAACUUAUCCCAGGCAGCCCAAUGCAACUACUUUGAGUUCCCAUCAUGAUCCCACAAGGAGUUGCAAAUUUUUCCAAGGGACACCAAAACUGCCUUAGGAGGGUGAAUCAUUUGUAACAAAUACAUUGGGAGAGAGCUCAAUACGUGCCGAAUAAGAACAAUUUUGCCCCUAUAAUGAGCAACUUGGAACUCCAAUGAAGUGAUGUUGUCAAAAUUUGGAAAGAAGACCGUCAAAAACACUACAAUUGAGUCGUCAGGUCAUGGGAAAAGAUUAUUGGCGAAACCCCAAGAUAGCGAUACCAUGGCCAGCUGCAUAAUCUGUUGCUCGAUUGUAACAUACAAAGGAACUUUUACCAACAUUGACUUUUUGUCCCGAACAACAUUGAUACAUCCCCAGGAAAUCACGGACCGCUUUUAAACAGUUCUCAGAGCAUCUAAUAAAGACGAUGGUAUCAUCAGCAAAAGCUGGAUAGGGAACCCUACCACUUGCCAACACAUAAAACCUUUGCUUAUGCUCCAAGAACAAUUGAUGAAACUCCCACCCUAGAAUCUCCACAACAAACAAGAAGAGGGCCGGAGAUAAGGGAUCCCCUUCUCUCACCCCUACCAUUGAUUUAAAAAACCCAGACGAUUCACCAUUAAUCAAAAUUGAGAACCAUGAGUUUGCAAACGUUUGGAAAAAUAAAUCUACAACUCAUUCAUUGAAACCAAAAUUUCGCAACAUGGAAUUAAGAAAGGACCAUUCCACCCGAUCAUAAGCUUUCUCCAUAUCGAGUUUAAGAAUGAGAUUUGGAUUGUUCAAAAGUUUAUCUAUGUCCAAGACCAACUCCUGAGCUAGCAACGCGUUAUCCAUCAUACUCCUACCCAGUACAAAACCCGAUUGCCAUGGGGAGAUAAUGGAAGGAAGCAUCCUGUUAACAUGGUUGGCUAGAAAUUUAGAAAUAACUUUGGAGGACACAUUGCAUAGACUGAUUGAUCAAAAAUCCUUCCACUAAAAAGCUCCUUCGACUUUUGGAAGAAGGACUAGAAAUGCAUUGGACUAACACUUGGAUUGUUCUAUCUCUCUGAAAAAAUCAUGAACUGCCCGUAGCAAAUCUUCAUGGAUUAUACCCCAACAUGACUGGUAAAAACUAAUCCCAAACCCAUUUGGCCCUAGAGCAUAUUGAGAAAAUUCUAAUAGGAUAUUUAGCAAUCGUCAACAAAUCAUGCUAAACAAUUAAGCGGGAAAAUGAUUUUUUUAAAAAACGAUCAGUUCAAAAUUGCAAUAAUUAUGUCCAAUCUACAGUAAUUACAACAAAUCAAUGAACAGUAUAGUCGUUCAAAAUAAAGGGACCCUCAAAAAUAGCAUGCGGUUUCAUCAUUACACGUGGGACCCAGAGUCCAAUACACCAACCAAUCACGUGAAAGUCACAUGAUACACAGUGCCAAACAGUAUAUCAAGUACAGGUGACCCAGUAAGCCGGUCACCAAUUUAGUUAUGCACAGUGACCUGGUGACCGGUACUGUAGUUUCUACAAUGAAAGUGACACCAUAGCCACUGCGGAACAGUGAUUUUUUACUAUAGAAACUAUAGGAAAAGUGCAUGAAUAGACCAAUCACAGCACGCCACGUAAGCAUCCGACAUGAGGGGCCCACGACCCUCUAUAGGAAUCUUAUAUAUAGAGGGCUAUGAUUGUGCCACGUCACCUGUACAUCCGGUAAAAUAGAAUUUCAGCCAUUGAUAUUGCUACAGGAUAAGUGACACUAAGAAACAAUAAUAUCAGAGUUUUGAAGUGCUGCUGUUCAUUGGUUCCGGUUACCCACUAGUAUUUACGAAUAUGCCAUUACAAAUAAUUAUGAGAGUGCCCUGCGGGUAGAGUUGUUAAGUCAAUCGAGUAGCUUGAAAGCUCGUUAGAGCUCGGCUCGUUAAGGCUCGAGUUCGGCUCGUUAAUUUUGGUUAACGAGUCGAGCUCGAGCUCGAAACAUGCUCGUUUAGUUAACGAGCCGAGUUUGAUACUCGAGUAGCUCGUUAGAACUCGUUAAUGAAGGGCAUAUUUGUCAUUUUAGAAAUCAAAAUUAUAAAAAUUAAAAAUUAUAGGUUUUUAUUAAGGUUAAUUUGCACGAAAUCGAGUUCGAGCUCGUGAAACUCGACUCGUUUGUGAUAAACGAGUCGAGCUCGAGCUUGAGCCACAUGUAUAUUUAAUGAGCCGAGUUCGAACACAUUUUAAAACUCGUUUUCCUAACGAGCUCGAGUCGAGCUCGGCUCGAAUUAAAGCUCGAUUAACAGCUCUACCUGCGGGCACAUUAUAAAUAAUGGAUUCCUCCCAAGACAUUUUAUUAUUCUCAAGAGUGAUAUUAUCACCUGCAUUUAAUUCAAAGAAUUACAAUGCCAAGAACAAGUUCUUUCCGCCUCGCUGCAAAAAAUAUUUUCAUCACAUAUUUUAGAUGUGAUAUUUCAAAAGAAUUAUGUCUUGAAAAAAUCCUUGAUAAAUUUACCAAUAAUCAACCUUCAUACGUGAGAGUAUCUUCAGAGCUGCAUGAAGACGGUACUCCACACCCACACAUACUCGUACAAUUCGCAGACAAGUUCCAAACAAGAGAUGAUAGAGUAUUUGAUUUAGUAUGCCAACAGGGAUCUCAAGUAUAUCAUCCAAAUAUACAAGCUGCUAGAGAUGCAAGAUUUGUAUGAGAUUAUAUUUUCAAAUACGGAGAUUUUUGUGAAUGGGGAACGUUCAAAUCCUGUAAGAUAUACAGAAAUCAACAUGAGUGCUAUACGGAGGCACUAGAACAAGAAACAGUUGAAGAUUUCAUGAACACAAUCAAAGAAGGAGAUCCAAAAUCCUACUGUAUCUAUUAUGACAGGAUUAAGUGCAAUGCCGAGAAGUUGUACUCUACACCAACCCAAGAAUAUACAAGUCCAUUUCCAUUAGCCGACAAUGUUCCAUAUGAAUUAUUGGAUUGGGCUAAUACAAAUAUAAAACCCAUUGAAUCGAGGCCCAACAGACCAAUGUCCAUUAUUGUCGAAGGCCUAUCCAAAUUAGGAAAAACAAUAUGGGCCAGGUCAUUGGAUCCACACAAUUAUUUGUGCAGGCAUUUAGAUUUGAAUAACAAAGUGUACAACAACGAUGCCUGGUAUUACAUGAUCGAUGGCAUCAAUCCGCAAUAUCUCAAGCAUUAUAAAGAGUUCAUCGGGGCUUAAAAGGACUGGCUAUCAAACUGCAAAUACAGCAAACCAGUCCAGAUCAGAGGAGGAAUUCCAGCUAUCAUAUUGUGUAAUCUAGGUCCAGAUUCAUCAUAUAGGGAUUAUCUGGGCAGAGCCGAUAAGCAAGCAUUAAGGGACUGGAUAGAAAACAAUGCAAAAUUUGUAUUCAUCACUGAGCCACUGUAUAAAGAGACCAAUAGAGCCUCCAGCUCUAAAGCAAAAAAUUAGAAAAGUCAGAGCCAAACACAGGAGACGCCUCAAACGAGCUCGAACAACUCACAAGACACUUUUCCACGAGUUGUUCGCCGAGGAAGAUGGAUAUGAUCAUCAAUAGAAAUGCAAUACUACUACUUCAACACCAACACCGUUUCAUAUCCAAUUGCAGGGACAGGGUCACAUAAGGCCCUUUUUGAGAUCGUGGAAUACAUUAACAGUCAUGUUUCGGAUAAAGCACACACCAAGGAGGCUCCUCCAGAUCACAUCAUACAAGCGUAUAGAGCAUAUCUGGAUACGGAGCAGUGUAGUCAAUUUUUCAAGUAUUAUCUAGAGGCUAUACAUUAUGAUUUUUCAAAAAUUAAAUAAUUUCAGUCCAUAUUUUUCAAUCAAAUUAUUUAAUACAGCAAUAGACGAUGUACUAUCCGAAUGGAAUGUAAUAAUAGGGUCAGAAACCCUAUUUUAUGAUUGUUAUUAAUAAAAUUAUCAUUCAUCAAUAAAUAUGAAUAUGACACGUGUUAUUAAAUAAUAUAACAAUAUGCACCACAUAAGUAACACUAUACGACCACCCAAAACUAAUAAUAACGAUAAUUAUAAAAUUCAUAAUAAAUAUAAUUAUCGAAAACAUUAAUUAAAAUUCAAUAUAUAAAUUUGUUAAAAAAUGUUAAAGCAAUACCAAUUAGCACUCAAAUCCGCUAAUAAUCCACAGUUUAGCAUACAAUUUCACAUAACAAUUAAUAUUCACCAAUUUUAAGGUUCGCACAUAGUACUACCAAAAUCGUACCCAGCAAUUCUAACAAAUCGUACCUAGCAAUCCAGAACAAACGUAUUCAACAAUUGUCAACAAAUCGUGCCCUAUAGAGGGUUGGUGGGCCCCUCAUGUCGGAUGCUUAUGUGGCGUGCUGUGGUUGGCCUAUUCGUGCACUUUUUUCUGUAGUUUCUACAGUAAAAAAACACUGUUCCGCGGUGGCCAUGGUGUCACUUUCACUGUAGAAACUACAUUGAUUCACUAUUCGGGCACUGUUCAUUAUGCAAAAAGAUGAAAAUACCCUUCACAGUGCCCAGUGCCAAAUGACCAUUGUAUCCCUAGUGGAUUAUUUAGUGGAUUUUCACUGUAGACGAUGGGCCUCCAUAGUAUAGUUAUUUGUCCACGUGGCUUUAUCUGGUGCGUUGAAUCGUGCCACAUGGAUUUGAUCAGAUGGUCACUUUUUUUUUAUUAUAAUUGAUAUAUUUAGUUUAUUUUUUGCACAGUGUCAACUCCUGAACUGCGUCGUUUUGAUAUAUUAUCACUAUGCACUGAUUAAUAUAGUUAAAUUCACGGGUGAUAAGGAUGAUUGACAUGUGUCGUGCAUCUGAUGGCGAACUUUAGCCUUAUUCUCGCUUAUCUGGAUUUGAUAUUAUUUGAAAUCCACGGCCUAUAUAUACUCUCGACCCUGAACUAUUUGAUAUUAUUGUCACUGUCGAAAGUGAUGGCAUUUAUGGAGGAUUAUUGGGAGCAUCUUCCAGACCUAUUCAAGCAUCAAGUGAGGGAGUUGUAUUAUGAAGAUUUCAGGAGCAGGGUUCGUAUGCAAUUUCUUGAGCAUAUUCGAUCCAGUAUUCGUCAUAUAUUUUUGGAUAAUGGUGAUAUUCUGUCAUUUUUCAACAUUGAUGGUGUUGAUCGUAUACUACAACCAUUGAUCCAAAGUUUGUUGCGUUUGAUGGAUUUUGAUGUUAUAAACGAAAUACAAAUUGAUCACGAAAUUUGUGCAUACUUUCGAAGUUUUCUUAGAGCCUUUAAGAUUUAUGUUGAAUCUAAGGGACAGUACAUUAAUUUUGUAUUCGAUGAUGACGUAUCGUCUUAUCCACCUGGAUUUUGUAUUCAUCUGAACGAUCACAUUCUGUUUAGUAGUCAUGAUGAUUAUAUUAGGCUUUUGUAUUCGCCAUUUAGUGAUGUUCAAUUUGCUUGCGAGUGCGGAGCUUGUGAUAAUGUAAUAAGAUGUGAUAGAUAUGUUAAUGAAUAAAUAUUUAUCUAUAAAUAAGUGUUCUUAAUCGUUAUUGGUGUUAUGUGUAAUUCAUAUGAUGUUGCUGCUGAUAUUGUCGAAAACAAUUUAAUUAAUUGAGUUGGACUGCUUAAUGUGAUCUGGACACUGUUAAUCCCUUUCCAAUAAUGGUUUUGGAUAGAAUCAUUUAGUUAAAAAUGUGCCCGCAGGGCUGUUGUAGGCCACCUGCUACUUCCUAUCAUCCGACCUCUGCUUUGUGAUGAAGAUGAUGAACAGAACUAGGCCAUUUGAAUUAAUUAAUACAGUAAUUGGACAUUUUGGGCGUAAUGUAACUGGGCCUCCGUAUUGGUGAAUAUAUCGUCAUAUGAAAAGCCCAAAUGACGUGCACGGUGACUGGAACUUUAGUUCUCAGCACUUCGAAUUUUUUAGACUCAUUUAUGCUGACAUCAGCAUACGUCAUUUAUACGUAAUAAUUAUCAAUUACUGGAUUUGUUAUUAUGCCACAUGUCAUGAGGACAUGAUUCUAUUUGUUUUGGAAUUAAAUUAUAGUUGAUCGGAUUCCGGAAUUGAAAAUAGAUUAAAUAGGGAUAUACUUAUUAUAUUCUAUAAUGGUAGGGACAUUGUAUACCCCACAGAUGUGAUUUAUCUGAAGUAAAUACAUUGGAUUCGGAAUAUAACUGUUCAUGAUGGGACAUGUGUAAUAAAUAUUGUCGGAUAAAUGUUAGACAUAAUGAUCCAUCUUUAAUAAAGCGUAAUCAUUAGAAUAAUUUGAAAUAUAUUUUCCGCCUGCUUGCGGAGCACGAAUCGUAUAAUUAUACGAUUCUAGAAUGUAUAGAAAUACACUAUGCAUAUGUAAUACAUGUACGUAUAAUUUAACAUACUUAGAGGAAAUACUCAUAAGAAAUACAUAGAGCGCAGCACUGAUACAUCACAUUUGAGGUUUAUUCGUGGAUUUAUUAUCUAAGAGGGUGAUAAUAUAAAAAAUUGAAAAAAUAAUUGGUAAUUAUUUUUUUCUAAUGUGAAAAUAAUAAGAUGACUUGUGGGUAUUAUAUCAUAUGUUAUACUAAUGUCAGUGAUUUUAUGACAGUGAUAUUUGUCAUGAAUGCGUGCCCAAUUUGAUUAAUCUGUGUAAUAAAAAUAUUUAAUAUGAUUAUAUUUUAUGUUUAUAAAUAUUGCAAAUAUAUUUAAUAAUAUGUUUAUUAUUAAACGAUGUCGUUCAGGGAAGGUUCUGGAAUUUUUAUUGUUGUAUACAGUACAUGGGCAAAAUGGUCUUUUGUGGUGACACCAGGCUACAGUGCCCCUCAUAAAACUCACACAAUAUAUAUUAUUGGUGUCGCUUUCACUGUAGCAUGAUCCAAGGGCAAAUGUUUCUUCCUUACGUGGGUUAUGAUGACGUGACACAAUUCCAACCCUCUAUAUAUAAGAUUUCUAUAGAGGGCUGGUGGGCCCCUCAUGUCGGAUACUUACGUAGCGUGCUAUGAUUGGUCUAUUCGUGAACUUUUCCCUGUAGUUUCUACAGUAAAAAAUCACUGUUUCGCGGUGACCAUGGUGUCACUUUCAUUGUAGAAACUACAGUGAUUCACUAUUCGGGCACUGCUUGGGCACUGUUCAUCAUGCGAAAGGACGGAAAUACCCUCCACAAUGCCCAGUGCCAAAUGACCGUUGUACCCCUGGUGGAUUAUUUAGUGAUUUUUCACUGUAGAUGAUGGGCCACCAUAGUACAGUUAUUUGUCCACGUGGCUUUAUCUGGUGCGUUGGAUCGUGCCACGUGGAUUUAAUCUGAUGGUCAUUGUUUUUUUUAUUAUAAUUGAUAUAUUUAGUUUAUUUUUUGCACAGUGUCAACUCCUGAACUGCGUCGUUUUGAUAUAUUAUUACUGUGCACUGAUUAAUACUGUUCAAUUCACGGGUGAUACGGAUGAUUGACACUUGUCGUGCAUCUGAUGGCGGACUUCAGCCUUAUUCUCGCUAAUCUGAAUUUGAUAUUAUUUGAAAUCCACAGCCUAUAUAUACUCUUGACCUUGAACUGCUUGACAUUAUUGUCACUGUCGAGAGUGAUGGCAUUUAUGGAGGAUUAUUGGGAGUAUCUUCCAGACCUGUUCAAGCAUCAAGUGAAGGAGUUGUAUUAUGAAGAUUUCAGGAGCAGGGUUCAUAUGCAAUUUCUUGAGCGUAUUCGAUCCAGUAUUUGUCAUAUAUUUUUGGAUAAUGGUGAUAUUCUGCCAUUUUUCAACAUUGAUGGUGUUGAUCGUAUACUGCAACCAUUGAUCCAAAGUUUGCUGCGUUUGAUGGAUUUUGAUGUUAUAGACGAAAUACAGAUUGAUCACGAAAUUUGUGCAUACUUUCGAAGUUUUCUUAGAGCCUUUAAGAUUUAUGUUGAAUCUAAGGGACAGUAUGUUAAUUUUGUAUUCGAUGAUGACGUAUCGUCUUAUCCACCUGGAUUUUGUAUUCAUCUGAACGAUCAUAUUUUGUUUAGUAGUUGUGAUGAUUAUAUUAGGCUUUUGUAUUUGCCAUCUAGUGAUGUUCAAUUUGCUUGCGAGUGCGGAGCUUGUGAUAAUGUAAUAAGAUGUGAUAGAUAUGUUAAUGAAUAAAUAUUUAUCCAUAAAUAAGUGUUCUUAAUUGUUAUUGGUGUUAUGCGUAAUUCAUAUGAUGUUGCUGCUGAUAUUGUCGAAAAUAAUUUAAUUAAUUGAAUUGGAAUGCUUAAUGUGAUCUGGACACUGUUAAUCCCUUUUCGAUAAUGGUUCUGGAUAGAAUCAUUUAGUUAAAAAUGUGCCCGCAGGGCUGUUGCACGCCACCUGCUACUUCCUAUCAUCCGACCUCUGCUUUGCGAUGAAGAUGAUGAACAGAACUGGGCCAUUUGAAUUAAUUAAUACAGUAAUUGGGCAUUAUGGGCCUGAUGUAACUGGGCCUCUGUAUUGGUGAAUAUAUCGUCAUAUGAAAAGCCCAAUUGACGUGCAUGGUAACUGGAACUUUAGUUCUCAACACUUAGAAUUUUGUAGACUCGUUUAUGCUAACAUCAGCAUACGUCAUUUAUGCGUAAUAAUUAUCCAUUACUGGAUUUGUUAUUAUGUCACAUGUCAUAAGGACAUGAUUCUAUUUGUUUUGGAAUUAAAUUAUAGUUGAUCGGAUUCUGGAAUUGAAAAUAUAUUAAAUAUAUUAAAUGGGGACAUACUCAUUAUAUUCUAUAAUGGUAGGGACAUUGUAUACCCCACAGACGUGAUUUACCUGAAGUAAAUACAUUGGAUUCGGAAUAUAACUGUUCAUGAUGGGACAUGUGUAAUAAAUAUUGUCGAAUAAAUGUUAGACAUAACGAUCCAUCUUUAAUAAAGCAUAAUCAUUAGAAUAAUUUGAAAUAUAUUUCCCGCCUGCUUGCGGAUCACGAAUCGUAUAAUUAUACGAUUCUAGAAUGUAUAGAAAUACACUAUGCAUACGUAAUACAUGUACCUAUAAUUUAACAUACUUAGAGGAAAUACUCAUGCGAAAUACAUAGAGCGCAGCGCUGAUACAUCACAUUUUGAGGUUUAUUUGUGGAUUUAUUAUCUAAGAGGGUGAUAAUAUAAAAAAAUUGAAAAAAUAAUUGGUAAAUAUUAUUUUCUAAUGUGAAAACAAUAAGACGGCUUGUGGGUAUUACAUCAUAUGUUAUACUAAUGUCAGUGAUUUUAUGACAGUGAUAUUUGUCAUGAAUGCGUGCCCAAUUUGAUUAAUCUAUGUGUUAUAAGAAUAUUUAAUAUGAUUAUAUUUUAUGUUUAUAAAUAUUGCAAAUAUAUUUUAAUAAUAUGUUUAUUAUUAAACGAUGUCGUAUCCUAGAAGGUUUUGGAAUUGAUCUUGUGUUUCGCACACCUCAUUAUACGGUGUCGUUCUGGGAAGGUUCUGGAAUUGUUAUUGUUGUGCACAGUACAUGGGCAAAAUGGUCUUUUAUGGUGACACCAAGCUACAAUGCCUCUCAUAAAACUCUCACAAUAUAUUCACCUCACUGUUUGGCUACUUUCAGGAAUCAUUCAUGUAACAAUUCCUUUCUAUUGGCUUCUGGGUCAACAAAUCAUAAUUACUACUAGUAUUUUUUAAAUGAAUAAAAAACAAAUUAGCAAAAUAAUGAGUGAAAAAAAGGAAAAAGGAAAGAUAAAAAUAAAGAAAAGAUAAAGUAAAUGGAUUUCUAAAAAAAAUAAUAGAUUUCUAAAAUAGUUUCACGUUGAAGUUCAACAUGAAUAUUCUUUUCCUCGUUUCUUUGUUUCGUAUUACUAUAAAAUUAGUCAUCUGAUCUCCGUGAAAACAUCAAGACCAUCUCUUAAACUAUCAAAAAUUGGCAGACCUACAAAGGGAGCAAUAAACAUCGAGACCCUCUCUUUAAACCCUCAAAUCUGAUAGACAAAUAGGGAGAAGUCUGUUUUCUUGUCCCUUUUUUUUUUGGUCAGCAUGGAUAAUUUUUUUCUUUUACCAAUGCUAUCUGCAAUCAAAAGGUAAAAUUUUCCUUAACUGCUAUCUACAGUAUCAUCAAUAUGCAAUUAAAUUGUCGAGUUGUGCCUAAGCAAUCUGAUAUUGGUGAACACGAUUAAACUUUGGGCUCAAUUAUCUUAAUCACAAGGUUUUGUUACAACAUAAAGGUAUGCUUUGCAAAACCCCUUCAAAUUAACCGUGACUUAGUUUAGUUUACUUAUGGCUUGGGCUAUAGCGAUUAAUUUGCUAUGAUAACUUCGUGAAAUAAGUGAUAAUUUACCAAAUUAUAAGCCUUUUGUUCCAGUGUCCAUAAGCUAAUUUUAGCUGAUUUGAUGUUUCGCUAUUAUAAACAGAUUUCUACUUUUGUAAAUUCAAAUCAAUGUAGCAGAUAUUGAUCUUUAUUGUUCUUGGUUCGUGUUUUACUAUUGGCUUUUCUUGCUAAUUGCUUGAUCUACUAUAGCAUGAUCAAUUUACGAACGGGGAGGAGCAUCAACCUUCUAGUUAUGCAGUAGAAGAAAUCAACAAGAUUUAAUACAUAGUAGCAAGUGACAUGCAUAUUAUAAAACAUAAAACUUAUUGAUUCAUCUUGGGCCUUCUUGUUCUGUGAGUAUUCUGUGGUUCACACUUUUGAACUUACCGUUGGUGAUCAGCAGAAUAAGUCAUGGGGAAAAUAAGUAUAGUCAAUAAGAAAAAUUUAGUUUUGAACCAAUAUACAUCAAGGGAGGAAUGUUGUUGUUAUGCUUUGAGAAACGAGUAAAUUAUAUGCAUUUGAAUAUGUUAUUUUUGUGUGUAUUUGAGGCAAAGACGAACAAGUAUUUCUUUUUUUUUCUUAUUUUUUAGAUUGGAAGUUUAUGUAAGCAGGGUAGUUUACAAGAUACUGAUGGUAUAUAUUCCCUUGCAUUGGAACCUAGCAAGCGUGUUGGAAUAUACUCUGAUUGUUUUAUAAAUGACGCUCAUCGAGUGACUCAAAACAGUGUCGUGUGUGUAGAAGGAUCUCAUAAAGAUAAGGAUAUUAUUUUCUAUGGCAUUUUAAGUGAAGUUAUUGAAUUGACCUAUGCGAACAACAAUUGUCAAGUUGUUUUGUUCAAGUGCGAAUGGUUUGAGUUAGAUAAAUUUAAACAUGUGCCAAUUGAUGGUUUUCUUACUAACAUCAAUGUCAGAAAAAAGUGGUAUGAAAAUGAUCCCUAUAUUCUUGCCACUCAAGCUACUCAAGUUUUCUAUGUGCGGGAUACAAAUUUGAGAAGGGAUUGGCAUGUUGCACAAAAGGUCCGUCAUCAACAUUUGUUUGAUCCGUCUUUGUUCCAUCUGAAGACAAUCUAUUAGAUGACAGUCAGCCAGUUCAUGUGGAUGCUUCUCAAGAAGAUGAAUUAGUUAAUAUAUAAAUUAAUGAUUAAAUUGGUGAGCCAGGUUCUUUAAUUAGGGAAGAUGUUGGUCAUGAAUUUGUUAAUGUGAAUGAUGAUGAAGUAAGGCAAAAACCUGACCAUCUUGUUUCUGGAAAAAAUCACUGAAUUUGAGAUAGAUGAUAACGAGGAUGAUGACACAAUUGAUGAUUAUUAUGAUGAAAAUGAAGUUGAUUUGGACAAAACAUCAGAUAUUGACAUCGAAUAAAUUGAUCAAACUAUAUAUAUAUAUAUAUAUAUAUAUAUUUUUAGUGUAAGCGGGAAGACUCGAACUCGAGACCUCUCGCUUACACUCCUUGCCCCGUACCCCCAACCCAUCCUUCCCCCCAAACUAUGCUUUUGUUAGGAAAUAUUAUAGUGUGUUAGUUCUAAAAUGAGUUCAUGAACUCCAAAAAAUAUCUUUAAUCUAGGUUGUGUAUGUUGUUUUCUAUGCAACUAAUGUUUUUAUAAAAAGUUUUUUUUGGAGAUUUUUCAUGCUCAUGAAAAUUGUUAACAUUUCAUUGAAUUUUUAACAAAGUAAUCUACUAUAUUACUAAAAAAAGGUUAUUGGCACUUAAUUUACAUUUUUUAAAUUGUUUAUAUUUAACCAAAUUCAUGCCAUUAGAAUUUUAAAAAAAUUAACUUCAAUUUUUAAAAAACUAUGUAACUUCCAACAAUUUAUCUUUUGGUCACCAAUGUAUUGAAUUGGAAAUUAGCUGCCAUACAAGAAAGAUUAGAUAUGUAAUAGCUGUCAAACGCAAAUUUGGCUGCUUAAACACUUUCAAAUACAACAUCUUCUUUGUGCAAAUUUUUUUUUUUGAUGGACUUAGGUUUUGUCUCAAGUUUGCUUUUACAAAUUUUUAAAAAAUAAAAAAUAAUUUCAGGUUUUCUAUUGAACACUAUCUUUGAUCGCCAAAAAAUCAAAUAUUUUAUGACUAAAAUUCGGUCACUGUAUCCAUUAGAUGGUUGCCAAAUAAAAUACCAUGAAAAUAAAUUUGAUACCAAAGUUUUAAAUUUUAAAGUUUUUGACACCAAAAUUUUGGUUGCCAAUACUUUUAUAAAUUUUUUUCUACGACCAAAGAUAUUUUUGGUUGCUUUUUAUAUGUUUUAGCAACCAUUUUCUUUUUCUCACUAAAUUUUUUAUCGCUGAAACCCAUUUUAAUUUGUUGUAGUGGGUACAAGGUCGGUAAUUUGUAUCCUUUCCCCCCAAUGGAACUCAUCUAUCAAAGCAGCUACCAACCACUAUGGCUGAUAUAACUUGCAGUUGCCUUGCACCUUGGUGACUCAUUCUCAUCAGGGAUGUUUCAACUGUAACUUGCAGCUGCCUUGCACCCGGGUGACUCCCCUACUACAAUGUGAGUGUGUGUGUGUGUGUAAAAGUGAGGAUUCGUCAAUUCAUUGCUGAAGAGGUUGAUCGAGUUAAACAAAAAUUUUAAGUUGUCAUUCUCAGUAGGGGUGUUUCAAUUGUAAGAACUGAAACUGUGUUAUGCAGCCGAUAUAACCUGCAGCUGCCUUGUAGCCAGGUGACUCAUUCUCAUGAGGGGUGUUUCAACUGUAAGAACUGAAAUUGUGUUAUGAAAAAAGUGGCACAACAAUGGUUGAUCGCCCAGAGGGGAGAAUAUGCACAAUCAAGCUCGUGCUUAUCCAAUGGCGGCCAGAUAUAUUUUGUUAGUUGUUUUUUUAAAAAAAAUUGAAGUAUAACUUUUAAGAUUAAUCUUUCCUACACUGUCAGUGUAUACAUUGAUGGAGUUGGAUGAAUGUCACAUCAUCUGAAUUUGAAUUUAAAUAUCAAAUUUUGUAUAUGUGUCAUGCAUUUAGAGUCGCUAGUGCAUACACUAUCAGUGUAUAAAAGAUUUAUUCAUGAUAGAAUUCCUAUUAUAUACGUUCAUAUGUAUAGUGUUGAAUGGUUUAUUGAGCCAAUUAAAUGUCUCCUUUAAUUUUUUCUUCUCUUUUUUGGUUUUUUAAAAUCUGGGAAAUGAUCAGUCUUCGGAUGGAUUCUAUUGUUCACUCUUGUAAUAUUCUUAUUGGGGACAAAAUUGAUAAUUUUUUAAAUUUUAUUAAUUAAGACAGUAUAAUAAACAAAUGAAACUUAUUUUGUAGUUUUAAGAUUGUUGUAAUGCUAAAUAAAAGUCAUGAAAAAGUAGUAAUUGUAUUAUUCAAUUGACUAGGCGACAAUAUACUAAUCAAAUAGAUUAAGCAUGAGUGAAAAAAAACAAAAUUUUUACUCUUUUUUUAAAAUUUUACAUUAUUUUGAUAUUUGUGCCUUUUGCAUUUUUUGUGUAUCUUAGUUUUUUUUUGGAAUUUACAAAAUUAUACUGAUUUUUAUAUUAGAAAUCGCUAGUAAGUUUUAAAGCCAAGUUGACUACAGACAUAAAUAUAAAAAAAAGUUGUUCACUAAGGAUUUAGCUGAAAAUUUUUCAAAUAUUUGGGAUCUUUAUAAUAUUAUUAAAAUGUAAGGGUCAAAACAAAAGUGAUAGAAAAGUAGGAACUGUAAUUGCAAUUGAUGAUUUUGCUGCCCACAAAGACUUGCGCACAGAAGAAAUUGUUGGUAGUGACCUCAUAAUUUGAGUCAACCUAGUUCGAAUGAGCUCAUGUAAUUUUUAUUACAUUUGGUAUAAAUUUGUAUAAUUUUGUUGUAAUCAUCAACUUAGUUAUAUGAAUUAAAAAAUUCAAAAUUUACAUCCAAAGCGUAUAAAUUUAUAUAAAUAAUUAUAAAGAUUACACGAACGAAUUUGAACUGGACGCUGCUCAACUUGGGAGGCCUUGAUCCAGAAAUUGCCACAGUGGCUGUAGGCACACAUAACAAACAUCCUAAAAGGACAUAACGAAGUUGCCAGGUCAACGACCAAAACUUCUCGUUAGCUACUACACCGGCAAGGUGUCCGGGUGCUCAUCAUCGACUAAUCAUUAGUGCUCUUCUCAUAUCUCCGCCACCUGGGUUUUUGCCGUUGUCAGGUGUCCAUCGAUUGUAAUUUGUUCCCUUUGUGGAUGUGGGUUGAACUGUAACUGUGUGGUGAUUUCUCUCUUGUUGGCUUUUUAAUGGGUUUUGUCUCGUUUGCUUAUUGCAUGAUUAAGCUUUGUAUCCGACUGCAAGAAUUCAAAUGGCAAAGUUGUCUUUUUACCUCCUCAUAUUUCAAAAGGUAGGUCUAGAUUGUUUGCUGGAUUAAUUAGACAACUAAGCAAUUCAAUUUUCCUAUCCCUGAAUUUUCUAGUCUUAUGUACUCGGGCAAACCUUUUUCAUGACUGAGUUUAAAAUCUACAAGUAAGAUUCUUGUAUUUCCAACUAAUUUUUCUUGUUAUUUCACGUACAUCUAUAAUAAUUAUUUUAAAUAAUAUUUCAAAUAAUACACGAUCUAAAUAUUCCCAAUAUUUGAUAUCACCAAUGUAGUACAGAACAGAUUUUGUUUUUCAAAAGGACGAUUAUUGAAGUUAUCAAGAGCACAUUAACAAUAACAUUUAUUGGAACAUGGCAGCAUGUACACUGUAUAAUCUAAAUUUGUUCUUAGUUCAACUAAACACCAAGCCAAAUGAACUUCCAUUAGGUACUUUAUUUUAAUGCACAAAGAAGAUGAAUACAAAUUUUGAAACAAAAACAGUUGUAUUCUUUUUCCCGGUCAUGGAACAAGUAAUUGACCAGAUCACGUAUCGUAAUAAACUUCUAUUUAUGAUGUUGGAUUUUUGCCAAAGAUUUCACUUAUAACGCUUCCCUGGCCCCCCUCCCACUCUCAACACCCCUCCUUGAGAAUAUUGCUUAUUUAUGUAUGCUAUCAUUAUAAGUUUUUCUUCUCAUUUUCUUUGUUGUGAAAAAUAUCUGAUUCUCACUUGACAAUGUAGACUUGUGUUAGUAUCAUCAUUACUAGCAAGUUGCAUUAGUAUUUCUUUUAUUAAGGGUGGCAAAUUUGAAAAAAAAAAAAAGAAAAAGAAAAGAAAGGGUGAGCAAUUUUAAGCUGUUGUUUAAAUCAAUUAUUCAAAGGGUUAUUAGCUAGUUAACUUUUUUACUUCAAGGUGACAAAAUUGAAGCUGAUUAAUAGGUGACAGAAAAGCAACAUAAAAGCUUAACCGUUGUACUUCAAAAGUGUUUAGUCGUCCAAAUAUAAGAGAGGAGUUUAUUAGCUCUUGUUAUAUUGCAGCCAUGGUUUGCGCUUUUUAACAACAUUAAGUACUAUCCUUGUUUAUUAUCUUCCAGCUACAUCUAAUAAUCUAAAGAUUUAAACUAAUAAUUCUAAUCAUGUAAAUCUCAUUCUAACAGUUGCAUUAGUGUUUCAUAUAUGCUAAUUUUCAAGUUUACAAUUCCUUUUAUCUUUUAUUUAGUACUAGUUUAUAGCUUUUCGAAGUUAGCAAGAAAUUUAGCUUCAAAGUUUCUCCAGUUUGUCACACGAUCUUUGAAUAUGUACACGUUCAGCCCCAUUUGAAUCUAACAAAAUCUGUAUCUAAAUCUAUAUCUGAAUCUACAUAAUUCUCCAAAAAAAUUAUUCAAUGCCAGAAAGUUGAUGUUGAGAUAAAAAUUUCAAAAUAUCAACUGAUGGAGAAAGCAGUACAAUAGCUUUUGCCUGAAUGGACAACAUCAAAAGCAUCAGCAGUACCUCACUUAGAUGGCAGAAGCCUCAAUCUUGAAUUUGAAGCUGAAGCAGAACGUGCCAAACUAUUAGCAGUGCAGAAGCUGGACCCUAUAGCACGAAGGUGGUCAACUUUAGCAUAAAUUAAUCAUGCUCUUAGAUUUAUAUCAAUUUAUUUAAAAUGUCAAAUCCUUUUUCUCUAUUAAAGUGUUGUCAAUAGUUAAUUUGGAAUAGGUACAAAUAUUUUAUUAGAGGUAAUUAAUAAAAAAUGUUAUUUAUUAAUGAGUCAAUGUAGAAUGGGGACAGAAUAUAAAAAAUUUAAGAGGAUGAUUUAUAUAGAGAAAGAAAUUUUCUAAAAUCUAUGAGGAGCAAUCCAACUAAAUGAGAGAAUGUUAUAAAAUUCAGAGGGUGCAUAUAUGGUGAUAAAUCUUGAAAAGCUUCAAGGCCAUUAUAUAAUUUUUAUCAAAUUUGAGGGAGGCAAUUGUCCACCCUCACUCCUAUAUAGCUCCACCACUGGUAACAUAAGAGCCAUCCUCCCACGAUCACUACAACUAGGGCAAGCUUUCUGAGGUUGGAAGAUGGCUUAACAGAAAUUUGGAUGUGUGGUGUGUAAAAAAUAAAGUUAAAUAUGAUGUAACAAAAGUUAAAAUGACCAUUUUAACCCGAAAUGGAUUAUAAUGAAACUUGUGAGGCCCUGAUCUUGCAUGACUGAUGGUGAUUGUCCAUGUCUUCAUAACUAUAAGUUUUUCUCUUUUUUUUUUCCCUUUUAGUUCUUUUCAAAUAUAAAAAUAUAAUCAAUUGAUUUUGUUGUAGUUUAUGUAAUGCACCUUGAUAUGAGCACAGGGUCUCAAAGUAUGGAACUAUUUCUUUACUAUUUCUUCAAUAAAGGGACUGCCUAAAGUCAUUUGGAAGAAAGAGAUUAAGCACUGAAUUCUCUAACUUAUUGCAUCAUUAAGCUAAUCAUUAGUGUAGUUGUUAUUUGGGUUGAAUUGUUAGUUAGUAAAUAGAGCAGAUUAGCAUCUUGGAUCAAUCCCUUAAGUAGGGUUUAUGGGCCAGUUAAAGGUCCAGCUGGUUGUUUUGUUAGGAGUUUUGUCAAGAUGCAUUAAAAAACAUCAUUGCUUUCUUUACAUGAAUAAAAUACGACAUAUUUUUCAGAAAAUAUUCGUGAGAGAAACGCUCUCUUAGCUCUAUGAGCAUCCCUUGAAUACUUAAAAUUUCUUGGUGUUCAUUGGCUUAUCAAUCAAAACAUACCAUUGAUUGUGGUGCCUACUAGCAUUUCUCAAAUUCACUAGUUCAUUUGAUUGUGGGUCAAGAUUGCAUCAAUGUUCGCAACCACAGCGUUAGAGGGGUCCAUAUAGGAAUUCCACUAUCAAACUUGUGUUAGUCACCAAAGAUUCGAGGCUUGUUAAUGCAAAUUUUGUUUCAGCAACUGGGUUUGUAUCAACUCGUCAACUAGGUUCGUAUUAACUGACAUCAGAGCUAGUUGGCAAGUUUUCAGGUUAUAACCCUUGUUUUUAUUCAAUUCGUUAGUCUUUUUUGGUUGUUAGAGUCAAUCUGUUGCUGUUUAGGGAGCAUCGUUAGGGUUUUUGUGUUCAUUGCGUCUUAGUUGUUCAUCGUGUCUAAUUCAAUCAAUUCUUAUUGCAAUUUGUCCAUAUCUUAUUGUCAUUUAUUUCUUCUUGUUUUGGCCCAGAUUUUUGUGUUAAUUCGUGUUGUUUCCUUGUGAUAUUUUUCCAGCAAAUCAACUGUAAUGGUACCAGACUGACCUAAAUGGAAAUGUAAACUUGACAAUAGAAAUUGAUAAUCGCAACUUGACAAUAAUCAACUAAACAACAAGGUAAGCUGAGGAAGAUAACUAAGAAGUUGCUUUUAUUAAUGAAUGAAGAAUUACAGAAAAGGGCGGGACAGUUGAGAAGAUGAAUAGAAAUGAAGGAAUUUGGGGAAAAGGGAAACAGAAUGAGGUUCAACUCAAUUCUGUUGAAUUACACCAAAAUUGUUCCUCCCUAUUACAUUCAUCCGACACCUUAUAUAACUAUUAGCUAAUAACUAAUUUCGAAAACUUCCAAUUACACUCGGCCACGUGGCCUAGUUGCUGAAGGUCUGUUACAACUAUUUGAAAGUUUGUUGCUGAGUUUCGGUGGUCUUCUUGCUUGUUUGUUGCAGAACUAAUUCCCAGCAAAACGUGGUUUUUGGAAUCACGCUUUUGCUUAUUUAUUCUUCCUGUCUCACGCCUUCCUUCCUUCUGUCUUCACGCCUUCAAUUGACUUCAUGACAAUAGCUUCCCUUACAAUUAAAUCUUGUCCUCAAGAUUGGAAUUGAGGGAACUUUUGUUCUAUCUCUUCUGCAUCCUCCCACAUAGUUUCUGCAGGAGAGACUCCCCACCAUUACACCAACAACUAGACUGCUGCUGCAUUCCUUUUCUUCACAAUCCUUUGAUCUAGCACUGCCAUUGGUUCUAGCCUCAGGUGGCCUUUCUCAUUUGUGUUUGGUAGUUGGAGUACUGGAACCACCUUCUGUCCUAUCUUCUUCUUCAGCAGGGAAACAUGAAAAAUUGCGUGUAUUUUUGACUGAGCUGGGAAUUGGAGUUUGUAGGCCACCCUUCCUAUCUUCUGAAUUACCUGGUAAGGCCCAAAGUACUUUGCUGAUAGCUUAGUGUUACCCCUCAUUUCCAUGGAAUGUUGCCUGUAGGGUUGUAGCCUAAGAUUCAUCCAAUCACCAACCUCAAAUUCCUUCUCAGUCCUUCUUCUGUUUGUAAACACCUUCAUUCUGUUUUUUGCUUCCUCCAGAUUUUUCUUGAGUAGUUCCCCUAUCCUCUGCCUUUCUUGCAAAUGAUCUGCAACUGUGGCUACCUUAGAGUGUGAGUAUGCCCCUAAGGCUAGUUGGGGUGGUUUCAUUCCAUACAGUGCUUCAAAGGGGCUCAUCUGUAUAGCAGUAUGAAAAGUGGUGAUAUACCACCAUUCUGCCGAUAGCCAUGCAUUCCACUUCUUAGGCUCCUGAUGUGUCAUGCACCAUAGAUACAUUUCAAGUACCUGAUUCACCCUCUUAGAUUGACCAUCAGUCUGAGGAUGGUAUGCAGUGCUUAGGCAUAGCUCAGUCCUCAUCAGUGUGAAUAGUUCUAUCCAAAUUGACUGGUAAAUACCUUGUCUCUGUCUGAUAACAUGCUUAAUGGCAUUCUAUGUAGUCUGCAAACAUGAUCCAGGAAGAUUCUGGCCACUGUUGGAGCAUCAAAGAAGUGAGUUAGGCCGAUGAAGUGAGCAUACUUAGUGAAUCUGUCCACUGUCACCAUGAUAGUGUCCCUCCUUUCUGAGGUAGGCAACCCCUCAAUGAAGUCCAUGGUGACAUGGCUCCAGGAGUACUGAGGUGUGGGUAAUGGUUGUAGGAGUCCAGGAUAAGCAACAUGCUCAUCCUUGCACCUCCUACAAGUAUCACAUUGCAGUACUGUAUCCUUGACUUCCUUGUACAUCCCUGGCCAAUGAUCUGCUUGGCCCUCAAGUAACUGGCUUGUACUCCCGAGUGACCUCUUAGCUGUGAGUCAUGAAUGGCAGUGAUGAUUUUUCUUCUAAUCUCUCCUCGUUUUCCUACCACCACUCUCCCUUUGUAUCUGACUAUCCCAUCCUGGUAAGAGUAGUCCUGUAGGGAGCUUGGUGUGAGGAUCAGACCCUUGAUCAUCUCCUGAACUUCUUCAUCCCCUUGGUAACUCUCCACCACCUCCUUUACCUACUCAGGGAUGACACAGGUCAUUUUUACAAAAUCCCGUUCUUCCUUGCUGGUUCUCCAGGACAGUGCAUCUAUAACAACAUUUUCCCUACCCCUCUUGUAUUGAAUUUCAUAGCUUAACCCCAACAGCUUAGUGAGCCACUUCUGUUAGAGUGGAUUGGUGACUUUUUGUUCUAACAGAUAUUUGAGGCUCUGGUGAUCUGUUCUGAUUAUGAAAUGAUGGCCCUCCAAGUAAUGCCUCCAUUUGGUAACUGCAGUAACUAAUGCCAACAACUCAUUUUCAUAAAUGGAUAGCCCUAGAUUCUUUGUCCCUAAACUCUGACUUAGGUAAGCAAUAGGCCUCCUUUCCUGCAUAAGCACAACUCCUAUCCCUCCAUAGCAGGCAUCAAUUUUUAUGAUGAAAGGCUUAUCAAAGUCUGGCAAGGCUAGCACAGGUGUGCUGCACAUAGCCAUCUUGAGUCUCUGAAAUGCCCCCUCAAUCUCCUCAGUCCAUUGGAAUCCCCCUUUCUUCAGUAAUGAUGUCAGAGGUUUGGCAAUAGAUCCAUAUCCUCUUACAAAUUUCCUGUAGUACCCUAUCAAUCCUAGAAAUCCCUUUAGCUGCUUCACAUUUUUAGGUCUUGGCCAGUUCACCAUUCCUUCAAUCUUCUUAGGAUUUGCCUGCACUCCUUCAGCAGAGAUUAUGUGGCCUAGGUACUCAAUUUGAGUCUGUGCAAAAUAGCAUUUACUCUACUUGACAUAUAGCUGGUGCUGCCUCAGCAGUUCUAGCACUUCUGUCACAUGUUGAAGAUGGGCCUCUAGUGUGGGUUGUACACCAAGAUGUCAUCAAAGAACACUAUAACAUACUUCCUCAGUUGCCCCUUGAAAACCUGGUUCAUUAAGCUUUGGAAUGUAGCAGGAGCAUUAGUCAGCCUAAAUGACAUCACCUUAAAUUCAUACAGUCCCUAAUGAGUUCUAAAUGCAGUCUUGUGCUUGUCCGCUACUUUGACCUUGAUCUGAUUGUAUCCUGCCCUUAAAUCAAUUUUAGUAAAGUACUUAGAUCCAUGCAGCUCAUGAAUCAGUUCAUCAAUCAGAGGCAUUGGGAACUUAUCCUUCACUGUGAGCUCAUUGAGUUGCCUGUAGUCUACACAGAACCUCUAACUCCCAUCCUUCUUUUUGACUAACAGCACAGGAGAGGCAAACGAGCUGUUACUAGGUUGUAUAAUCCCCAUCUGUAUCAUUUCCCUUACCAGCCUCUCUAUUUCUGAUUUCUACACAUAGAGGCAUCUGUAGGGUCUGAUCUGAAAUGGUUUGGCUCCCUCCUUUAGUGGUAUUCCAUGGUAAUGACUCCUAGGGAGAGGCAGACCCUGAGGUUCAGCAAAGGCAUCCUUGAACUGGUUCAAAAUCUCUUUCAACCCUAUUGGGAUCUCUUCCUAUCCUUCCUGCUCCUCUUCUACUAUAGUAAGGUAUGCAGUAACUCUAUACUCUUGUUUUCUCCUCCACUUGGCCAACUUGCCCCCUUUAAUGGUUGUCAGUUUUAAAUCACUAGGUUCACCUUUCAAUUCCACCAUCUCCUUUCCUUUGCAGAAUUUCAUGCUCAGUUUGUUGAAAUCAAACUCGAUGGGGCUGUAUCUGGCCAGCCAGUCCACUUCUAGUACCAUAUCAUAGCUCCCUAACUUCAGAGUGUUGAAGUUGUGUUGAAACUCAUACCCCUGAACCUUCCAUUCCAAGGGUCUGCUGAGUUGCCUGGACUCCAGCCUUUCCCCAUUAGCUACUCUAACUGUCAGGGGUGUUCCUGAUACCUGUAGUUGCAGGUGAGAAGCCAGUCUUUCAUUCAAAAAACAAUGUGUGCUACCACUGUCCACCAAUAUUAGGAGUUCUCUUCCCUCAAGUGUCCCCUUCAGUUUGAAAGUGUUGUGUCCAUUUCAUCUAGCCAAGGUGUGAAUUGAUACCUCUGUGAAUUGAUACCUCUAUCCUCUCAUUACUGACUCCUCCUUCAAUACAGUCACAGAACUCCUCUCCAUCCACUACCCCACCAGUGACCUCAACCAGCUCAGAUUGCUUAUCCUCCAAGAUAUACUGAAUAUGUGCUUGCUUGCAGAUAUGGCCUAGAGUGUAUGGUUUUGCACAUUUGUAACAUAACCCCCUCUCCCUCCUGUAGUUAAAUUCUGAGGGAGAAAUCUUCCUGAAUUGGUUUGCUGUUGUACCUCCCAUCAUGUGUCCUUUAUUGUCAUUGCUCCUAGGUCCCUUAGAGUCAUCAUUAGGCCACUUGUGUCUCAUAUGUGUUGUAGAUUUGGCCUGUUAUUCCCCAUGGAAUUAGAGUUGAGUAGGAAUUUCUGAGGUAUUAUCCUUUGUGUCCUCCUCAUAACCUCCCAGUCCUUCUCCUAUAGUUUAGCAGCCUCUGUGGUAUCUGCUAAAGUGCGAGGUCUAGCCAUUCUCACGAUGUUUACAAUUUCACUCUUCAAGCCACUUAGAAAACAAGAUUUGUAAUAAGAAUCAGCUUGGUUAGGUAGGAAUGGCAUUACCAGGGAUUUCAGCAGUUCGAAUUUCUCCAGGUCAUCAGCCACACUCCCAGUCCAUGUCAACUUGUUAAACUCCUCUAUGGUCUCUUCUAGUGUUCCAUCUCGAAAUCUCUCACACACUGCCAUAGACAACUCCUCCCAGGGAAUUAUAUCUCUCCCAUGAUACAUCCCAGGGAACCAUAUGUCUGCUUUCCCUCUGAGGUGUGGCUGAGCCGUUCCAUCUCCAAAUCUCUCACACACUGCCAUAGACAACUCCUCCCAGGGAAUUAUAUCUCUCCCAUGAUACAUCCCAGGGAACCAUAUGUCUGCUUUCCCUCUGAGGUGUAGCUGAGCCAGAUCAGACUCCAGUUCUUCUUCUACCCCUUGGAUUUGAAAGUACUCGUUGGCUCUCUUGACCCAUUUCCUGGGAUUAUCUCCAUCAAACACAGGGAAGUCAUGUUUUGGCAGCCUAUUUCCUCCCUUCCCUUCUGUUUUCUCAGAUUUCUUGUUGACCAAUUCCAGCUUCUGAUGCCCUCCAGAGCUACUUCCCUCUUCCACUAUUUCCUUAUCAGUCAAUUUGGUCAUCAUCUGAGCAAUCAUAUUCAUCAUGCUCUCAUACUUCUGAUCCAAGUUUUUUAUGAUUUUCUCACUACUCUUCUGCCUGUGUUCUAUGGCUCUCAUAGCUUGCUCCAGUCCAUCCUUCUUGUUGGCGAAUGUCCUCAUGACACUUCCUAGCUCAGUCAGGUCCUUCCUCAUCAUCUCUUCCUAUGUUUUAAUCAUCCUAAUGGCUCGUAGCUGGCUCUGAUACCACUGUAAUGGUACCAAACAUAGCUAAAUAGAAAUGUAAACUUGACAAUAGAAAUUGAUAAUCGUAACUUGACAAUAAUCAAUUAAACAACAAGGUAAGCUGAGGAAGAGAACUCAGAAGUUGCUAUUACAGAAAAGGGCGGGAAAAUUAAGAUGAUGAACAGAAAUGAAGGAAUUUGGGGAAAAGGGAAACAGAAUGAGGUUCAGCUCAAUUCUGUUGAAAUUACACCAAAAUUGUUCCUCCCUAUUACAUUCAUCCGACACCUUAUAUAACUAUUAGCUAAUAACUAAUUUCUAAAACUUCCAAUUACACUCGGCCAUGUGGCCAAAUGGCUGAGGGUCUGUUACAACUAUUUGAAAGUUUGUUGCUAAGUUUCGGUUGUCUUCUUGCGCUUUUGUUGCAGAACUAAUUCCCAGCAAAAGCGUGGUUUUUGGAAUCAUGCUUUUGCUUAUUUUUUCUUCCUGUUCUCACGCCUUCCUUCCUUCUGUCUUCACGUCUUCAAUUGACUUCAUGACAUCAAAAAAAAAAAAAAUUGCAGCCACUAGGGUUUCUUUGUCCCAAACAAAAUUAGGGUUCAUUUUUUUCUGGUCGCUGUCUGACUUUGUUCUUUUUUAUUGCCUUCAAUACUUGUUUCCAAAAUCUGGUGUUAUUGUUGUUUCAUAAUUUAGUUAAAUUUUUUAGUAAAAGAAAAAAAAUCUGUUCAUAUCUAGAUAGGGUUUUUGAGUUGUUAUCAUAGUUUUCUUGAAGAAACCUAAAGUUGUCUUCUAGGGCUCUUCUUGUUCAAGUUAGAAAAAGGGAAAAGUAGACUGACCUUAUAAAAAUUCUUGGAAUCUGAAAUCAAAACAUGAGUUUCUUGAAGUUCUUGAUUGUUAAAAGAGUCAAUCUUGAAUUCUUGAAGUCGUGAGUGAUAUUCUCGAAGUUGUGCGAAGAAAACCUAAAUCUGUCUUGUUGAAACCCAAGGAAUCUUUGGGCUGCUGGGGGAUACAUCUUCAAAACUUUCUUCUUUCUUGAAUUCUGAAAAUACCUUCUUGAAUUCUUGAGAGAAUCUAGAAGUUUAGUUGGGCUCUUGGGAAUCGAUUCUUGUCCAAAUCAAAGCUGCAAAUUUCCAACUGCCAAAGACCUAGUAUCCAUCUUGACGUUUUGGCUGUUGUAUAAACAAAAUGUUGCAACCAUGAAUUUGAUCCAUAAAAUAUCCAUAAUUGAGGGUUAUUUGUGUUUGUGGAGUUCUUGUAUCAGCUGAACAAUUACGACAAGAAAAUAGCUGUAGUUUCUAAUCCAAUUCCUAUUCGAAUUCCUUGAAAAGCUUAACCGCCAGCUAUUAUCCAAUUUCCUUUGGGAAAACUUGUGAACCAGCCUUGAAAUCCUUGUUUCUUUGGGAAAAGUAGGUAGUUCCAGAUUUGUUCUCAGAUAUUUAGUCCAAAUAAAUUUUCUAGAUCACAUCUGUCACGAACAACUCUUGAACUAUAAUCAAGUAGCAUCCUGCCAAACUGUUCUAGAGUUGGAUUCCUAGCAGUCUUUGUGUCAAUAUUUUUAGUUUAAUUCUAGUAGUUUCUAACCAUAAACUCCAGUAGUUUCCAACCUUAAACACAUCGUCAAAAUUCCUAUUUGUCGAGUGUCAAAUUUCUAGAUUUUGGUGUUGCCUUUUGAACUAGUCUACGGAGUCAAUUUUUACUAGCUGUUAAGUUGUUAUCUCCAGCUUAAUUCUAGUAGAUUUUCAUAUUUAUUCUUGUUCCAAAAAGUCAAGUUUUCUCCCUCAAAAAUUCCAGAAUGUCAUGAAGCUGAAGCUAAAGGAAAUGAGAAGUCGUGGUCUCAGUAGAAGAGGCGUGGAAUGAAGUGAAGAGGAAAUUGCAGGAAGUGUGGAGUGAAAUCACUCUUUUACUGGAAAAUCAGCUCAAAGAACGUGACUGCAUCAAUGGUAGUCCUGUAACAACCUCUGACACUAGCAAGCCACGUGUCUGAAUGCGAUUGCAGCAUUAGGGAGCUAGUUAUUAGUCAGUAGCUUUAUAUAGGAGAUUUGAUGUCAUUAGAAGAGAGAAUAUUCAGAAUUUAGUUUAGAAUUUAAGAGAUUUUUUCUCAUUCUUUACUUUCCUUUUUCCUCAAGUUUUCCUACCUUUCUGAUCAUCUUCUUCACUGUAACCAUUCUCUCUAUAUCUAAAUUUGUUACUUAAUGAAAUAUUAGUGUUUGAGCUCAAUUAUUAGCUCUUAGUUUCAGUUACUGUUCCAUUACUUCGCCAUUAAUCUACUGAAGUCAACCACCUUUUGGUUCGAUACCAUUACAGUGGUAUCAGAGCCACCUACGAGCCAUUGAGAUAACUAAAUCACAAGAAGAAAUCAGGGAGGAUCUUACUGAUUUGGGAAGUGCUAUGAGAACUUUCACCAAUAAGAAUAAUGGAUUAGAGCAAGCAGUGAGGGCCAUGGAACAUAGACAGGAAAGUACUGAGAGGGCCAUUAAGAAUCUGGACCAAAAAUAUGAAGGAAUGAUGAAUAUGAUGGCACAGAUUAUGGCCAAGCUGAAUGACAAAUGGAACAAGGUAGAAGGCAGUAGUCCUGGAAAUGAUCAAAAGAUAGACAUGAUCACGGGCAAGGUUGAAAAGAUAGAAGGGAAAUGGGGAGCUAGACUACCAACGAUGGACUUCCCUAUGUUCGAUGGAGAUAACCCCAAAGAGUGGGUCAGGAGAGCAAACAAAUACUUCCAGAUCCAUGGGAUAGAGAAGGGAAUGAAAUCAGACAUUGCUCAACUCCAUUUUAAGGAGAAGGCAAAUAUUUGGUUCCAUGGAAUGUACCAUGAAAGAGGGGUCGUUCCAUGGAAGGAACUUGCAGUGGUAGUAUGUGAGAGAUUUUGGGAAGGAGAUCCAAAGGAAGCCCAGAAGAGUUCAACAAACUGAUGUAGACUGGGAGUGUAGCUGAGUACCUAGAGAGGUUUGAACAGCUAAAAUCCAUGGUAAUGAUAUCCCUUCCUAGACAACCUGAUUUUUAUUACAAAUCAUGUUUUCUUAGUGGCUUGAAGGAUGAAAUAGUGAAUAUGGUUAGGAUGACAAAGCCUCUUACCCUAGUAGAUACCAUUGAAGCUGCUAAACUAUAGUAGAAAAAUCUGGAGGCCAUUAGGAGAACCCAAGAAAAAAUGAUACAGAAACACCCUUCUUUACCUACUACCCCAAUUGUUAACAAAUAGAACUUCCCUCCACAAAUAAAAAUGAGGUGGCCUAACUCCCAAUAUAGGAAGCCAGAACUCACUCUCAGUAAGAAUAGGACAGGAGCACAUAUAGUAGAUCACUUCAAAAAGAUCACUCCCUCUGAACUUAGCUAUAGGAGAGAAAAAAGGUUCUGUUUCAAAUGUGCUGAGCCAUAUACCUUGCGGCAUGUUUGCAAACAAGCUCACAUGCACUACAUCUUGGCGGAUAAAUCUGUAGGUAUAGGUGAGACACAAGAGGGACAAGGGGCUAAUACAAAAGAAUUCUAUGAUUGUCCUGAGAGUGAGUUGAGUAAUGAGAACAUUGAGGUUUCUAUCCAUGCAUUGGCCGGGGGGUCCCAACACAAGACCAUAAAACUUAUGGGUAGGCUAGCAGGAAGAGAGGUAACAAUACUUGUGGAUAGCGGUAGUACUCACUAUUUUGUUGAUGAAAGGUUAGUAGAAACUUUACAAUUACAGGCCAUUGGGACACCCUUGACAGUCAAUGUCACCAAUGGAGAAAAAUUAGAAUCUAGAUAGCUAUAAGGAACUUUGCGGUGGGAGGUACAAGGAUAUGAUUUCCAACAUCAAUUCAAUAUAUUAAAAUUGGGGAGCUGUGACAUGGUGCUAGGAGUAGAUUGGCUGGCCAGGUAUAGCCCUAUUGAAUUUGAUUUCAAACAACUCUCCAUAAAGUUUCUUAAGGGGAGGCAGCCAGUGGAAACAGGCAUAUAGGAUCACUACCUGGUUGUAUGUAAUAGAGGAGAGGAGUGGAGAUCUUGAAUUUGAUACCAACAGGGAUGAAGGAGUUGCUAGGAAAAUUUGAUGGAGUUUUUGCUACACCACAGGGCAUGCCUCUAGUUAGGAGCUAUGAUCACAGCAUUCCAUUGAAGAAAGGAGCAACCCCAUUCCAGAUCAGACCAUACAGAUGCCCUUACGUGCAAAAAUUAGAGAUAAAGAGGUUGGUGAAAGAGAUGUUGCAAAUGGGAAUCACACAGCCUAGCAACAGCCCUUUUGCAUCCCCAGUAUUGCUAGUUAAGAAGAAGGAUGGAAGCUGGAUGUUUUGUGUGGACUAUAAGCAGCUCAAUGAGCUCACCCUGGAAGACAAAUCUCCUGUGCCACUAAUAGAUGAACUAAUUGAUGAACUACAUGGCUCUAAAUUCUUUACAAAGAUUGACCUGAGUGUUGGUUACCAUCAGAUCAGAGUUAAGGUGGAAGACAGAUACAAGACAACUUUUAGGACUCACCAAGGGCUAUAUGAGUUCAAGGUCAUGCCCUUUGGCCUAACCAAUGCACCAGCUACCUUCCAGAGCCUCAUAAAUCAUAUUUUUGGGGAGCAGUUGAGGAAAUAUGUCCUAGUUUUCUUUAAUGACAUAUUGAUUUACAGUCCCACCUUGGUAGAUCACUUUAAGCAGGUAGCAGAAGUACUGAAUAAACUGAAGGAGCACUACUUGUAUGCCAAAAGAAGUAAAUGUUUAUUUGCACAAACAGAGGUAGCGUAUCUUAGCCACAUUAUCUCUGAAAAAUGGGUGGUGGCAGACCCUAAGAAAGUGGAGAGUAUGGUGAACUAGUCCAAACUAGUUUCUAUUAAGGAACUAAAAGGAUUCCUUGGGUUAACAAGGUAUUACAUGAAGUUUUUGAAGGGAUAUGGGACUACUGCAAAACCUCUUACCAUGUUGUUGAAGAAGGAAAGGUUCGUUCCACUGGAAUGCAGAAGCAAAUUAGGCUUUUCAUAAGCUUAAGUUGGCAAUGUGCAACACCCCUGUGUUGGCCUUACCUGACUUUACUAAGUCUUUUGAGAUUGAAAUUGAUUCUUGCUAUGGAGGUAUUGGAGUAGUGCUAAUGCAAGACAAGAGACCUAUAGCCUUCCUAAGCCAGAGCUUGGGACCCAAAAAUUUGGGGAUGUCUAUUUAUGAGAAAGAAUUGCUGGCCUUAGUGACUGCUGUCACCAAAAGGAGACCCUACCUGGAAGAGAACCACUUCAUCAUUAAGACUGAUCACCAGAGUUUGAAGUACUUUGUAGACACCAAAAUUUUAGUGUAAUUUCAUUUACUAUUUAUUUAGUUUUUAUUUGUCGUGUUAGGUUUAUUCACUUUUUAGUUUUUUAGCUUUUUAUUUUAUUAUUUUUAAGUUUUAGCAUAGAAUUUCUCGAAAAAAAAAAAGAAAGAAAGAAAAAGCAUUCAAAAAUUAUGCUUUAGUUGGUUUUGAUUUAAAUUCAAUGUUUUCUUGAAAAAAGAAAGAAAAAAAAGAGAAAUAAAAAGAUAAAAGAAAAAAGGAAAAGAAAAGGAAAAUCAUCAAUCCAAAAUUUUUUAGGCAUUUUUUAUCGUUUUUUCUAGGUUUCCUCAUUUUAUUUUACUUAAAAUGUUAUUUUUAUUUUUAUUAUAUUAUUAUUAAAAAAAGAAAAAAAGAAAAGGGCAUGCCGCACCUGCGGCAGCAUAGGAAGAUAAUAUCAUCUUUUCAUGGGAGAUUUUCUGGAUCGGAGGGCUGAAAUAUUUGGUGGAAACCCACCCUUCAUCCUCACCUUUGAGGUGAGGGUUUAGGAGUUGGAGGUUCCUAUAAAAGGAAAAAGAGCCGCAAGAGAGAGUUUUUUAGAGAGGUUUUGGACGGCAAAAGAAAAAACCAAGAAAGGAUACAAUCUGGAUGACGGCUAGGGUUAGAAAGCAAGAGUGAAAAGUGAGAGGGGGAGUUGAGAGAAAAGCUGGACGGCUGAAAAGAAAGGGGGAGAGCUUUGAGAGUUUUGGAGAGAGCGGCCAGAAAAGGAAGAAAAGUGACGGGGGUUUCUGAGAGAGAACCUAAGCGAGAGAGAGAAAGCGGCCAAGCGGGAGCAGGAGGAAAGAGCAGAAAAUAUGGGAACCAAGAGAGGCUAGAAAGCUACGGGCAAGGAAGUGAAGGAACGGCAAAAUCUAAGCUCCAAGUUGCAAUUUCUCCAACGCUGGGCAUUCCUGGGGCAGCACUCUCCUCUUCAGAUUGGAUUCGUACGUCUCAACCUUAUAGGCGACAAAGGUAAUCCAUUUCAUUCAAGUUGAAUGUGAACAUGUUGAAAAUCCUGGGAAUCUGGCUUGUUCUCCCGAUCUGCUCCUCCUUUUGUUGAGUGAUGUUCCCUCUCUUUGCGUAAAUGGAUAACCCAGAUACUGGCUUUACAUCACUGUGUUCAGAUCUUGUGUUGUUGUCACUCAUGAAACACAGGUUAUAGGAGUCAUUCCUAGCUUCAUUAGUUGGUGUUCAACCCUAAAAUUGCCGAAAGAGAGUUGUAGGAUUUUUUCCCGAUUUGGAAGCUCUCUGGUUUUCAUACAUUUUUUUGUGUUUGAAUAUAAGAGUUGCAGCCAUGUGGACAGAAUCAUUCUUCUUGUUGGGUUGUUGAAGCUCAUAGUCUAUAUGAAAUUUGAGUUUGCUUGUCGUUUGAUUGUGCGUACCAUCCAUAAGUUUCUGCUCAAUGUUUACAAUCAGUCUUGGCGUAUUUGAAUAGGCAAACCCAGAAAAUGGCUUAAAAUUGUAGACAAGUCUGUUGUGAUGUUUCUUUGGCUGUUGCUUCUUUGUUUUCUUGUUGUUUGUGUUUGGGUUUCAAUGUUAAACGAAGUAAAUGGUAAGUUUUAGCUGUCUGCUUGGAGUUUGAUUCUUUGGAUACGCAUGUUUGAUAAUAAAAUGGGUGGAAAUCUUGUUGAACAAAUCUGGUUUAUUGUCUUGGUUCGGCCACUAUAUGCAUUUGCUGAAAUUUGUGGGCAUGAUUGCUUGAUCCUUGCUCUAUAUGUGCAUCUAUGUUCGGCUAAUGUUUCAGCUCUGAACAAGUUUAUAAUGUCAAAAAAUGAUUUUCUCUUGGCUUGCAAAGGUUUAACCAGAAAAUUUCAAAGGAACCUGCGGUUCCGUUGUUUUCUCAAGUCAUGUUAGCACAAAACCAUUCAAGCAUUAAUUUGAGACAAGCUGAUCUGUUUUGAUGAAAGUAGUGUUAUCUGUAUUGGAUGAAUGAGAGUCAGGCCCAAAGUGCCUACGGCAAAAGCUGCUCAUUCACACUUGAAUUCGCUGAUAUGUCUCUCAUUUUUCCUGAUACAUGUAUGCCCACAUUUCUGUUCUUCAUGCUUUCAUGUCUCGCAUUUAUAGCAUCAAAGUUUAUCAGUUGGUGGAUGAUUGUUUCAUCAUGAUCAGAGUUUUUCAAGGGCAUAAAAAUAUUUGGCUGCACCUUUGUUUUGCUGUUAUGAAAACCACUGCUGCACUUUUUCAUCUUCCUUCUUUUGCUGUUUACUUUUUAUCCUUGAUGGUCAGCCCCAUUUCUUUGUUUCAAUCCUGCAAUGAAGUUGCAUGUUUAGUCGAUGAUGGAUAGGUAGAAUCCUGGUAUGGGAUAAACCUGUUUGCAUGAUGAAACGGAUAGAGUCGCGGCUGGAAAAUUGCUGCAAGCUUGGAAAUAAAGGCAGCAAGCUUCAUUUUUUAGUUGCAGAAGUUUAGGCCUUCUACAUAGCUGCAUGCAUGAUCAAGAAGGGAAAAUUACACUUCACUCCCCUUAAUUUCUAGCAAUACUACAAAAGCCCAAUCAUGCUCCAAUUUCUUGCAAAUAGGUCCUAAAAUAAUUGUAAUUAGAACCAUUACUUGACCUUUUUAUUACUCUUGGAUCUUUGAAGUUUUCAAAAUGUUUUGAUUGGACUUGAGUGAUUGGUUAUAUUUGCAAUUGGGUCCUUGGUAGUCUUUCUAUUUUAGAAAUUUGACCAAUAAUUUACUUUUCUUGGAAAUUUAUGCAUUGUUUGAUUUCAUUAAAGUUGCAAUUAGGAGGGACUUGGUGAUUUUGUUUAUAUUUACUAUUUAAUUAGUGCCUUGACCCUUUUAUUGUUUUGAAGCCAUUUUUCCUUCAUUUGAUUUCAUUGCAAGGGAGGUAACUUCUAUUUCCUUGAAUUUAUUUCUCCUACGUGCUCCUACGUGUUAUGUGUGAAUAUGCAUGCUUUAAUUUGCUUUUCAUUUUAUGUUUAAUUGCCUAUUUUGCUUUCUUUUCAUUUCGCCUUUUUAAUUGGCAAGUCAUUUGAAAGGCACUUGAUUGCCAAGUUUGUAAUAGUUAGGUAUUUAUUUUAAUUAUUUAUUUAUUUCCCCUUUAGAUUGUAGUAGGACCUCCCCAAAUGUAAUAGUUAGGGCUUAUUUGCUUUUUUAUGUGAUUUGCAUGCUUACGUGCUAUGUGUUACCGCUUUCUUAGGGUUUUGCAUCUAGAUACCAUGCUUAUGUGUUAUGUGCUAUAUGUGAUUUAUGUGUUUAUUUGCUUUAUUCGCCUUUAUAUAAUUUAUUUGAUUUGUAAUGAAUGUGUGACGUCACCACACUAGUCCAACGCUAGUUGUGGCCCCCUUUCCCGAAUCCACACUAGUCCAACGCUAGUUGUGGCCUUUGUCCUCGAUUUUCCACUAGUCCAAUGUUAGUAGGAAUUCAUAGAUAUGGGCUAAUCCAAUGUUAGGCCCUUAGGGACCUCCCUCUCGCUAGUGCAUUUUUUUUGUAUGUUUCACUACAUUCCAUGCAUUUUUCUUAGUUUUCUAGCAUUUGGCAUGCUCCUCCAACCCUUUUCCCUUCAUUUUAGGUUUUGCAUCUUCAUGCUAGUUAUAAGGUACAUUUGCUUGAGAGUCCCCUUUCGGUAAGAGAAACGAGCGAGUGUGGCUACAAAAUAGCCUUAGCACGCUAGUCCUUCCUUCUAAUCAAAGGGAAAAUUAAAGUCGUGAAAUUAGGAGUCAUUCCCGUACCCGACUUGAUGCAUUCCUCUAGGUUCAUACACUUUCAUUUCUAUCAUAUCACCUCCUCACUUUUUUAUCCACAUUUUCUCACUACUUAUAUUUUUCUCAAUCCACGUGUCAUGUUUGCACAUUUUUCUUUUCCUAUCACCUAUUUAUUUUUCUACCUCACAAAUUGCACCCAAUUGCACUUAUAUAUUUACUACUAUUAUACCAUAUUUUCAUCCACUUGCACACAAACACCUUUAUUUUCUCAAUUAGCACACAUGCACUUUUCUUACAUUUGCACACUUGCACUUUUCUUACAUUUGCACACUUACACUCAUACUUGAGUCUUCAUUUGUAUUACCCGCGACCUCUAUGAGAGUUUUUUCUUAUUGGCCAUCACAACUCAUGUGGUUGGGAUCAAAAAGCCUCAUAAGAGACAUUUUAGAUUUAGGAUUGCAUUUUUUUUCAUAUCCAUUAGUCACAUCCAACAUGCAACACAUAUGUUGGGUAGAAGAAAUAGGAAAAGUGGGGCUAAGUCACGCAACUAGCUUUGGCUAGGGUAAGGGAGUGCCUUAGGCUUUGCCUUUGCCUUCUCCCUUAUCAAAUGUGACCCUCGAUCCCUUUCUUUGGUUACGUAGACCUAAAAUUCUUUAAAAAGGGUUUGUUUACUUUUUUUUUUCAAAAACAAAAUCAUUUUUUGGGUGACUUGGUACACCCUAACUCUAUACCAAGUGGCGACUCCUUUUCUAUCUAAAACCCUUUGUUUGGCCAAACCGUCGCUCCCACCUUGGUAGAUCACUUUAAGCAGGUAGCAGAAGUACUGAAUAAACUGAAGGAGCACUACUUGUAUGCCAAAAGAAGUAAAUGUUUAUUUGCACAAACAGAGGUAGCGUAUCUUAGCCACAUUAUCUCUGAAAAAUGGGUGGUGGCAGACCCUAAGAAAGUGGAGAGUAUGGUGAACUAGUCCAAACUAGUUUCUAUUAAGGAACUAAAAGGAUUCCUUGGGUUAACAAGGUAUUACAUGAAGUUUUUGAAGGGAUAUGGGACUACUGCAAAACCUCUUACCAUGUUGUUGAAGAAGGAAAGGUUCGUUCCACUGGAAUGCAGAAGCAAAUUAGGCUUUUCAUAAGCUUAAGUUGGCAAUGUGCAACACCCCUGUGUUGGCCUUACCUGACUUUACUAAGUCUUUUGAGAUUGAAAUUGAUUCUUGCUAUGGAGGUAUUGGAGUAGUGCUAAUGCAAGACAAGAGACCUAUAGCCUUCCUAAGCCAGAGCUUGGGACCCAAAAAUUUGGGGAUGUCUAUUUAUGAGAAAGAAUUGCUGGCCUUAGUGACUGCUGUCACCAAAAGGAGACCCUACCUGGAAGAGAACCACUUCAUCAUUAAGACUGAUCACCAGAGUUUGAAGUACUUUGUAGACACCAAAAUUUUAGUGUAAUUUCAUUUACUAUUUAUUUAGUUUUUAUUUGUCGUGUUAGGUUUAUUCACUUUUUAGUUUUUUAGCUUUUUAUUUUAUUAUUUUUAAGUUUUAGCAUAGAAUUUCUCGAAAAAAAAAAAGAAAGAAAGAAAAAGCAUUCAAAAAUUAUGCUUUAGUUGGUUUUGAUUUAAAUUCAAUGUUUUCUUGAAAAAAGAAAGAAAAAAAAGAGAAAUAAAAAGAUAAAAGAAAAAAGGAAAAGAAAAGGAAAAUCAUCAAUCCAAAAUUUUUUAGGCAUUUUUUAUCGUUUUUUCUAGGUUUCCUCAUUUUAUUUUACUUAAAAUGUUAUUUUUAUUUUUAUUAUAUUAUUAUUAAAAAAAGAAAAAAAGAAAAGGGCAUGCCGCACCUGCGGCAGCAUAGGAAGAUAAUAUCAUCUUUUCAUGGGAGAUUUUCUGGAUCGGAGGGCUGAAAUAUUUGGUGGAAACCCACCCUUCAUCCUCACCUUUGAGGUGAGGGUUUAGGAGUUGGAGGUUCCUAUAAAAGGAAAAAGAGCCGCAAGAGAGAGUUUUUUAGAGAGGUUUUGGACGGCAAAAGAAAAAACCAAGAAAGGAUACAAUCUGGAUGACGGCUAGGGUUAGAAAGCAAGAGUGAAAAGUGAGAGGGGGAGUUGAGAGAAAAGCUGGACGGCUGAAAAGAAAGGGGGAGAGCUUUGAGAGUUUUGGAGAGAGCGGCCAGAAAAGGAAGAAAAGUGACGGGGGUUUCUGAGAGAGAACCUAAGCGAGAGAGAGAAAGCGGCCAAGCGGGAGCAGGAGGAAAGAGCAGAAAAUAUGGGAACCAAGAGAGGCUAGAAAGCUACGGGCAAGGAAGUGAAGGAACGGCAAAAUCUAAGCUCCAAGUUGCAAUUUCUCCAACGCUGGGCAUUCCUGGGGCAGCACUCUCCUCUUCAGAUUGGAUUCGUACGUCUCAACCUUAUAGGCGACAAAGGUAAUCCAUUUCAUUCAAGUUGAAUGUGAACAUGUUGAAAAUCCUGGGAAUCUGGCUUGUUCUCCCGAUCUGCUCCUCCUUUUGUUGAGUGAUGUUCCCUCUCUUUGCGUAAAUGGAUAACCCAGAUACUGGCUUUACAUCACUGUGUUCAGAUCUUGUGUUGUUGUCACUCAUGAAACACAGGUUAUAGGAGUCAUUCCUAGCUUCAUUAGUUGGUGUUCAACCCUAAAAUUGCCGAAAGAGAGUUGUAGGAUUUUUUCCCGAUUUGGAAGCUCUCUGGUUUUCAUACAUUUUUUUGUGUUUGAAUAUAAGAGUUGCAGCCAUGUGGACAGAAUCAUUCUUCUUGUUGGGUUGUUGAAGCUCAUAGUCUAUAUGAAAUUUGAGUUUGCUUGUCGUUUGAUUGUGCGUACCAUCCAUAAGUUUCUGCUCAAUGUUUACAAUCAGUCUUGGCGUAUUUGAAUAGGCAAACCCAGAAAAUGGCUUAAAAUUGUAGACAAGUCUGUUGUGAUGUUUCUUUGGCUGUUGCUUCUUUGUUUUCUUGUUGUUUGUGUUUGGGUUUCAAUGUUAAACGAAGUAAAUGGUAAGUUUUAGCUGUCUGCUUGGAGUUUGAUUCUUUGGAUACGCAUGUUUGAUAAUAAAAUGGGUGGAAAUCUUGUUGAACAAAUCUGGUUUAUUGUCUUGGUUCGGCCACUAUAUGCAUUUGCUGAAAUUUGUGGGCAUGAUUGCUUGAUCCUUGCUCUAUAUGUGCAUCUAUGUUCGGCUAAUGUUUCAGCUCUGAACAAGUUUAUAAUGUCAAAAAAUGAUUUUCUCUUGGCUUGCAAAGGUUUAACCAGAAAAUUUCAAAGGAACCUGCGGUUCCGUUGUUUUCUCAAGUCAUGUUAGCACAAAACCAUUCAAGCAUUAAUUUGAGACAAGCUGAUCUGUUUUGAUGAAAGUAGUGUUAUCUGUAUUGGAUGAAUGAGAGUCAGGCCCAAAGUGCCUACGGCAAAAGCUGCUCAUUCACACUUGAAUUCGCUGAUAUGUCUCUCAUUUUUCCUGAUACAUGUAUGCCCACAUUUCUGUUCUUCAUGCUUUCAUGUCUCGCAUUUAUAGCAUCAAAGUUUAUCAGUUGGUGGAUGAUUGUUUCAUCAUGAUCAGAGUUUUUCAAGGGCAUAAAAAUAUUUGGCUGCACCUUUGUUUUGCUGUUAUGAAAACCACUGCUGCACUUUUUCAUCUUCCUUCUUUUGCUGUUUACUUUUUAUCCUUGAUGGUCAGCCCCAUUUCUUUGUUUCAAUCCUGCAAUGAAGUUGCAUGUUUAGUCGAUGAUGGAUAGGUAGAAUCCUGGUAUGGGAUAAACCUGUUUGCAUGAUGAAACGGAUAGAGUCGCGGCUGGAAAAUUGCUGCAAGCUUGGAAAUAAAGGCAGCAAGCUUCAUUUUUUAGUUGCAGAAGUUUAGGCCUUCUACAUAGCUGCAUGCAUGAUCAAGAAGGGAAAAUUACACUUCACUCCCCUUAAUUUCUAGCAAUACUACAAAAGCCCAAUCAUGCUCCAAUUUCUUGCAAAUAGGUCCUAAAAUAAUUGUAAUUAGAACCAUUACUUGACCUUUUUAUUACUCUUGGAUCUUUGAAGUUUUCAAAAUGUUUUGAUUGGACUUGAGUGAUUGGUUAUAUUUGCAAUUGGGUCCUUGGUAGUCUUUCUAUUUUAGAAAUUUGACCAAUAAUUUACUUUUCUUGGAAAUUUAUGCAUUGUUUGAUUUCAUUAAAGUUGCAAUUAGGAGGGACUUGGUGAUUUUGUUUAUAUUUACUAUUUAAUUAGUGCCUUGACCCUUUUAUUGUUUUGAAGCCAUUUUUCCUUCAUUUGAUUUCAUUGCAAGGGAGGUAACUUCUAUUUCCUUGAAUUUAUUUCUCCUACGUGCUCCUACGUGUUAUGUGUGAAUAUGCAUGCUUUAAUUUGCUUUUCAUUUUAUGUUUAAUUGCCUAUUUUGCUUUCUUUUCAUUUCGCCUUUUUAAUUGGCAAGUCAUUUGAAAGGCACUUGAUUGCCAAGUUUGUAAUAGUUAGGUAUUUAUUUUAAUUAUUUAUUUAUUUCCCCUUUAGAUUGUAGUAGGACCUCCCCAAAUGUAAUAGUUAGGGCUUAUUUGCUUUUUUAUGUGAUUUGCAUGCUUACGUGCUAUGUGUUACCGCUUUCUUAGGGUUUUGCAUCUAGAUACCAUGCUUAUGUGUUAUGUGCUAUAUGUGAUUUAUGUGUUUAUUUGCUUUAUUCGCCUUUAUAUAAUUUAUUUGAUUUGUAAUGAAUGUGUGACGUCACCACACUAGUCCAACGCUAGUUGUGGCCCCCUUUCCCGAAUCCACACUAGUCCAACGCUAGUUGUGGCCUUUGUCCUCGAUUUUCCACUAGUCCAAUGUUAGUAGGAAUUCAUAGAUAUGGGCUAAUCCAAUGUUAGGCCCUUAGGGACCUCCCUCUCGCUAGUGCAUUUUUUUUGUAUGUUUCACUACAUUCCAUGCAUUUUUCUUAGUUUUCUAGCAUUUGGCAUGCUCCUCCAACCCUUUUCCCUUCAUUUUAGGUUUUGCAUCUUCAUGCUAGUUAUAAGGUACAUUUGCUUGAGAGUCCCCUUUCGGUAAGAGAAACGAGCGAGUGUGGCUACAAAAUAGCCUUAGCACGCUAGUCCUUCCUUCUAAUCAAAGGGAAAAUUAAAGUCGUGAAAUUAGGAGUCAUUCCCGUACCCGACUUGAUGCAUUCCUCUAGGUUCAUACACUUUCAUUUCUAUCAUAUCACCUCCUCACUUUUUUAUCCACAUUUUCUCACUACUUAUAUUUUUCUCAAUCCACGUGUCAUGUUUGCACAUUUUUCUUUUCCUAUCACCUAUUUAUUUUUCUACCUCACAAAUUGCACCCAAUUGCACUUAUAUAUUUACUACUAUUAUACCAUAUUUUCAUCCACUUGCACACAAACACCUUUAUUUUCUCAAUUAGCACACAUGCACUUUUCUUACAUUUGCACACUUGCACUUUUCUUACAUUUGCACACUUACACUCAUACUUGAGUCUUCAUUUGUAUUACCCGCGACCUCUAUGAGAGUUUUUUCUUAUUGGCCAUCACAACUCAUGUGGUUGGGAUCAAAAAGCCUCAUAAGAGACAUUUUAGAUUUAGGAUUGCAUUUUUUUUCAUAUCCAUUAGUCACAUCCAACAUGCAACACAUAUGUUGGGUAGAAGAAAUAGGAAAAGUGGGGCUAAGUCACGCAACUAGCUUUGGCUAGGGUAAGGGAGUGCCUUAGGCUUUGCCUUUGCCUUCUCCCUUAUCAAAUGUGACCCUCGAUCCCUUUCUUUGGUUACGUAGACCUAAAAUUCUUUAAAAAGGGUUUGUUUACUUUUUUUUUUCAAAAACAAAAUCAUUUUUUGGGUGACUUGGUACACCCUAACUCUAUACCAAGUGGCGACUCCUUUUCUAUCUAAAACCCUUUGUUUGGCCAAACCGUCGCAUUUCACAAUCCCACGGCCUUUUAUUUUCACUUUCACACACGUUCACAUACAUCUCCUACACACUACUUUCACACCAUCAAAAAGUGGGGCGCCACAUACUUGCUAGACCAAAGGGUCACCACUACACUUCAGUAGAAAUGGUUCAUCAAAUUUCUAGGAUUGAGUUAUGAAAUUUAGCACAAGAAAGGAAGAGAAAAUGGGGCUGCAAAUGCACUAUCCAAAAGAGCCAGCAGGGAGAAGGGAGACUAUGCUGAAUUGGUUUGUGUUAUUCUAGAGUGGAUGAAGGAGGUCAUAAGGAGCUAUCAGGGAGAUAAAGAGGUGCAGGACCUUAUUAGGUAGCUGCUACUUACACCUGGUAGUCUACCGGAUUACUCUUAUUAGGAUGGACUGCUCAGAUACAAGGGGAGGAUAGUAAUUGGUACAGUAGGAGAAGUAAGAGGAAAGAUUAUUGCUAUAUUACGUGAGUUACAGAUGGGAGGACACUCAGGAGUGCAAGCCAGCUAUCUUAGAGCCAAGCAACGGUUUUACUGGUCAGGUACGUAUAAGGAUAUCAAGAAUACUGUACUGCAGUGUGAUGCUUGCAGGAAGUGUAAGAAUGAAUACACAGCCUAUCCAGGGCUCCUGCAGCCACUUCCUAUCCCAUAAUAUUCUUGGAGUCAUGUCACAAUGGACUUUAUUGAGUGUCUGCCUAUGUCUGAGAAGAAUGACACUAUUAUGGUAAUGGUGGACAGAUUCACCAAGUCAGCUCACUUUGUCAACUUGUCACACCCCUUUGAUGUACCAUCAAUGGCUAGAAUAUUCUUAGACCAUGUCUGCAAGCUGCAUGGAGUACCUCUCAGCAUGCUCCCUGACAAAGAUAAGGUAUUCACUAGCCAGUUGUCGAUUGAACUAUUCACUCUGCUGGGAUCUGAGCUGAACUUAAGCACUACAUACCACCCUUAAACAGAUGGCCAAUCUGAGACGGUGAAUCAUGUGUUGGAUAUGUACUUGAGAUGUAUGACUUACUUAGAACCUAAGAGGUGGAAUGCUUGGCUCUCCCUUAUUGAAUGGUGGUACAACAUCACCUAUCACACUUCCAUUUUCAUGAGUCUAUUUGAAGCUUUAUAUGGAAUACCCCUUCCCCAAUUGGCAUUUGGACCCUAGACUCACUCCAAGGUAGCCACUAUGGAAGACCAUUUGAAGGACAGGCAAAAACUGGACGAGUUGUUUAAAAAGAAUCUCCAGGAAGCUCAGAACAAAAUGAAGUUAUAUGCUGACCAGAGGAGUGAGAGAACCUUCAGUGUAGGAGAUUGGGUAUACUUGAGGUUGCAACCUCACAGGCAAACUACUAUGGACCUAAGAGGAAAUACCAAGUUAUCCACCAAGUAUUUUGGACCUUAUCAGGUGAUCCACAAGAUAGGGAAGGUGGCGUACAUGCUUAAGCUACCUGAAGGAUCUAAGAUACAUCCUGUAUUCCAUGUAUCGUUGUUGAAGAGGAAGGUGGGAAAGAGUGCAACUCCUGUGCUCCAACUACCAAAUGUAGACGAAAAGGGGCAUCCGAGGGUGGAACUAGUGUCUGUACUAGAUCGCAGAAUUGUCAAAAGGAAGAAUGUUGUAGCUAUACAAUGGCUCAUUCACUGGUGGGGCACUACACCAGCUGAAGCUACGUGGGAAGAUACUGAACGAAUUGAAACGGAGUUUCCUGAGUUUGGAUCUAGAGUUCAAGAUUGUUUAAAGGAGGGGCAAUUGUCAUGAAGUUGAGCAUAAGCUAAAGGAAAUGAGAAGGUGUGGUCUCAGUAGAAGAAGCGUGGAAUGAAGUGAAGAGGAAGCUGCAGGAAGCGUGGAGUGAAAUCAUGCUUUCACUGGAAAAUCAGCUCAAAGAACGUGACUACACCAAUGGUGGUCCUAUAACAACCUCUGACACCAACAAGCCACGUGUCUGGAUACGAUUGUAGCAUUAGGGAGUUAGGUACUAGUCAGUAGCUUUAUAUAUAGGAGAUUUGAUGUUGUUAGCAGAGAGAAUAUUCAGAAUUUAGUGCAGAAUUUGGGAGAUUUUCUCUCAUUCUUUACUUUCUUUUUUCCUCAAGUUUUCCCGCCUUUUUGACCAUCUUCUUCACUGUAACCAUCCUCUCUAUAUCUAGAUUGGUUACUUAAUGAAAUAUUAGUCUUUGAGCUUAGUUAUUAGCUCUUAGUUUCAGUUACUGUUCCAUUACUUCGCCAUUAAUCUACUGGAGUCAACUACCCUUUGGUUCGAUACCAUUACACAGAAUCGUGUCACCUAUUUGGGUCAUUAUACAUGCUCUUUGGUCGAUGAGUUAACUUGAACACUUGAAGGAACUUCUAAUUUAUUCAAGGGAGGUGACAACGGCCUUGAGAAAGUUGUGGUGAGACUACUAGAGUGCUCUAAACAUCGAUGUGAUACACGAGUGUUGAGUGCAUACAUGUGAGAGAGUGAAGUGAGGACAAAUUUUUGUCACUUCCUCUUUUUUGCAGGUUUCACUCUAAGAUGUCUAACCAAGAUUGGAAGAGAUUAGAUGAAGUUUUAGAUGCAAUGAGGGAAGAAUUUGAUGAGAUUUUAGAUGAAAUUUUUGAGAGAAAAGGAAUGCCAAGAGAUAGGGUUCCUUACAAUCUACCUCUUUAAAGUUAACAUAUUCAAGAAGAAAGGAGGAGGUUCAUUGGACAACUUUCAAACCUAAGCAUGUAGUUGAAGAUAGAUUUGAUCAAGUAUGGGAAACUUAGCAAAUCUUCUACAACAACUAGGGGUAGGUACCGGUUGGGUACCUGUCCCGUCCACCAUUUGACUGACCUGACCAACACCUAGUAGGUCAGCUAUUUUUUGACCCUUACGCAUCUCGUAUCUUAGUCGGUACUCGAUUAUAAGAUACCCAGUAAUAUAGGGUCGGAUCAACUAGCAUCGGUCCCACUCCAAUUAUCAUUUAAUUUUUUUAAAAAAAAUAUUUUAUACUAAUUUAAUUUUAUAUUUUACACAUUUAUCUAAGAUUUAAUAAAGAUUUUUUCUCAAAAAAAUCUCCCAUCAAGAAACAAACAUGCAAAGAGAAUACAAGAAAAAGAAAAAAAAUUAAAAGAAUUUAAAAUCAAUAAAAAAGUUUGAAAUAAGUAGCAAAUUUUUUUUAACUAUAUGUUCCAUAUUAAUUAAAUUCUUUUCUAUAAAAUAAAAGAUCACGACCUCUACAAAUGAAUCUUGUAAAUAAAUUAUAGUCUCUUAUAUUUGUAAUGCAAUUUGUUCAAUGAAAUUUCUUACUUAACUCUAAAAAUAUUAUUUUAUAAUAUAUGUAUAAAAAUAAAAAAAUAAAAUGUAUAUAUCAAGGCGGUUAGGGUGCCCGUGGAUUUUUAAUUAUGUGACCCUAACUCACACCGCAUCUAAACGGGUAUCCAAACCUCUUUUGACUCAAUCAAAUAAUACAAAUCAGGUAUCCUAAUUUUCUAAUUGGAUAUGACUAGUUUUCGGGUUAGCAGAUAAAUUUGCCCACCCCUAAUGAGAACAGCAAAUGAAGAAGUUAGUUGACUGCAAUCUUCAAGGAUCAUCUCAGGACCUUGCCGCACCAUUGGUUGAGAAGGAUAACAUUGUUAUACAUCCAAACUUUGACCAUGAACAAGCUGUGCUUGAAGUUCUAAACUAGCUACCUGUCAAGAGUUAGCUGGAGAGAUAUUGUGUGAGAUGCAAAAUGAGACUGUGAGGGGUGAGGUAAAAUUUGAGGAGAGCAUGAAAGAAAAAGAGAGUGAGCAUUCAAAAGAGCUGAGUGAGAAAGAGAAAGAACAAGAGUUGAAUUUGAAUGAUCAUAAGAAUGAGGGCAUGAUUGUAAAAUCCAAAGGAGUUAAUAAGAGAGCUUAUUGUUUUACUAAUGAUAGUAAGAGAGCUUAUUAUUUUACUAAGUAUUUAAACUUUUCUUUGUUUAGUGUUUCUUCUUGUGUGCAGGUUAAGCAAGGUGUUAUUACCAUGAUCUUAAAGUGUUCCAUCCUUACAUCCAUUGGAAAGUUGAAGAGUUUUCAUGGAGUUUGUGUCUUAAGUGUUAUAUCUCUUUGUUAGCAACAAAUGCUCAAUUUCUUACCUAGGGCUGAUUUGCUUGUUGAGAAGCCUAGUGAUGUUUCCAAGGGAGUAACUACACUUAAACCUUGUUCUAUACUUAGUAUUUAGAUGAUGAUGUUCCUUUCUUUCUUUGUCAAUUUUCUGGUUCUUGAAAAACCGAUUUUGCUAUUUCAUUUAUAGGAAUUAAAAUUGUCCAUCUCUGUCUAGCUCUACCCAUGCAAGAUGUGCCAGACGAACAACAACCUAUGAUUAAUUUUACAAUUUUGAACAACUAGAUUUGGGACUUUGCUAGUCCAUUGGAGCAUUGCUAUUCGAGUGGUUUUAUACCUACAGAUACUUAUUGUGUGAUUUCCUGUGUAGGUCUAGAUUUGAUAAACCAUGUAGAAUGGCAGAUUCGAGAGCUUAGGAGUGCAAAAUGGAACUUUAACAAGCAUUAUAUGAGAUGGUUGAUGACUUGGAAAGUGUCUGUUCGUGAACAACAAGAGGUUGUCCAAACAGCAUGCAACUUGGCUCGUAACAAUUCAUCUAUUUUCAACAUUGUUGUCCUAUAAACGCACCAAUGAUUUGAGGGCAAAUCACCUUCAAGAGGAGGGGACUGAUACGAGUAUGAGGUCUCAAAGUAUGGAGCUAUUUCUUCACUACAGGGAUUACUCAAAGUCAUUUGGAAGAAAGAGAUUAAAGACUGAAUUUUCCAGCUUGUUGCAUCAUGGACUAGCAUCUUGAAUCCAUCCCUUAAGUAGGGUUUAUGGACCGAUUAAAGGUCCAACUCGCUGUUUCGUUAGGAGUUUUGUCAAGAUACAUUAAAAACAUCGUUGCAAUCUUUUCAUGAAUAACAUAUGCCAUAUUUUUCAGAAAAUAUUCUUGAAAGAAGCGCUCUCUUAACUCUAUGAGCAUCCCUUGAACACUUAGAAAUAUCUUGGUGUUCAUUCAGCUAAUCAAUUAAGACAUCACCCUUUAUUGUGGCACCUACCUACCAUUCCUUGGGUUCAAUAUUUCAUUUGGUUAUGGGUUAAGAUCAUAUCAACGUUUGCAACUAUGGGGAUUCGAGGGGCUCAUAUAGAAAUUUCGCUGUCAAACUUGUGUUAAUCAUCAAAGAUCCGAGGCUUGUUAAUGCGAAUUUCGUUUCAUCAGCAGAAUUCAUAUCACAUCUACAUCUGAUUGACUUGGCAUUGACUUAUUCAGCUUCUUUAUUGCAUUUUGAUUGAAGAUCAUUGUAUAUAUUUUUUGUAUUAUUUAUUUAAUACUUAUUUAAUAUGAUAUAUAUAUAUAUAUGAUAAGAAGAUAAUUACGUUAUGUGUGUAGUGAAUUACAGCAAAAUAUUUUCUACAUACUGCAUCUUCAAACUGAUUGGUGCUUUUUUUUUUUUGGUUCUUAACUAUUUUAUUAGUGAUUUCUGCCUCUGAUUUUGUUUCUCUUUUAUUUUUUUGUGAUAAAAAUGAAGGUUUUUAAGUCUUUAUUGUCGCAGUUUCAUACCUCUAUGGCUCUAUCUUGUCGGAGACACUCGCUUAGUUGUUGGCUUGGGAGCUUCUUGUGUCACUGAGAACGAUGCAUUAUCAUUUUGAAUAUCUUAUUCUUAGCAAGAUAUUCAAGAAUGCCUGGCAUUAGUGAUUAAGUAAGCAAUUGAAUGUUGAUGAAAUUGUUCGAAUGCGGGCUUUUGAGCUAAAUGAGUGAUUAGGGAAUUUCGACCAUUUAUUCACAAAAGAUUCCAUAAACUUCAUGCCAUCUUAUGCUUGUCAUGGUUAUUCGUGCUUAAUUAUAGUUUGACUAAGCUUUUGUCUAAAUGAAUAUUUGUUGCAACGACAACUAGACUAAUUAAAUAUAGUUUCCUAUGUUACUUUCUUGUUUUUGUCUUGUUUUGAAUAAUAUUGAUGAUGAAUUAUUUUGAAUUUUUUUGGCGUUAUUACUCGGGCAGUAAAUGAGCGGCUCGAGUCAAAGUUCGACUCGAGUUCGACUUGAGUUGACUAAGUCGAACUCGAAUUCAAAUUCAAAGAUAGUCAACUUGUUAGUUCACAAGCUGACUCGAUUAUAUUUUUUAUUUUUUAUUUUAAUAGUAAAAUUACAUAUAUAUCCCUAAUAUUUUAUUAUUUAUUAAGAAAAAUUAUUAUUUUAUUCAUUUUUUAAAAAUAAAAUAAUUAUUUUUUUAACUCAAACUCGACUUCGAGCUUGAUAAAACUAAGUUGAGACUUGGUUCGAUUAGAUCAAAACUCUACUCCACUUGACUCAUUUUGUGGUUCUAGUUAUCACUCAAAGGUUAUCUUAAAAUAAAAGAAAAGCAAGCCUAAUAGUUUUCAAUAAUGUUGUGUUAUGAGUUUCAUUCACAUUAGAAUAAUGAUCCCAGAAGCUUGAGAGCAUAUUUUACUUCACAAAAAUUUUGUGUUAGUGGCUUCAAAAAUUAAAAAUAAAUAUUCAAUCUUAUAUUUAAUUACCAAAUUUCUUUUGGAUUCCUACCAAUAGAGCUGUUAAUCGAGUCGAGUAUUUGGCUGUCGAGCUCGAUUCGAGUUUAAUUCGAGUUGAGCUCGACUCGAGCUCGUUAGGAAAACGAGCUUUAAAAUGUGUUCGAACUUGGCUCGUUAAAUGUACAUGUGAAACUCGAGCUCGAGCUCGAGCUUGUGCAAAUUAACCUUAAUAAAAACCUAUAAUUUUUAAUUUUUAUAAUUUUGAUUUAUAAAAUGACAAAUAUGCCAUUUAUUAACGAGUUCUAACGAGCUACUCGAAUAUCAAACGAGCCGAGCUCGUUAACUAAACGAGCAUGUUUCGAGUUCGAGCUCGACUCGUUAACCAAAAUUAACGAGCCGAGCUCUAACGAGCUUUUGAGUUACGCAAUUGACUUAACAGCUCUACCUAUCAAUUUAAUGUCAAGACUAAAAAUAGUUACUUCUCUCUUUUUUUGUUUUAUUUUUUCGUGAUAAAUAUUAUUUCCCUCCUAAAGGCUAAUAAGCAAUAAGAGAGUAUUGGCGCCAAAAUAUCUUUAAAAGAAAUAAAUAAACCGCUUCAAAGUCAAAAUUCUUUUUUUUUUUGACAAACGAUGAUAUUUUUAUAGAUAUUAACACUUGAUAGUACAAGGGCUAAUUACAAAAAGGGGUAACUACCCCCAUAUCUUUCCUAGCUAAAGCUGAAAGCCAAGUUGGGAAUGUACCAUCCCAUUCGAAACUUCUAGUUGCCUUGAUUGCGAAUUGAGCCAAUUCAUGCCCACAACUAUUAGCAGUUCUGGGAACAAAAGAGAAAGUGCAACUUUCAAAUCUUUUCUUUAGGAGAUCAAUGUCAUCCAGGAGUGUUUGGAGUCUAUAUUCCUGAACAUUGUCCGUAUUGAUGAGGCUCACAACAUACUUGCAGUCAGAUUGGACUUCUAUGUUUGUCCAUCCUACACCUUGAGCCAUUUCCAGCGCACCUCUGAUUGCUAGAGUUUCCUCUGUGGCUGCUUCUCCUUUCCUCCUCUCAGUAAUUCCCUUCGCUUUCACUAUCGCCCCGCACCAGUUCCUUGCAACGAUCCCCAAUCCUGAUUUGACCAUUUUAGCUGAAAUUGCUGCGUCCGUGUUGAUCAUCAUUUGUUCCUUCCUUGAGAGGCUCCCAUCAUUGCUAGACCUGUCUUUCCAUUUCUAGACAUGAAUUUGCUCGUGCCUGAUUCAUACGCUGCCUCAUACUCGAUCCAUUCCUGCUGUGCCUUGUCUAUUAUUGCUUUUGCAUCCACUAACUCACUCUGGAAUGUUAACUUGUUUCUAACUUUCCAGAUUUGCCAUAAGAGGUUCACCGUAAGCCUAAUUCUAUCUGCUCCUUGUGUCUUCUUUGCUGAUUGCAUCACAGCUUCCCACCAUCUCCACAAGUUAUCUUGUAGUGCAACUAAGCCCUCCUACCUUACAGGAGCUAACUUCCAUAUCACUUUAGCUUUUGGGCAGAAGAAGAAAAUGUGCUCAAUGGUUUCCGUUUCCUCCCCACAACAGUGACAUAUCUUGUUACUGAUUCCAAAUCUCUUGUAGAGAGCUUCAUUUGUGGCCAUUCCAUUUUACAGACAUCUCCAUAAGAAAUGUUUCAGUUUCAUCUUAACGUUUAGGCUCCACAAUCUGUAAGGCCUGGUGCAACCCAAUGAGUACAAACAAUAUCACAAUGAUGCACAAAAAUAUAUCAAAUUUAAGCACAAUAAAGAAAACUUAAUUAAAGAAAAAAGAUAAGAAAUGCAAACCAAAUAUCAAUCCAAUAGCCUUUUCAAUAGAUGGCGAUGCUAACCAAGAUGUACAAGUGAAGGCUCAUUCCUUCCUCACGCCAAACUCUCUUUGGUUGAGCCAAGGAGUUUUACAACUAUUCUAGUUAACCCUCAACAACCUACACUUGAAAGAUCACUCACCCAAUUAAGAACUAUUUUAUACAAAUGAGGCAACCUUCACCAAGGUUUUACCACUUCAAGUGAUAGGUUCUCCUUCACCAAGGUUUUACUCCUCCUAGAGAGUAACCUUCACUUGAGCAACCUCACAACCCAACUUUCCCAACCCCUUAUACAACCAACAAAGAAUCUUUCUACUCAAAAAUCUCACUUGUAAGCUUGUAUUUUGUGUUGGCAAAAGUCCCUUGUCUUCUUGUGCUUUGGGGUGUUUAUAGAAGGUGAGAAAUGGCUCCAAAAGGCUCUGCAACGGUCAAAUAUUAAAUGCUGUCAAAACUAGCCGUUGGCCUGUCGGACGUCCGAACCACCUGUCGGACGUCCGAACCCUGCGUCCGAACGUCAUCAGAGAGUCAUCAAAUCUUUGCGAAAUUUCUCGUACGUCCGAUGCGAUCGAUAUGCGUCCGAGGCGUGCGUCCGAUCCUUCCGGACGUCCGAUGCUUCCUCACGAGCGUCCGACAGAGUUUCCUUCUUGAUGUUCUUCAUCCUUUCGGAUGUCCGAUAGUUUCCUUUUGGACGUCUGACAUGAGUGCCCUGUUUUUGCUUCUUCUUUUGUGCCACAAGAAUCUGUUCUAACAAAUUGCUCACAUAAAAACAUUAGCCCAAAUCUACAUUUAGGUUUGUUAAUCAUCAAAACCAAGGAUUGAUCGACCAAGGUCAACAAUCUCCCCUUUUUGAUGAUGACAAACAAAAUGAAAAUUAUUUUAUCAAAUAAUUUCAAAUAAAUCUCCCCUUUAGAAAGUGCCAACAUACAAAGAAAUUUCAAUAAAUCCUACUCCCCCUUUUGGCAUCAAUCAAAAAAACAAACUCCCCCUUUAUUUUUCAAAUCAAGACCAUAUUGAAUAUCAAAAUUUUCAAAUGUACUUACAACCAUUUAGCACUUCUUGGAUCAAAUCUUCAUGAUGUACCUAAAUAUGAGAAAUUUCAUUUGGUACCCUUUCUUUAUAGGGUCCUUGGGAGUUAAUACAAUAUGAUCUAGCAAUCCACAUGAAUUUCAUGCCUUUUCUCAUAUUUUUCUUUACAUAGCAAUCAUUUUGCAUAUGUCCAAAUUUGCAACAAAAGUGACACAUGAUAGAAGUAUUUUGCACAUAGGUGGAUUUAAUACAACUAAUUUUCUUACCUCUUAUCAUAGCAAAAUUAUUUGUGCCUUGAAAAGAUUUUCUUUCUUUUGUUUGAGAAAACUUUUAUUUUUCAUUUUGGAGAAACUCGUUCAAGUCAUUAAUUCUUUUCUUUAACAAACUUUGUUCCUCCAAUAUUUUUUCAUAAAACUUUGUUUUCUCUUCCAACUUCUUUUUCAAAUUAUUUUUGCAAUCAAAAAAACUUUUUUGAUUUUUUAAAUCAUCAUUUUCCAUUCUCAAACAUUUGUUUUCUUGAAACAGUUUGGCAUUUUUUUCCAACAAAUCAUUUAUUUUUGUUUUCAAAUCUUUAUUUUUAGCAUAAGAUUUUCUCAAAUUUUUAUGCAUUUUAAUUAUAAGAAUUUUCACAUCAUCAUCUUCAUUAUCUUCAUCACAAGAAGAGUGAUAAGAACUUACCUCAUCUUCUCCAACGGCCAUUAGUGCCAUUUGGGCCAACUCUUCUUUUUCUCUUUUUGAAUUGCAUUCAUCCCAUGUAAUUUUGCAAUCUCCUCUUGAACAUCUCUUGAAACUUUUGAUGUGAGGAGUUAUAUCAUUGUCCACUUCCAUGAUUUCAUUACCCAUGAAGGAUGGGUUAUCCCCCACUUGAGAUGCUUUAAAAGCUAUGCCUCUCUUAUACAUUCUUGCAUUUUCUUCCUCUUGCACUUUGAAUUUCAGCUUUAAUUCAUAAAAGGUUAGAAAAUUCACAAGAGAUUCAAUGGACAUAGAAUUUAAAUCCUUUGCCUCUUCUAUAGCAUUUAUUUUGUUUUCCCAUUCUUUUGGCAAGACAUUCAAAAUCUUUCUAUUUUUCUCACCCAAAGAAUAUUCUUUUCCAAGCAAUUUAAGAUUUUCAAUAAUGUCACAAAAUCUACUACACAUCUUAUCAACAUUUUCAAGAGGAUGCAUUUUGAAAAAUUCAUAUUGAGAAACAAGCAAAGAUUUCUUUUGUUCUUUAAUAUCUUGGUUACCUUCAUGAAAUACACACAAUUUAUCCCAAAUAUCUUUAACUGAUUUACAACCUUUAAUCCUACUAGAUUCAUUUACAUCUAAUGCAUUGUACAAUAUACACAUGGCCUUGGCAUUCAAAGAAAGGUAUCUCUUAUCUUUUUCAUUCAAUUCUUGUCUAGUCUUUAAUCUACUCAAAUUGGUAGUAGAGUCAACUAUUCUAGUUUCAUAAGAACCAUCUUCUACCACAUACCAUAAUUCAAUAUAAACGGAUUGUAAGAAAAUCAUCAUUCUUUGUUUCCACAUGCUAAAAUGAGAACCAUUAAACAUAGGUGGUCUAUCAAUAGAUUGACAUUCUAAAAAAGAAACUUUUAUGGUUGCCAUGAUCUUUACUCUAAGCGGUUAAUCUUGAUCAAAAGAAACCAAGCUCUGAUACCAAUUGUAAGGCCUGGUGCAACCCAAUGAAUACAAACAAUAUCACAAUGAUGCACAAAGAUAUAUCAAAUUUAAGCACAAUAAAGAAAACUUAAUUAAAGAAAAAAGAUAAGAAAUGUAAACCAAAUAUCAAUCCAAUAGCCUCUUCAAUAGAUGGCGAUGCUAACCAAGAUGUACAAGUGAAGGCUCAUUCCUUCCUCACGCCAAACUCUCUUUGGUUGAGCCAAGGAGUUUUACAACUAUUCUAGUUAACCCUCAACAACCUACACUUGAAAGAUCACUCACCCAAUUAAGAACUAUUUUAUACAAAUGAGGCAACCUUCACCAAGGUUUUACCUCUUCAAGUGAUAGGUUCACCUUCACCAAGGUUUUACUCCUCCUAGAGAGUAACCUUCACUUGAGCAACCUCACAACCCAACUUCCCCAACCCCUUAUACAACCAACAAAGAAUCUUUCUACUCAAAAAUCUCACUUGUAAGCUUGUAUUUUGUGUUGGCAAAAGUCUCCUGUCUUCUUGUGCUUUGGGGUCUUUAUAGAAGGUGAGAAAUGGCUCCAAAAGGCUCUCAAACGGUCAAAUAUUAAAUGCUGUCAAAACUAGCCGUUGGCCUGUCGGACGUCCGACCGCAUAAUUAUCGUCCGAACCCAUCGUCCGAAAGUCAGCCAGGUUGUCGUUCGGACGUCCGAUGGGAUAUUAUCGUCCGACAGCUCUGCGUCUGAACAUAGUCAGUGAGUCAACAAUAUUUUGUGAAAUUUUUAGGACGUCCGAUGAGAUAGAUGUGCGUCCGAAGCAUGCGUCCGAUCCUUCCGGACGUCCGAUGCUUCCAUACGAGUGUCCGACAGAGAUUCCUUCUGGAUGUUUUUCAUCCUUUCGGACGUUCGAUAGUUUCCUUUUGGCCGUCCGACAUGAGUGACCUGAUUUUGCUUCUUCAUUUGGUUGGUUUUCUUUCCUUGAUACCAUUGAACCUGAUUCUAACAAAUUUCUCACAUAAAAACAUUAGACCAAAUCUACAUUUUGGUUUGUUAAUCAUCAAAACCAAGGAUUGAUCGACCAAGGUCAACACAAUCUUUUCCAUACUGUGUGCUUUCUAAUUUCCCAGCUGGUUUCCGGAUCAGAUGCAAGUCUUCGAUUCGUCAUUUCACUUUGUUCCUUUGCAACAACAUAUCCAGUCUUCACAGUGUAAAUCCCAAACUUGCUAUAAUUCCAAAAGAAUCUGUCUUUUCUAUCAUAUAAACUAAGGGGGAUAUUAGUAAUGUGAUCCACAUCAACAACUUUAAACCAGUGCUUCAAGAGAUCAUUCUUCCACUUUCCUCCCUCUAUUUGCUCGUGGACAAACUCGAGUUGACAUCCUAUUGGUUUGACCGUUGUUACUCUUCCAUCAACCAAGCCAGGUAUCCAUCUAUCAUGCCAAAUUUUCACUGACCUUCCAUUUCCCACUUUCUUCCAUAGCCCCUGUUGAAGUAGUUCUCCUUCCUUAUGCAUGCUUUUCCAACACCAAGAAGCAUUGUUAGGUGGUUAUUGUCCUAACCAGUCAUCCUCUUUCAUAUACUUAGCCUUCAGGACUUUGCUUACUAACAAAUUUGGAUUGAUAACAAUUCUCUAAAUUUGUUUUGCAAGCAGGGCCAUAUUGGAGGCUUCCAGGUCUCUAAAACCCAUCCCCCCUUUCCCUUUGACCUCUGAAAGUUUACUCCACCUAAUCCAAUGUACUUUUUUUUCAGAUUCCCCACCACCCCACCAAUACCUAGCGAUUCUAGCACUAAUGGCUUUGCACAAACCUUUGGGUAUUUUAAAGCAGGACAUAAUGUAUGUAGGCAUAACCAUAAUGACUGAUUUGAUCAAAACCUCUUUACCCCCUUGGCUAAGCAACUUUUGUUUCCAUCCUUGAAGUUUACUACUAAUGUUACUCAUCAAAUACCCAAAAACCUGGGUUUUAGCUCUCCCAAUGGUCAUCGGAAGACCUAGAUAUUUACCACCAUGAGCUUCCCUCAUAUUGUCCAACACCUCACUAAUUUCCCCUCUAAGCAUCAUGGGAGUAUUUCUAGUAAAAAACAUGGCAGAUUUGUCAAAAUUUACCACCCGUCAAAAUUCAAAAGACUCAAAACUAACUUGCUAGCUAAAAGGAUAAAGCUUGGGUACUAACCAGUCAUGGUAUGAUACUUCAUUCAUCAAUUUACAUUCUCUUGGCAGAUUGGGACAUUCACCAAUUUACAUUCUCUUGGCUGAUGAAGAUUAGUCUGCUCUAUGGCUUUUGGAAUACAAAAUGAUUGUUAUUUUAUAAUAUUUUAAUAGUUUAUUGUUUUGGACUAUUACUUGUUAAUCCACUUUGUUUCCUUUUUAUAUGCUUAUGCUCUACGUUCUCGAAAUUUUGUGGUGUUUCAUUACUAAUUUUCACUUAAAAAGUUAAUUUAUAACUAGCAGUGUAGAAAAAAAUUACUACAUUAUCAGUAUAUAAAAAGAUAAUCCAAAAUUAAAUGAGCAAAACGAGUUAAGACACGAUACUGACAUAUUACCAAACAAAUAGAAUAUGACAAGACCAUGACAUAAAAUUUAAAUGUGGAAUUUAUGAGUUUAUAUAUAUAUUUUGACAUGAACAAGAAAAUGACACAACACGACAUAUUUAUAGCCCUACAACCAUUAAUCCAACAAAGUAAUAAUUUAUUUGAUCGCUGUAAUGUAAUCUCAAAUUGCUAAAAUAGAUGCAUCAUUAACCUUAUCAAAUCCUAUUCUCACUAAAAUAAAAUCAAUUUAAAAAUAAAAAACAGACCAUAAAAAAAUUACCACGCUCCUAACUAAAAUGUAUUAUACAUUAAUAAUAAUCACAAAAAAAAAAGAAACAAAAAAGUGACAAUACCAGGGCUCUCCACAGGCAAAAAGCGUGACCUCACAAAACUUUAAGAGAAGAUGACGCAUGAGACUAACGGUACGGGAAAAAAAUAUUAUUCUUUCUUAACUACUGAUUCCUGAAUUUUGGGUUCCUGCUUUUAGUUUAUGACGCUCAGGUUGCACAUAAAAUGUUUGUCACAAGUUCAAAAAAGAAAAGAAACUAGAAAAUAGGAAAAAGAACACAUUCAGUAACGCAAGAUAAUUCAUCGAAGAUGAACAGUUUACCCAAGGUAAUGGAUUAUACAUUUUUAAGUCAUACAAUUUUGGUAGAAAGUUACCGACCGAAACAUUCCAAGGCAAAUAGAAGUUGUCAACACUUUAACAGGCUUUGAAGCUCAUUCAAGUUGGAAACAGUAGAAUUGAGUAAUUGUUAACAUUGCUUUUGAACUUUCGCGGACACAGCAGAAAACUGCACUUGGAACACCCAUUUGUCCAAUCAUGGCGAGCAGUUUUAACAGAGCCUACACAAUUUCCCAAUCCAUGUCGACACUAUGAUCUUCAGCAUCAGGACAUCUGUUCUUCAGCUGGCGAUCAAACUGCAUCUCAGCACGAGUGUCCCUGAGCUGAUUAGGUUGAGUCCCAUCAAAUUCAUCAGGCAAAUCAUCCAGCAUACUGGUAAUGUCACUGUAGCCUUUCAUGACACUAGAAAAAUCAUGGUAACAGUCAUGCUUAUCUUCCAUUAGAUAAUUCGAAACAGAAGGUUCAACAUUGAUUUCCCUGAUACGGCCAACAUCUAGUUCCAUGCUAAUAUGGCCAUGCUCUCGAGCUAUUGCUUUGUGCUUGACAGUCCAAUCAGGGCGACUCCAUAAAUAUAAUGGUGGUGUCUCCGCGUUCCACUGCUCCAUUUGCUGAGCAAGCACAUCCACUGACCCAGGCAGAUAAAAGGACUGAUAAAAAAUUAUUUGAGUAAGUGAUUUACUUCAUCCUCAAAUUAGAUCAAUGUAUGGGGGUUGGCAGGCAGUGAAGGGGAGAGCGAGAAGAUGCUAAUUGCUAAUUUUCUUACCUUCCCAGAAAGUAAUUUGUCAUCUUCCCAAAUCAAAUCAUAUGGCAACUUUCCCCUGU